AAACAAACCAAAAGAGCCAUAGACGGAUACUUAAUAGUAUAACAAGGUUAAAACCCUAAUGAAAGAAAACGUCAUAGCAACAGUAAUAUAAACGGAGAGUCAUGAAAAGGGUAAGAAACAACUUAAGAAUCGGCCAUGAAUAGAUAUAACAAUAACCAAAGUCCUAUAUGAGUACAAUAGAAAAAAUAAACCAUAACAAUGGCCAAACAACAAUUCUCCGGAGUUUAAUUUUUCCGGCGCCAUAUCUGAUAAAUUUGGGGAGCGUAAAACCAAAACAUGUCAACAAUAGUACGACAAGAUAUGAGAUAUUACGACCAAGAUUUUGGCUGUAGAGGUGUAGCAACGACUCUUAUUAAGCUCGUCGGCCAGCUGGUGGUCAAACCAAGCUACAUCGAACCCAAUAGUCAGCGGCGAAGAGAGAGAGGGAAAGAGGUAGGGAGAUAGGAUAGUGAUGAGGAGUGGCCAUCGUUUGCAGUGGGAUGCCGUUGAGCUUUUUAUAUGAGGCAGUGGUGAAAUCCAUGAUGGGUGGCAGCCAAUUGUCUCUCAAAAGAGAGAGAUGAUAGGCUUUUUGACAGAGGGAUGACUACCUUAUAAUAAUGGGGUAGUGUUAGAGUUUUAGACCCCCUUUAAAAUAAAACAUCUAAUAGUGGGGAUGUGGGUUGUGUAGUUUGUAGAUAGUUUAUAUAAUGGGAUGUGUUUAAAAACAUGUGGUCCUUAUUAAUUUAAAAAUAAAAGGAAAUGUAAAAUAGAAAUAUGUGGCCACAGGUAAAACUACUAAUUCGAAAAAAUUUGCAAAACCACGGCCGGAUACAAUGUACAGUUAUUUUUAUUAUUCGCUUUUAUACAAUGUACUCUUUUUAUUAUUUGACUUUAUACCGUAUACCCUUUUAUUUUAUUUGUGUUUGUAUGUCACGAUAAAAUUAGCUUACGGGAAAGACAAAUCAGUGUGCUUUACCUAUUAGGUAGAAAGUUUAUCCAUUGAGUAGAAGAGAUGUCAUAUCACAUCACAUGUAUUGUUAAGUCAAAUAUCUUAUCAUGUCACAUCAAGUGUGUCAUCACAGCAGGCAUUGAUGGAACAUUAGAUUUUACUUGAUACGAUUCAUAUUUUGAAAUUAAUUCUAACGGCUUCCAUGCAACUAAUAGAUUGUGCUACGGAUUAAAGCAUUAUUAUUUAAAAUUACAAAUAUAGCUUGUAAUACUUAUUAAAAUGUCAACUACUACAACAAUAUUGUAGUAAUUAUUGUUUAUUAUUAUUAUUAUUAUUAUUAUUAUUAUUAUUAUUAUUAUUAUUAUUAUUAUUAUUAUUAGAUAAUACAUUUAUAGAAAAUCCUAAUAUUAGGAAAAUAGGAAAAUUAUCAAUAAAUUAUUUUGAUUUUUGGAUCCUAACAUAGUAUUUUGAUCCUAACAUAGUAUUUAAUUAAUUGCAACAAAAUUAUAAAAGCUACUGUAUUUUCUCCAAAAAUAAAAAUAAUUAUCAAUAAAUUGUAUUAAAGUUAAAAAUGUUCAAAGAAAUGCUAUAUUUUUACUAUGAAAUGACUAGGAAUCCUGUAAAAGUUAAUUUAAAAUAUGGAGGGUCAAAAUUGAGUGUCAACAGCUGCCCCUCUUUGACCGAAGAUAAAGUAUGAGUCUUCGGGCAAUGAUAUUGAUGCGAUUCUCAAUUCUGUCGCGGCAUGACAUAAUGGGGAAUGGGAUGUUUGGAAGAUUGUGACCAAACUCUGGUAUAUGAGUUGCCUACAUAUCUCGUGUUACACGAGAAUCAGGUCGCGUGUAGUUCUGGAAUAUUGAGUACUACUUAUGAAACGUUUCCUCAUGGAGUGGAAGACAUAUGUUAGAGGACAAAACAUUUCGUGUGAUCUCGACAUUGCUUGCAAGAUUGCCCCAGUGUUAGACUGCAGUAACACUGGGACAUGGAUGUUGGGUGAUAAGGGAAUUGGUUUGGAUGGAUUUUGAAGAGGGUGCGGUCGGACUCGGUAUUGAUUUCCCUACAUAUCUCGAAUGUAACAAUAUUGAUUUUUGAUUUUUAAUCCCAAACCUCAAGAUAUGAUAACACUGGUUUUAUUCUGACUAUGAGGGUUCGGAUUGCCUACACACCCCAUGUCAAUGAGACUUAAGGUGAACGAUACUUGGGGACCUGCCACUGAAUAAUGUUGAAAAGCUCGAUGUUUGUCCUAAAAAUCUACCCCUAGUUUAUUUGUUAGAAGAUAAUUCCGCGUUCUGUCGUGUAUUUGAUCAGGAGAGUUGAUGAAAUGUGGGCUAUGCUUCAAUUUAACUUGAGAAAGAUGGAUUGUGGUGGCUUGAGUGAUAAUUGUAUGCGAUGCGAGAAUGAUUUGAUUUUUAUUUUUUGAAUGAAAUAAGGUCCCAAGUUGGAACUCUAAUUCAAAAGGGAUCCGGGCUAAAUACCGGACCAAUGAAAUCCGGACUGUGUACCAGUCCGAAGUGAUAUCAGAGCAUUUGAAUUUUGAAGGAAAUCCGGGCUAAGUAUCAGUCCAAAGCGAUUUCUGAGCAUUAGAAAUGUGAUGAAAAUCUAGGUUGAGUACCGGUCCGAAGAGAUAUCAGAGCAUUUGAAUUUUGAAGGAAAUCCGGGUUGAGUACCUAUCAUGAACCAAAAUCCAUUAAAGGUCGUGAUGGCGCCGGACACCACUGUCACGCAACCAACACUAAAUAGUUAAUUAAAUUCUCAUUUUUAUAUUUUUGAAAUCGUAAAUUUACUUUAAUAUAACUAGUAAAAGAUGAAUUUACAGAAUAAUAACAAUGUUUUCCAAUUUCAAUACUGAACAUCCCAUAAUCAUCCUAGAACCCGGUGUCACAAGUGCGUGAGCAUUUUUUAGGAAUUUAAAAUAAAAUACAAUAACUGUCCGGAAUACAAAUUUUGACAGGAAAGAAUGUACAAUACUCUGAAGGAGACUAUGCUGCCUGCGGGUCAUACAUAAAAUGCAGCUCACCUAAAUCCCCGUAAUAACCCGCCUCUGCGCCCACAAGGCCACUAAUCAUAUAUAUACCUGCACAAAACGUACAACAAGUGUAAUAUGAGUACGUAAAUCAACGCGUACCCAGUAAAUGUCCCGCCUAACCUCGAAGAAGUAGUGACAAGAGGUCGACUCCGACACUUACUGUGGCCAUAAAAAAUAUAAGGUAUAGUAAAGAAGUGAAUGAAUAUGAGACCGAGUAAAUAUAUGAAACAAAAAAGUGUAAAAUACAUGGUACAAUUUUCCUCUUUACAAUUUACUCAAGCUCUCAACUAGUGAGUUCCCUCCGUAACCGGAGCAUAUAUUUAUAGAUGUAGUGGAUCUCAUCAAAGAGGUGGUUGUCAUAAUUCGAAUCGGGGAAAAACCCUCAUAUACACUGGCUUCUUGCCAAAUGUUACUCACUUCCACGAGGAUAAUGUAUAUAUAGGAUAUGCCGAGGCGUACGGCUCGAUCCAAUAUAAAAGUAAAUUGUGCACUGCCGAGGGUCGAACGACGCGAACCAUAGAUGCAUCUAUUAAUUUGCCGAGUCGAACGACCCGCUCCCAUGAGAGUGUGGUACAUAAUUUCUGCCGAGGCAAACAUCCCGAUCCCAUAAGAGUGGAAGAAGGAAAUACCCCGCUCGCGAAUAAUACAUGCGGCACAGUCAAAUAUAAAUUUAAGGAAUUUUCCCGCUUGCGGAUUAUUCUUGAGACGCGGUCAAAUAUAAAUUUAACAUUUAAAAUCAUAUCUCUUUCUUGAUUCUUUUCAAAAUAAGGGAAAUUCAGCUUGUAGCUCUUUAAGAAAAUUACCCCGCUCGCGAAACAUACAUGCAACGCGGUUACACAUAUAUUUCUUAAGUUAUUAUGGUGUUCCUCAAUUCUUUUCAAAAAUACGAAAUUGAAAUGAAAACCUUUAAGUUCCCAACUUUUCCUCAAUUUCAACUCCUUUCGAAACGUUUAAUAAGCUAACUCAAUUUCGCUUCCUUUCAAGGAAAACAAUAAACAUAAAUUCAACAAGAAUAGCAACAUGGCAUGAUGUAAGCCUAAAACUACCAGGACAUAGGCAUAGUUAGUUGCUACGGACGAACUCUCUUCACCUCGUGUGUACGUAGCCCCCACAAAUAGAAUCACAUAAUAAUUUAGUUCACCUAUGGGGUUAAUUCCCUCUUACAAAAGUUAGAAAGGAGACUUACCUUGCUCCAAAAUUCCAUAACCGACUGCAAAGCCGCUCCGACAAUUCAAACUGAUGCCCGUCGCUCCAAAACUAGUCAAAUAUGACGCAACCGAAUCAAAAUAUACUCCAAUACUCAUAAUUAAUCAUUUUAUAAUAAUUUUCAACUCCGUUCGAAAAGUUGAUACAAUCACCCACGUGCCCGAGUUCUGAAAAUUAUCGAAGAUAAACUUUACCCAUAACCCCACGAACUCAAAAAUAUAAUUUAUUCUCCAUUUCAUGCCCAAUUUCGUGAUCAAAAUCCAAGAAUACCAAUUUCUAGGUUUCCUACCAAAAUCCCACAAUUUCUACCAAUUGCCAUGUCUAAAUCCAUAUAUAAACUAUGUAUUUAACUCACAAUGUGCGGGAAUUACUUACCUCAUAAUAGAUGAUGAAAUCUCCUCUUCAAAAGCUCCAAACAUUACCCAACAAAAAUAAAAUGUGGAGGAAAAUGGCCAAAUCCCGUAUAUAAAACUUCACUGCCCAGGUCCGCCCUUCUUCGCGAUCGCGGAAAGACCAUCGCGAUCGCGAAGGCCAAAGACACAUUGUUCCCAACUUUCCUCUUUGCGUUUGCAUUCCUCACGACGUAUUCUUAAAUCUUUCCGCCCUCAUUGCUUUGUUUUCGCAUACCCAGCCUCGCGUCUGCGUAGGCCAAACAUCCUCAGGCCAGUCCUCCAUUCCUUCAACGCGUUCGCAACUCCCCACUCGCGUUCGCGUAGGUUCCUCAAGUUCUUCACCGUGUUCGCGUCUCAACCUUCACGUUCGCGAAGGCCAAAUCCUAGCAGCCUCAAAGUGUCUCUUCGCGAAUGCGGGACUCCCUUCGCGUUCGCGAAGAAGGAAACCAGAUACCAGAUACAGCAAGCAGCAAAUCAUUCAGUUUUGGUCCGAAACCACCCCGAAACACACCCGAGGCCCCCGGGACCCCGUCCAAUCACACCAACUAGUCCCAUAACAUAACACAAACUUGCUCGAGACCUCAAAUCACAUCAAAAUCAAGAAUCGCACCCCAAUUCAAACUUAAUGAACUUUGAAACUUCAACUUCUACUAUCGAUGCCGAAACCUAUCAAAUCACGUCUGAUUGUCCUCAAAUUCUGCACACAUCACAUUUUACAUUACAGACCUACUCCAACUUUCGAAAUCGGAUUCCGACCUCGAUAUCAAAAAGUCUAUUUCCGUUCAAACUUCUCAAAAACCUUCAAAUUUCUAGCCUUAGCCAAAUGACUCCAAAAUGACCUACGGACCUCUGAAUCCCCUUCCGGACGUGCUCCUAAUACCAGAAUCACCAAAUGGAGAUAUUCCCAGACUCGAAAUACCUAACGGACAAUGAUAAUAUUGAAAUGCACUUCAACCCAAAUUUAUGAAAUUCAUCCAAAAUGCCAACUUCCACGAUAGGCACCCAAGCGCUCCCGGGUCAUCCAAAACCCGAUCCGGACAUACGCCCAAGUUCGAAUUCAUCAUACGAACCUGUUAGAACCUUCAAAUCCCGAUUCCGAGAUCGUUUACUCAAAAAUCCAAUCUUAGUAAAUUCUUCCAACUUAAAGCUUCCAAAAUGGGAAUUUUCUUUUCAAAAUUAAUUCUGAAUUUCCGAAAUUUCAGUUUCGACCAUGCAUACCAGUCAUAAUACCUGAAGUAAUGUUGCUCAUGGCCUCAAACUGCUGACCGAUGCUCUAGAGCUAAAAAUGACCAGUCGGGUCAUUACAGUUACGGUCUGAAGCGAUAUCGAAGCAUUUGAAUGUAAAAUUGGUUGGUUGUUAUGGUUUCGAAGUGAUAUUAGAGCAUUUGAAAUUUAAAAUACCCGUAUUAGAAGGUUGGUUCCUGUGAAAACUGUCUUUGAAAUGUAAUGCCCAUUGUUCAGGAGUGUGCCUAAAAAAAGCAAGAAGCUAUUUUUGAAAAUGUAUGAAAAGAGGGAUUCUACUUGACUUUUUAUUUAUUUAUUUAUUGUUUUCUUCAUUUUUGUUGUUUUUGUAACUUUUGUAGAGAAUGUCUGAAAAUUGAGAAGAGUGAAGAAAGACUGUGAUUUAUUUUUCGAUUAUCAUUCUUUUUUUUUGACUUGACUUUGGUUGGUACCAAUAAUUAGUUUUGUGCAUAGGAAUUUCCACCAUAUACUUUCCACCAAAUCGAGAUCAACUUUUGGGUAAUUCAUAUAGCAUCGAGUAGUACUUCAUGUACACCUCAAUAUAGAUAAGAUUUGUUUGUCUUGCUUCAAUCAAAGGUUUUUAAUAUCCUCAUGUUUCAUGUUCCCUCACCAAAAGAAAGUCCUAAUUUUGACACAUUUUUGCAGUAUUCUAGUUUUUAGGACAUUUUGAAAAGUACACUCACAGUUAGAAAGAUGUUCAAUGCAUGUAGUUGAGAUACCAUAGGCUUGACCUUUAUGUUAGUAUCCACUAAUGUGAGAACACUUGGAAUAGGAUCAUGUAGGACUUAUUAUUGACUUGUAAUGUAGGCUCGGGGACGGAUAAGAUAUUUAUUUGGGAUAAAAGUGACUAAUUCCUCCUUGAGCACUGCUUUGUAUCUGUGUCUUCGGCGCUUGAUCUUUGUUUUGCUAGAUGUCCGUUUCUUUGGUUUGACUUCUUUUAACUUGUCAUGUUUUUCGAGGUUUUUCUUCCUUUUUCUUUUUGAGGUUUCCCCUUAUUUUCUUGGAGUUCCCCACUUUCUUUCUUUUUUGUUGUGGAGUUUUUCUCCCUUUUUGUCGGAUCUUCUACUUGAACUUAUGGAAGUUUCCUCCUUUAUUAGGUUCUCCUUUUGAUUUUGUGGAAGUUUCCUCCUCUUGUUAGAUCCUCCUUUUAAACUGUGGAGUUUUUGCUUUCUUGCUUGAAGUCAUGUGAUGACCUAAGUGAUCGUCUUAUGUAUUGUAGACUCGUUCCCUGUUUAUUGUUUAUUCUAUCUUCUCUUGUGGAUAUGUGACUUUCUAGAGUGGUUGGUUUGGUUCCAGAGAUGUUUCGGAGUGAAUUAGGACAACUAGUCCCAAGGUUGGAAGCUUAAGUUAGAAGAGUUGAUCGGAUGUUGACAUUUAUGUAGACGAUUUCAGAAUGGGGUUUUGAUGGUUUUAUAGCUUCAUAUGGUGAUUUUGAACUAAAGCGUAUAUCCGGAUUUGGAUUUGGGGGUCUGUAGGUCAUUUUGGCUUAGAAUUGGCAAAAGAUGGAAAGUUGAAGGUUUAGAUAGUUGAGAAGUUUAACCGAGAGUUGACUUUGCUGAUACCGGGCAUGGAUUUGGGUUCCAGGAGUUGAAAUAGGUCCAUUGUAUCAUUUAUGACUUGUGUGCCAAAUUUGAGAUAAAGUGGUGUUGGUUUUGUAUGAUUCGACGUUAGUUUAGAAGUUGGAAGUUCAUCAGUUCAUUAGGCUUGAAUUGGGGUGCGUUUCGUGAUUUUAAUGUUGGUUGAUGUGAUUUGAGGCUUCGACUAUGUUCACAUCAUGUUUUAGGACCUGUUGGUAUGUUUGGAUGGUGUCCAUGGGGCCUCGAGUGUGUUUCGGAUCAAGUUCUCACUCAUUUUGGACUUGGAGGAGUUGUUGAUUUCUGUGGAUCUAGUUUCCUCUUCCGCGAUUGCGAGAAGAGGGAUGCGUUUGUGAAGGGUUAAUUUCAGAAAGUGGGCAUUUGUUCAACGCAUUCGUGAGUCACAAAAUGCAAUCGCAGAGAUUUUGUUAUUUGUGCAUCGCGAACGCAGGAAAUGGGACGUAUUCGCGAGGAAGGAAGGUGAGGCCUGGAAGUUGCACGCGUUUGUUCUUUGCGAUCGCGUGUGUUUGUCUGCGGUCGCGUAUGUGUGAGUUGCUAAGCAUCGCAUUCGCAACUAGUAGUUCGUGUUCACGUAAACCAUUUUGGAAGGGCAGUGAUUUUUGUUCUUCGAUAUCGCGAGGGACUUUCCGCAAGUGCGAAGAUGAACAUCUUGGCGGAAUAUUAAAAACCCAAAUCGAGGGUUAGAGUAUUAUUUUCAUAUUUGGAGUUGUAGAGCUCGGUUAUGGGCGAUUUUGGAGAGGAUUUUCAUGUCUUGGAUCGAGGUAUGUGUUUUGUACUUGGUUUGUCAUUAUUUCAUGAUUCCAUCUUUGUUUUAGCAUUUAAUUAGUGAAUUAUAGAGAAGAAAUGAGGGAACUUGUGGAAACUUUGCAACAAUGAAAAAUGGAGGUUUGAAGGUCGAUUUGAGGUUGGAAUUGAAUGAUUUUGAUAUGGUUGGACUCGUAAUUGAAAGGGUAUCCGGUAUUUGUGAAUUUUGCCAAGUUUUGAAGUGAGGGCCCGGGGUUGACAUUUUGGGUUGAUUUUUUGAUUGAGUUAAACAUCUUAGCUUCAUCUUUUUAAAUGACUUCCAAUAGCUUUUACUGAUAUUAUUCUGUUAUUUUUGCUAGAUUCGAGCCUUCCGGAGGUUACGCACGGGAAGGGCUUAUUAGUAGAGUGAUUGGGUUUGCUUGAGGUAAGUAUCUUGUCUAAACUUUGUGGAGGCAUUAGUUGCCUGAAUUAUUUGUGAUAGCUACAUGCUAUAGGUUGCGCAUAUGUGUGGGGUUGAGACAAUAUGUGUGUACCAGGGUACUAUUUCCAUACUCGGGGUAGUGCUUAAGUUAUGACAUGCCUUGAAAUGAUAGCUAAGUUUCAAUUUGAGAUGUUUCUCCUAUUCGUACACCUCUAUGAGCUAUUUGUACCAUAUUUGAGAUUUUGUUGAGGUUAUUCUUCCGUUUGAACCUGAUAAACUGAUAUUUCUUGACGGAAAUUGUUUGUUCUAGCUGUGAUAGUACACAUUGCACAUGCCUACUAUAUAUCAUGUUAUUUAUACAAGUCCAGGAGUAUGAAACUUGAUAAUCAUUAAUCAUGUUCAUGUAUUCCCGCAUAUUUUCUUUCUAUGUGUUAUGAGCUGGACUGGUACCGUGUAACCACGCCGGGUGGAUUGUAAUUAUAUGAAUGUGAGUUGUCCGUGCGACUAAUUCUAUUAACACGUGAGUUGUUCCUGCAACACAUGAAUUGUCCUAGCAGAUCCAGUUAUUGAUAUUAUUAGCACGUGAGUUAUCUAUGCAACACGUGAGUUGUCUAUGCGGUUGAUUCUAUUAGCACAUGAGUUGUCCUUGCAACAUGUGGAUAUGGAUCCAUCCCCCUAGGGUCACCCUCUAAUAUUUCUCUCUCGAUGGUGUACACAUGGUUAUUGAGGAAAACUGAUCAGUAGUUUGGUACGGAUAUACAGAAAGGUUGAGGAAAGUCUGGCCAGUUUUAUUUUGGAAUUGCAUUUCAUCUUUACUUGCAACUUCCAUGGUUUAUUAUCUAAUUAUCGGCAUAUCAUCUUAUAUGUUGUACCCGUGAUUGAACAAAGAUUUUGAGUUGUCAAGCCCCAAACAUGGGGAGGCGUGGCCGGCACUCGGUGCCAUACUCGGUCCGAGCGUACCACUCUAUAACUGUAAACUUUAGAGGGGUAUCCCUCAACUUAGGCCGACAAGGUCUUCCUACAUGCUGACAAUACCAAUCGAGGUCGAUGGGGCCAUAUUUUUAAUCAUCUGAAAAUAACAUCUCUCUUAUUUGAGGGGUAAACAUACCCAAAAGCUCAUAUACAUAAUUGUGCAGGCCGACGAGGUCACCAUGGAUGUCUCCAACCAGCAAUACCAAACUGAACAUAUACACUGGGCUGGAAAGGCAACAAUACUAAUAUACAAAAUACACAGAACUCAUCUACAAGCCUCUAGAGAUAACUGAACUGUAUCAUGGUUGGGACAGGGCGUCGACCUACCCAGCAAACCUAUAUAUAUAUAAAAGGGACUCCAAGGUCUAGACAUGGUAACUCCGAGCAAGUGGAGCUUACCAACCAAGGUGUUGUUUGACUCUAUCUUGUGGGAAGGUCUAUCUAGCUGUUUAUCAAGACUUGCAGGCAAGAAAUGCAGCAUUCCCGACAAAAAGAACGUUAGUACGAAAUAAUGUACCGAGUAUCUAAGGCAACAAAUAACUGAAAGCUGAAACUGAACUGAUAAUAGAAUAACUAAGAGUAACUGGCAGUCAAAGAUAAUCUGAAGAUAUGCUUACCUACUGGUACUGACUCAACUCUCUCAAUAUAGUAAGUAAAAUAGAUGUCCAGUGCUAUAAGGCUCGGUAUGUGUAACUACUCUAUCAUAGUAGGCUCGCUUAUAGGCGCUUCGCCAUACUAGGAUAUUUAUCUCGGCCAUUCUGGGCUUGCUCAUAGGUGCUCAGCCACAAUAGGAUUGAUAUAUAACUUAACAUAUGAUCAGAGGUUGCCCAAUAGGGGCCUGCCCACCGAUUAUAGCUCGAUCGUGGUGAAAAUACUGUAGUGCUACACAGUAGGUGCCUACCCACCAAUUAUAGCUCGAUGGUGGUGAAAAUACUAUAAUACUGUAUCUAUAUUGACUGGAAGAAGAUAAUACUUAACUUAAUAGAAAGUCCCCCAAAGGGAGAAUACUAUAACUUAUGAGACUAGGAUAAUGUGAAUAAAUUCCGGAAUACGAACUUCUCUUUAUGUCUCGUUAUCAAACACAUGUAGUUACGAGAUCUUGUCAAAAUAAAGAAAAGAUUUAGCCUUAACAUACAUUUUCACAAUCUAUCCAAUAACCACGUUGAACUCAUUUUGUUGCACCUUAAUCUACAACAACGAUAACAAUACUAUCAUCAAGUUACGGAAGGUACAACUAUCACACAACGAACGACAAACUUAUUUUAUAAUAAAGUGGGCAGCAUCUCCCCUCUAAUCUUUAUUUCCUCCCAAUUUAACAUAACACCAACAACAACAAGAACAUAGCAAUAACAACAUGUAUACAUCAUUUUACAACCUUAUAUCUAUCACAAAAUACCACAAAACUGCCCACAUUCCCCAAUCAGUUCAUACACAAAACUACAAACCUAGUAGUGUCAAACAACCCGAAAGUGUAAUGAUGAAUGACCAGCCAACCACCCUGUCAUUAUGUGGUGUUUCUCCACACCCUUUCUCCUCCCAAACUCCAUAAAAACAGUAUCAAAAUAGACAACCCAACUCCAACACAAAACAACCCACAAAACAGUCCCACAAGUUCAGCAACUCAAAACUGAUUUUUCAGUUUACUAAAACAUGUUUCGACUUGUCUUUUCUUUCAAAUUGAGCAACACAACCAACAAUACAUAAUUUUGCCUCUUAUCCUAUAAAACAACCAUGAAUUUAACUUAAAAAUAUGUUCACAACCAGCCAACAAUGACGCAAUAAUAAACAAUAUACCACUCUUUUGCAACUCGCUAGGUCUAGUGUUUACGAUCUUGUUAUAACUCGUAGAAGCAUAGAUAAUGGAAAGAGAAGCAUAAAUUUACCUUGGACUGAGUAGAACCCACGAAGACUAGUCCUUAUUUAUCCGAAAUGAGUCCCCCAACGCAGCUACAAGAAGGAGAAAGAGAAACUAGGAAGUUGUCCGGGGUUUUCUCCACUAGAAUAAUAUUGUAUCACCCGAAAUUACCUAGGGUUUGUGUGGGAUUUUUGGAGAUAAUUUGCAGGGGUUCAAUAUGAUUUUUUUUGGUUUGAGAAAGGAGUGAAAUAAAUGAGCUAAUAAGUCCUUAAAAGACCCCCUCUUGGCCUCCCCUCUCUUGUCACUUUAGGAGCUUUUAAUUGAGGCCUCUCCUUUUGAAUAGUAGGUGAUACACCUACUUGUCACCUACCAGUCUUGCAAAGAUGAAAAUAUCUAUCUCCUCUAAUGUUAUAUCAAUAAACGGUUUAAUCCUAUAAUAACUAGACUCGUAGAUCUUCAAUUUGGUGGGAAGAUCAUCCCGUAAUUCCAAGUACAUUGGGAGAAAUGCUCAACUACAUUUGACCUAAUUUUAAGCAUAUUUAUGAAUGUAACUUGUGAUGACCUUUGCCAACUUUUGUUUCACAACUCGCUUUACUUCAAAACAUAACACACGAGUAUCAUAAGACUAAAAUAACUCAUAACAUAACCUCCUUAUCAUUUUGAGCACCCUAGUCUCAUCCCAAAAGUACAUGUUAUAAUAUUCCCAACUUGUUGACUUUCAACGAAACUUUUUUUUUUCAAUUUGUUUAGCUUCUAAGUCAUCCAACCCUCUUGGUACUUGUUAUUAAUGAUCUUAAAUAUUUGCAACCUCCAAGGUAACAUGAUUAACUUACAUUAUAUUUUUUUAAAGAGGAUCUCAUUUACGAGCUUACUUCAAUUGACUGACGACGUACUUUUGCGUACAAAAAUAUGGGGUGUAACAUAAUUCCCUCCUUUGGAACAUUCAUCCUUGAAUGUUGACUGGUGCGCUUAUCAGUCUUAUAACCUAUAGCUUUUAUGAAUAGUUUAAUAAUGUCCUUGCCAUCUAGGCAACUGUUCUGUGAAUAAUUCCAAUGGCUAGGGCAUUUACCCCUUUAGGCCUCUUUCCCACACCACAAUAUGUAGUCGGAAUUUUUCCAAUCUCGUAACUGUUGCCACCUUCUGUCAUGCAGCCUGUACGACUCUGUCUUUGUAUGUGCGCCUAUGCGACUCUUCUCUCCUUUUUCCUCCAGCUUUUACUGAAUCUCUAUGCCUCACUCUGUGAAAGCAUACAAUCAUAUGACAAGCUGUCCCUCUGGGCAUCUAGUGGUGUAAUGAAGUUCUUCGCUUAGUACUUUGUCAAACUUACGACUAUUGCUAUAUCUGGUUUAAUAGCCUCAAUUAUCUAUACAUAUGUCUUUACUACAUCAAGGUAGGUCAUAUUAUACCAUAACACUUACUUCCGUUUAUUAUUACCGAGGUUUGCUACCUAACUUUAGGUUACUCGUUGCUUAUCCUAUAUGUAUAAAUCUAAGUCCUUUAAUGCUUCAUAAUUAUUUUUCAUGUUAAGAAUGACAACCUAAUCUUAUCUCAUACUUUGGAACUUUUAUCCAUAUAUUGUUGAUUCACCUUAAUGUUGAUCUAUAAUCUACCACUGAUAACAUGAAUUUUCUUACGUAACACUGUCACUAGGGCUCAAGUCUAAUCGGGGAACAUCUGAAGUGAUUAGCCUGAUCCUCCUAGGGGCGAUACUAUGCUUCAAUAACCAUAUUUCAUAACAUCCCAACGUGAUUCAUCUUAUGGGGGUUUUCUAAUCUUGUGUAGUUCAUGAAAUCCCUUUUCUUUAAAUCAUUACUCAAUCAAAUGCCUAAAUGUCAUUCUCUUAUCAUUUAUCACAAUUAAACUAUCACUCUACUACCAAGACACCAUUCCAUCUUUUCUAUUUAUACUACUUGCAACCUUUCUUUAAAUUGCUAGCACCAUAGAUUUUCUUAUGUUAUUCUAGAACCUCAAGUGAGACAUCAUGUCAUCUCUAAAUCUUCUUUACUCUCUUAACUAGACCUUUCGGUACCUGAAAACCAUAGGCUGGAAGAUAUGUCACCGACGACACCACUAUCAUUGCUGGAUACUAAAUCACGGUGUUUCUAGCCCUCUAUAUGAAAUCUGGACUAUUCAUAACCUUCCGCACUUAAGUAUCUCGUACCUUCUUUACCUUUACCUUUCUUAUCUUUAAAUUUGGCAUUGUAUCUUCUGUCGCUUUCAUAACCUUCUUUCCACAUAGGUGGAAUUCACGUCCAUAACUUAAAGAUCCACAAUAGUACUUGCACAUCCGAUGCAUACACAUUUCGACGGGAGCUUCAUACUGACUUCUUAUGAGGCUGGUACUCUUCUAACUGGCUUUAUCCUAGAGCCGUUAUACAAUAUGGCUGUUGUACUAUCUCUCUUGUACCUCUGAUAUUAAGAGUGAUUCUGCAAUGUUCUUAAUCACGAUUCCUAUAAUAAUUUGGAUCUAAUAAUCAGAAUCCUCAUUUACUUAGUUGAUGUAACUCUUUAGAUUCCUCUUCUCUCUCAGCCUUUAAGUAGGCUUAAGAUAUCUUUUGAUCUGUGGCUCAAGGUAUUAGUUAUUACAUUAGCCUUUCGUGGACGCUAUGGAACAUACAUGAUAUAACCUUCUAACAAUUCAAGCCUUUGUUUGUGACGUGGACUCAAUUCUUUCUUUUAAAUUAUACUGGACUCUUCUAUAGUUGCAUGAAUGACAACAUAUAUGCUGCAUGGAUAAUACUAUGAAUCUUAAGUGCGUUCAUAAUGUAACUAAAUCUGGGUCAUUCAUCGAAUAAUUCCUUUCGUGCCUUCUCAGCUUUCUUUAAACAUAAGCAAUUACUUAUCCUGGUCUUUCUAGCAGUUGUUGCAUGAAUACUUAGGCUUAACUUAGUUCCCACGCAUGGUGGAAUAUUUUACAACUCAUAUGAUCAUGAAUAUUACUUUUGUUUACUUUCCGUUCAUUAGCCACGAUAGGUACCACUUUCUUAGUGAGUGCAUACAAUAUUGUAGUGAGAUUGUUGUUAAAAAACCAUUUCUUCUUUAGGUUACUAUGCUUAGGUUGAAGCGUUCUUCCUUAUUUCCUCAGCUAAUAUUUUGUGGUAGUACUUAGGGAAGACUCUCUAACUCUUGUAAAGCUGCAAGUUUAUUACAUCAUAUACCCGACAGAAUUUCUGAUGUUCUUACUCACUUAUAAAUAUCCUUAGUUACAUACCUCUAUGCCAUUGUUCUCAUAGGGUUACUUCUGAACUCAAAUAUUUUUUGUUGUUUCCCCCGUGGCACUAUCGUUUAUUUCCGAAACACUUAUACGGCAACUAUAACUACCUCAACUCCUAUCUGAAUAUUUCUCAAGGAUUACAAUGUCGUAUCUGCGAGACUGAAUUCCCUAUGUUAGGUUUUACUAGGUUUAUCUUGCAUGAUAUGUUGAUUUAUCUGUAUCCUGUUGUCUAGCCAUAACUAGGCUCUUCCUGAAUCAACUACUAACUACUCAUUGGUCCAUUCUCAUAUCUAUAUUUUGGGUAAUCUCUCUUGGGUUGUUUCCUUUGUCUUAACAGACCUCUCACACUGGCUCCUUAUGUAUCAAGUGUUCAUUCGCACUUAUUUAUCAAUAACAUCCUUGGAGAAACCCUUAAUGCAUUGCUCCGCCAUCGUGCUUGCAUAAUGUUCUAGAGUCAUAACAUAUCUGUAGGAUCUGAAUAAAUGCAAUCUCAUCCCUUGCGCCUUUUUACCACAUUCAUCCUUUACUAUUCCAUAGUUACCUCUUCAUAUUUGGCAUCGUUUCACAUCUUCACUGACUCUUACUCGCCUUGUGGUUACCCUUCUUUGCCAAGAAUAACUGAAUUCCUUACGCACGAGGGUGACACCUAGUGUAACUGGCACACUUAGUCCCUUAAGCUUAACUCUGCUCACACUGCUUGUUUUAGGGAAGUAUAUUCUUGAAUGACCUUUAAAGGUUAUUCUUCUGUUGUCCAUUCAAUUUUUGUCGGAACGCGGUCUCUGAAAUUCUCAUGAUGUCGACUAUUAUCAAAACCUCUGGUCCCUAAUUCAUGUUCAAUUUAUCUUGUUUACUAGCCUAUGUUGAUUUCUAUUACUCCGGGGGUCUAACUUAGCCUUCUGCUAAUUACGUUGGAGUCGCCAACNNNNNNNNNNNNNNNNNNNNNNNNNNNNNNNNNNNNNNNNNNNNNNNNNNNNNNNNNNNNNNNNNNNNNNNNNNNNNNNNNNAUUAUCACCCAUUUAUCACAUAUUAAUCACAAUGCUUCAAUUACUAUCUUUUCAUUUUCCUGCUAAUAUUUUUGUCUAUUACCUUAUUUUGAAAACUACAACAAAAGUUUCUUUUGUUUUUAGCUCCCCUUGCCCCAUCUCACUAGCUCUUCGGGUCGCCUAACAUUCUCUUUUUACCAGGGUCAUGAGUCAUACUAAGGAAAUAGUUAUCCCUUCUAGGAUUACAAUGCUUAUCUUCUAAAGUUUUUGAACAUUCUAGUAUUCAUAUCCGACUGUUCUAUUCUAGUUUGCACCAUCUGGGUGUCUCACAAGGAGAAGUAUUACCACGUUUGCAAUAUCCUUCAAAACUGUAAUCUAGUGCUAACAAUCCAUCCACUAUUUUGGUUUAUUCUAACCCCAUCUGGAUCCUGAUAUCCAAUCCUUCUCGAACACUAUAUUUGUUAGCUCCCAUAGGGCAUAACUGAGAUGGGUGUGGCAAAGUGUAAAUACCUAUGUUACUAUUGAAGGUAACUCAGAAUGCUUAUAUUUCUCCUCCAUAAUUGAAAAUACUGAUAAUAUUCACUAAUUUGGUACCUCGUCCGCUCCUUCGCCUUGCUUUUGUUACCAAUUGAAACUUAUUCUCUCACCUUCUGAUACUUCCAUGGCCUGCUAUUCACGAGUUGUGCUUGAUAUUCCCAUCAUAGGGUCUUAAGCUGGAUAUUUUCACAUCUGGUACGCAUAAUUUGAUAGUGCCUCAAAUAGGGCCACAUCGUCAAGAACUCUCUCUCUAUUAGUGCCCUUACCUGUUGUUGUAUUAGCCCUCUGGCUAGCUGAAAUCUUCAUAAUUGCAAACAUCUCUGCAUCAUUAGCAAACAAAAGUCGUGACUCAAACUCUUAUGACUCAGCUCUAUAACACAAUUUGGAUUUGAAAGAAGGGUAACAAACUCCUAAAUGCCUAGUAGCUUCCUGUUUAUAUAAUGUGAUGCACAAUACUUCUAUAAACAAAGCUCUACUAGAGAUGGCUUGUAGACACCCUAGGAGAACUGCUCUGAUACCAAGUUUGUCAUGCCCCAAACUCGGGGAGGCGUGGCCGACACUCGGUGCCAUACUCGGUCCGAGCAUACCACUCUAUAACUGUAAGCUCUAGAGGGGUUUCCCUCAACUUAGGUCGACGAGGUCUUCCUGCAAGCUGACAAUACCAAUCGAGGCCGAUAGGGCCAUAUUUUGAAUUAUCUCAAAAUAACAUCUCUCUCAUUUGAGGGGUAAACAUACCCAAAAGCUCAUAUACAUAACUGUGCAGGCUGACGAGGCCGCCAUGAAUGUCUCCAACCAGCAAUACCAAACAGAACAUAUACACAGGGCUGGGAAGGCAACAAUACUGAUAUACAAAAAACACAGGACUCAUCUACAAGCCUCUAGAGAUAACAGAACUGUAUCAUGGCCGGGACAGGGCGUCGACCUACCCAUCAAACCUGUAUAUAUAAAAUGGUCUCCAAGGUCUAAACUUAGUAACUCCGAGGAAGUAGAGCUUACCAACCAUGGUACAGUUUGACUCAGUCUUCUGGGAAGUCUAUCCAGUUGUCUAUCGGGACCUGCAUGCAUGAAAUGUAGCGACCCCGGCUAAAGGGACAUUAGUACGAAAUAAUGUAUCGAGUAUGUAAGGAAAUAGAAUAACUGAAAUCUGAAAACAAAACUGAUAAUAUAAUAACUAAAAGUAACUGGCAGUCAAAGAUAAUCUGAAGAUAUGCUUACCUACUGGUACUGACUCAACUCUCUCAAUAUAGUAUGUAAAUUAGAUGUCUGGAGCUAUAAGGCUCGGUACGUCUAACUGCUCUGUUGUAGUAGGCUCGCUCAUAGGCACUCUGCCAUACUAGGAUAUUUAUCUCGGCUAUUAUGGGCUUGCUCAUAGGCGCUCAACCUCAUAGGGUCCCACCGUAGAGUUCGUAGCCUAUGAUUUCAGCAAAAGAAGCUACACCACCCGCACAACCAGCUCGAGGUGGGGCUCAGUCAGUUCAAGGCUACCCUAGAUGGGUAGGGAGAUCAGGCGGUGGUCAGGCCCGUUGCUACGCAUUUCUAGCCAGGUUAAAGGCAAUUGCCUUCGAUGCCACAGGGAUGCUUUGGUAUUAUUUGAUCCUAGUUGCACUUAUUCAUACGUGUCAUCAUACUCCGCUUGUUAUUUGGAUAUGCCACGCGAUUCUUUAGUUAUGCAUGAUCAUGUAACUACAUCGAUGGGUGAUUCUAUUAUUGUGGACCGUGUAUAUCGGUUGUAUGUGAUGACUAUUUGGGGAUUAGAGAAGAUAGUUGAUCUUUUACUACUUAGCAUGGUUGAUUUCGAUAUGAUUUUAGGCAUGGAUUGAUUAUCACCAUGUCACGCUAUUCAAGAUUGUCACGCUAAGACAGUGAAGUUGGAAAUGUCGGGUUUCAUAGGGAUAAGUGGAGAGGUUCCUUGGAUUAUGUUCCCAGUAGAGUAAUUUCAUAUUUGAAGGCUCGACAAAUGGUUGGGAAGGAAUGUCUAGCAUAUUUGGCCUUUGUGAGGGAUGCUCUGAUGCUCCUACAGUUGAGUCAGUUUCGGUAAUGAGAGACUUCCCAGAUGUGUUUCCUGUAGACAUACCGGGCAUGCCACCAAAUAGGGACAUUGAUUUUUGUAUUGACCUUGUGUCGAGCACUUAUCUCAUCUCUAUUCCUUUGUACCGUAUGGCACCAGCAGAGUUGUAAGAAUUGAAGGAACAAUUUCAGGAGCUACUUGAUAAGGGAUUCACCAGGCCUAGUGUGUUGCCUUGGGGUGCACAUCGAUCAAAUUUGUGAAGAAGAAUGAUGGUACUAUGCUGAUGUGCAUUGAUUUUAGGUAGUGGAACAAAGUUACAACUAGGAACAAGUACUCACUACAAUGCAUUUAUGACUUACUUGAUCAGCUUCAAGGUACUAGAGUGUUCUCUAAGAUUGAUUUGAGGUCUAGGUAUCACCAGUGACGAUUUGUGAUUAUGACAUUCCAAAGACGGCAUUCAAGACCCGUUAUGGUCACUACGAGUUUCUUGUGAUGUCAUUUGGGCUGACCAAGGCCCCAGCAGCCCUUAUGCACCUGAUGUACAGUGUUUUUCAGUGAUAUCUUGAUUCUUUCAUCAUAGUGUGCAUUGAUGGUAUAUUAGUGUACUCAUGCAGCCAGAAAGAUCAUGAGCAGCAUCUGAGGAUUGUACUCCAAACAUUGAGGUAGAAGAAGCGAUAUGCUAAAUUCUCAAUGUGUGAGUUUUGGUUCGAUUCGGUGGUGUUCCUAGGCUACGUGGUAUCUAGUGAGGGCAUCAAGGUAGAUCCAAAGAAGAUUGAGGUAGUUCAGAGUUUGUACGGACCGUCUUCAACUACUGAGAUUCGGAGUUUUCUUGGUUUGGCAGGUUAUUACCACAAUUUUGUAUAGGGCUUCUCAUCUAUUAUUGCUCUUUUGACUAGAAUGACCCAUAAUGGUUCCCCAUUCAGGUGGUUGGAUGAGUGUGAGGAAAGAUUUUAGAAGCUAAAGGCUGCAUUGACUACAUCUGCAAUGUUAGUAUUGCCUACGGUUUAGGAUCUUACACCGCGUAUUAUGAUGUGUCGCGUAUUUGGCUUGGCACGGUGUUGAUGCAGGACGGUAGGGUGAUUGCCUACGCGUCUCGGCAGUUGAAGGUUCAAGAGAAUAAAUACCACGUGCAUGACUUAGAGUUGGCAACUAUUGCUCACGCAUUGACGAUUUGGAGGCACUAUAUAUAUAAUGUUCAUUGUGAGGUCUAUACUGACGAUCGGAGUCUCCAGCACCUGUUCAAGCAGAAGGAUCUUAAUUUGCAGCAGUGGAGAUGACUAGACUUUUUGAAAGACUACAAUAUCACUAUAUUAUAUCAUCCGGGGAACGCCAAUGUAGUGGCCGAUGCAUUGAGUAGGAAGGCAGAAAGUAUGGGCAGUUUACAUAUUUACCAGUAGUAGAGAGGCCACUAGACAUGGUUGUUCGGGCCUUGGCCAAUCAGUUUGUGAUUUUGGAUGUUUUAGAGCCUAGUCGGGUUCUUGCAUGCAUUAUGGCAUUGUCAUUUUUGUUGGAGUGAAUCAAGGCUCGGUUUGAUGAUCCUCACUUGUUAGUGUUGAAGGAUACGGUUUAGCGGGGUGGUGCCGAGGAGGUUGUGAUUGAUGAUGAUCAUGUUAUGCGGCUUAGAGGUAGGAUUUGUGUUCCUAAUGUUGAUGGAUUGAGAGAUUUAAUCCUUCAGGAGGCUCACAUCUCCUGCUAUUCCAUUCACCCAAAUGUCAUAAAGAUGUACUGUGACUUGAAACAACACUUUUAGUGGUGGAGAAUGAAGAAUGAUAUCAUUGCUUAUGUCUCUCGAUGUUUGAAUUGUCAACAGGUGAAGUAAGAGCAUCAGAAACCAGGAGGGCUGAUUCAGAGAUUGGAGAUACCUGAGUGGAAGUUCGAGCGCAUCACUAUGGAUUUUGUAGCAGGCUUGCCACGAACCUUGAAGAAAUAUGAUGCAGUUUGGGAUAUUGUGGACCAGUUGACUAAAUCAGCAAACUUCAUUCCAGUGGUGACUUCCUACUCUGCAGAGCGGUUAGCUUAGAUUUACAUCCGGGAGAUUAUCUGCUUGCACGGCGUGUCCAUUUCCAUCAUUUCUAACUGAGGCACACAGUUCACAACGUAGUUGUAGAAAGCAGUUGAGUGAGAGUUGGGCACACGGGUUGAAUUGAGUACAGCAUUUCAUCCUCAGACGAACGGGCAGUCCGAGCACACUAUUCAAAUCAUGGAGGAUAUGUUACGUUCCUAUGUUAUGGAUUUUCGAGGUUCAUAGGAUUAGUUUCUUCCGUUAGCAGAGUUCGCCUACAACAACAACUUCCAAUCGAGUAUCCAUAUGGCUCCAGAUGAGGCCUGAUAUGCGAGGAAAUGUCGUUCUCCAGUUGGUUGGUUUGAGCCAGCAGAGGCUAAGUUCUUGGGCACUGACUUAGUCUGUGAUGCCUUAGAGAAGUUAAAGUUUAUCCAGGAGCGGCUCCGUACAGAGCAGUCCAGACAAAAGACCUAUGCUGAUAGAAAGGUUCCUGAUGUGGAAUAUAUUGUGGGUGAGAAGGUAUUGCUAGAGUUUCACCCAUGAAGGGUGUGAUGAGGCUCGGGAAGAAGGACAAGUUGAUCAAUAGGUAUAUUGGUCGUUUUGAGAUGCUUGAUAGAGUUGGAGAGGUGUCCUAUAAACAUGCAUUGCCACCUAGUGUAUCGGGUGUCCACCCAGUGUUUCACAUUUCUGCUCUUCGGAGGUAUUAUAUUGAUCCCUCACAUAUUUUCGAGUUCAGCACACUACAGUUAGAUCGAGAUUUGACUUAUGAUGUGGAGUCGGUGGCCAUUUUUGAUCGGUAGGUUUGAAAGUUGAGGUCAAAGAAUAUAGCAUCAGUGAAAGUUCACUGGAGAGUCAUCCAGAUGAGGAGGCUAAUUAGGAGGACGAGCAGGAUAUGAGGGGCAGUUAUCCACACCUAAUUGAGACUCCAGGUAUGAUUCUAGAUCCGUUCGAGGAUGAACGUUUGUUAAAGAGGGGGAGAAUGUAACGACAUGCCUAGUCGUUUUGUGUAUUGUAGCCUCAUCCCUGUUUAUUGCUUCUUCUAUAUUUAUUUGUGGUUAUGUGACUUACCAUAGUGAUUGGUUUGGUCCCGGAUAUGUUUCGGAGUGAAUUUGGACACUUUGUCCCACGGUCAAAAGUUUAAGUUGAAGAGUUGACUGGAGUUUGAAUUUUGUGAAAACGACUCCGUAAUAGAGUUUUCAUGGUUUCGUUAGCUUUGUAUGGUGAUUUUGGAUUUCGACAUAUAAUGCUGUUUUGGAGGCCCGUAGGUUGAUUUGAUAAUUUUUGGCGAAAUUUGAAAAGUUAAAGGUUUGGAAGGUUGAGAUGUUUGACCGAGAUUUGAGUUUGUCGAUAUCGGGUUCGGAUUUUAUUUUCUCGAGUUGGAGUAGGUCCGUUUUAUUAUUUAUGACUUGUGUUAAAAAUUUGAGGUCAUUAAGAAUUGAUUUGAUAUGAUUCGUCAUUUGUUUUAUAAGUUGGAAGUUCAUUAGGCUUGAAUCGAUGUGUGAUUUCUGGUUUUGGUGUUGUGUGAUGUGAUUUGAGGCUCUGAGUGAGUUUGUAUUGUGUAUUAGGACUUGUUGCGAUGUUUGGUCGGGGUCGGGGGCUUCCCGGGUGUUUCAGAUGGUAAGCAUAUCAUGUCGGACUUGGGGAUGAUGGCUGGAGGCUGGUGACGUUGGGUCUAAUCGCACAUGCGGUGGGCUUGGCCGCAGAUACGGAGCCGCAGGUGUGGCUGAAGGUUCGCAUAAGCGAAGAUAGGUGCUCAGGGAAAAGUCCACAGAUGCGGACAAUGGACCGCCGGUGCGGAAGGUGAGCUAGGCAGAGGAGUCCACAGAGGCGGACGUAUGUUCUUAGAAGUGCAUACACAUGUGCGAGGGAAGGUCUGCAGAAGUGGUAUAUGUCUAGAUGGGCAUGAGUUGUAGAUGCGGAAGAAUUUCUGCAAGUAUGGACCCGCAGAAGCGGGUGUUGGACCGUAGAGCGGUAGGUCGGGGUCUUAAGUGAAAUGCGCAGAAUUGGAUCUAUUUGUGAUUGGAAUUGGAUAAUUUUGGUAUGGCUUGACUCAAAAUUGAAUAUGUAUCCAGAAUUGGUGAGUUUUGUCGGGUUCUGAGGUGCGGGCCUGGGGUUGACCUUUUGAGUUGUCUCUUUGACUUGAGUUAAAGAUCUUAGCUUUAUCUUUUUGAAUCACUUCCUAUGACUUUUAUUGAUGGUGUUAAGUUAUUUUUGCUAGACUCGAUCCGUUCAGAGUUUGAUACGCGCGGGAAGGGCUUGUUAGCGGAGUAAUUUGGCUUGCUUGAGGUAAGUAUCUUAUCUAAACUUGGUUGAGGCACAAGUAACCUGAAUUAUUUGUGAUUGCUACGUGCUAUGAGUGACUCAUAUGUGUGGGGUUGAGCCCAUAUACAUGCACCGAGGUACUAUUUUCAUGCUCGGGGUAGUGCUUACUCUAUGAUAUGCCUUGAAUUGAUUGCUAAGCUUCAAGCCGAGAUGUUUCUCCUAUUUGUACCCCUAUGUAAACUAUUUGUACCACAUUUGAGAUAUCAUUGAGGUUAUUCUUCCGAUUGAACAUGAUAAACUACUAUUUUAUGAUUAAAUUAUCUUUUUAAACUAUGAGUACGAAACUUGAUAACCAUUGAUAAUCUACAUGUAUUCUCGUAUAUUUUCCUUCUCUACGUAUUUACUAGUUUUUGGGGGAUUUAUCUUGUAUUAGCGGUAUUUUGUUAUAUUGAGAUUUCAUACUUAUGUUAAUCCUGCAAAUUCCAUUAUUUGGGUCUUUUAUUGUUAGUCCGGCUUGCAUAGAAAAGGUGUUAGGCGCCAUCACGACGGGUUGGGAUUUUGGGUUGUGACAGAUGUACAUUGUGUAACAUACUCCGGACUUAGAAAGAAUUCCACAAGGUGACAACUAAUUAUAUAUAAAUUAAUCAUAAUAAAUCUCAUUCAUAGAAAAAGGGGAUAAUUAUCAUGGAUUUAUACGAAGCAUGUAUUUAUUUAAAGUAGAGUGGCUAAAAUAAGUACUUUCAAGAUUGAGUGACUUGAAAGUUCAACUAAACAUGGUAGCACAUAUGUAAGAAAAUGCACAAUUAUCUUAUUAGGAAAAAUAAUGUCAUGCUUAUGCAGUGAAGAACUAAUUCAAUUAAUUAGGUUCGUAUCGAUCCUAGUCAAUCAAUCAAGCAGCAAAAGCACAUCUAAUAAGUUAAUCAUAGUUCAAGCUACACAUUUAUUUCACAUACAUGUGGAAUGUUUAUUAUUUAACUAGAUGUAUUUUAUCCUAAGUGUUGUCACAUAUGAGAAAAUAUAAAGCAAGCAUAAAAUAAAUAAUUAAAUAUGAUAUCUAUCUACGAUCUUAUUAUACUUGUAUUUUUGGGUACAUCCGGAAAUGGUAAGUACGAAGCGGGGAUUUGAUGAGGGUUUUGUCUUUAAUUUUUCUCCAAACAUCAUCUCUCAAAAGCGACUCCAUGUGAUAAUACAUUGUAAGACAAUAGAACAACCGUUAAUGAAAUAAUAGAAUAAAUUAACAAAAUGACAUGUUUUGGAAAGUGAUUUCUUGGAAAUGUUUUUGGAAAAUGGUUUUUUUAAAAUAGUUUGAAAAUAUUUUUGGGGAAAGGUUUUGGAAAAUAAUUUAAAAAAUAUAAAAGGAGGCUCAUAUAUGCAUUUUUGAUUUCCUACUAGACAUGACAACGAGAACCGCUUUGGUGGAAACCACAGUGGCCAACCGUGUCCCCGUCCAAAGGUUAUCAGCUAUUCGCGUCCUCGUCUUUUUUUUCCUGAUUUUUAUCAUCAUAGCCUCUUUAUUUUGGGACCCGUCUGGAGGGACAUUCGGGGUGUCAUGGCCUCAAUAAUUAUUUUUCACUAGCGUUGGUGUAGUAGAACCUUUCAAUACCAGUAGAAUCAAACCAAGACAAACAUUGGUUCAAGAAUACAUUAUCAACAAUAUUCAAAGUAUUCAUUGUAAUCCUCAAGAGGCGGACUUUUUCCAUAGGAUGAUUAUAAUUAUAUCGUUAAAAUGCCACUUACCACUAAAGAGAUCAAAUCGUAACAAAAUCGAAGAUACAAGCAAUCUGUAACGACCCAACCGGUUGUUUUGUGUAUUAUAGCCUAUUCACCUAUUUAUUGCUUCUUCUGUGUUCAUGCUUUUUUAUGUGACUUGCCGUGGUAGUUGGUUUGGUUCCGAGGAUGUUACGGGCUGAAUUGGGACACGUAGUUCUAAGGUUGGAAGUUUAUGUUUAAAGAGUUGACUAGAGUUUGACUUUUAUGUAAUAGGCUCCGAAAUAAAGUUUUGAUGGUUCCAAUAGCUUCGUAUGGUGAUUUUGGAAUUAGGCAUAUCUCUAGAUAUUGAUUUGGAGGCCCGUAGGUCAUUUUGGCUUGAAUUGGCGAAUGAUGGAAAGUUGAAGGUUUGGAAUGUUGAGAAGUUUGAUCCGGAGUUGACUUUAUUGGUAUCAGGUUCAGAUUUUGGUUUCGUAAGUUGGAAUAGGUCCAUUAUGUCAUUUAAGACUUGUAUGCUAAAUUUGAGGCCAUUCGGAGUUGUUGUGGUAUGAUUCAACGUUAGUUUUAGAAGUUGGAAGUUCAUUAGUUGUUGUUAGGCUUGAAUUGAGGUGCGAUUCGUGAUUAUGGUGUUAUUUAAUGUGAAUUGAGUGCUCGAGUAAGUUCGUAUCGUGUAUUAGGACUUGUUGGUAAGUUUGGAUCCCAGGGGCCUCGGGUGCGAUUUGGAUGAUGUACGGACCAUGUUUGGACUUACUAGUAAUAUUGAAGAAUUUCAUGGUCUAGUGCAAUCGCACCUUCAAGGAUUUGGUUGUAGGUGCGAUACCACAAAAGCGGUCAGGCCAUCAUAGGUGCGGAAUAUGCUGGGGCUAGGAAUUGCACAUAUGUGAAUGUUGGUCUACAUCUGCAAAGCUCGCAGAUGCGGGAUGUGGAGGGCAUAAGUGAAAUGGAGUAUGGUCAUGGGUUUCUGCAGAAGCAAAGUGGAGUGUGGACAUUGAGGCGCAAGUGCGCGUGUGCAGAAGCGGAGGUUGGCUGAAGGGUCUGGGACCGCAUCGUGAUGGAUCCUAAAAGUGCAGAUGAUUUUUCUUGAUAGAUCUACCAUGGUAUUGUUGUUUUGACAUGUAUACUUGACAUGUAGUCAUAGAGAUGUACUUUCCUCAUGCCAGCUGAUAAAUAAAAUGUUUUAUACAUCAUGGACCUUAACUGUUAUACUUGAAAUCAUGUCCAAAUUCCUGUAUUUUGAAUAAACUGAACAUAACAUCAUUGAGCUAAUUACUUUUAUUGUUCCAUUUAUAUCUUGAGUUGUUAUCGGUUCAUUAAUGUUGAUAUCUUAUUGUUUCUUUCGAGUUCAUCACCUCUUUCAAAUCAAUGUUAGUGCUGUUACUUAUUGAGUACAUGGGUCGGUUAAACUCAUACUACUCUCUACACUUUAUGUGCAGAUCCAGGUGCUUUCGGAGGAGGUGAUCUCUUGAGUUUUGUUGCUACUAGCUUGGGAGACUACGAGGUAGCUGCCAUACCAUCCGUACACCUUGAAGUUCUCUUUUAUUAUCUAUUAUUUCUUUUCUACUAUUCAGAUAGUUAUAUACAGAAUAUGGUCAUGUAUUGUGAGACUUGGUAGUGCUCAUGUACUUGUUGACACCAGAUUUUGGGAAUGGUUAUAGAUGCAUAACAGUUACGUUCUCAGUUCUUUCAUGAUGUUUACAUUGUUCAGUUUAUUAAACCUUGUUUUAAUCAUACUCCUUGUUCUCAUGUGACUAUUGGCUUGCCUAGCAUGUAGUGAUAGGUUCCGUCGCAGCUCCAGUAGGAGUUGGUUCGUGAUAAGUUGGUAUCAGAGCGCUAGGUUGCUUAGGUCUCAUGAGUCAUGAGCAAGUUUGGUAAAGUCUUACAGAUCGAUACAGAGACGUCUGUACUUAUCUUCGAGAGGCUACCAAACUGUUAGGAAACUUCCCUUUCUUGCGGAUUUGUUAAUUCUGGAAUUCAAAAUUCUAUUAUUAUAUUCUCUCACUGAUGGUGAGGACACGCUCAACUGAUCCGGCACAGUACCGCAAGUUAGGGUGGCGCGAGGCUGCGGUAGAGGCCGAGGUGCGGCUCAUACAACAACUAGGGCAACACCUAUGGAGCCACCAAUUUCUCCAGCUGAGGAGCAGGUACCAGACGUGGUUAAGGCGGUGGGACCAGCUCAAGCACCAGUACUGCCCAUUGUUAUCCCAGGCCUUCAGUAGUCCUUAGCUCAUAUUUUGAUUGUAUGCAUGAGCCUGGCUCAGGCGAUUUCGGUUCUAGCUGCACUAGCCAUCUCACAGGCUGGGGGAGGUACCCAGUCUCUUUCCGCCCGUACUCUAGAGCAUGUAGCUCAGGGACUUCAGACAUUGGGGAUACCAUCCAUUCAAUCGAUUGUUCCCACUCGGGCCGAGGUUGGUUCACCUAUGAGUGAUGAGGAGUAGAAGAUUUUGUAAAGUUUAGGGAGGCUUAAGGCUUCAGAGUUCGGCUGAGAGGAGUUAGAGGAUACUCAAGAUAUUCUAGACAAGUAUUAGCGGAUUCUUUGCACAACGGGUAUUUUGGAGACCAGUAUAGUUGCAUUUGCCACUUUUUAGUUGAAAAGGGAAGCCUGCAGAUGGUAGCAGGCCUAUGAGUUGAGCAGGCUAGUUGGUACAUCACCACAUACAUGGCAUGAGUUCUCAGUUUGUUUCUUUGAGAUAUUUGUUCCAUAGAUUUGUAGAGAGGAGCUGCGUAGAGAUUUUGAGCAGCUACGCUAGGGAGAUAUGAUUGUUACUCAGUAUGAUAUGAGAUUCGCAGAUCUGCCCUGUCAUGAUAUAUUGUUGGUUCCCACGAAUAGAGAGAGGAUAUGUGGUUCAUUGAUGGCAUCAACUAUGGCUUAUGUUAAAGCCUGGCUCGAGAGGCAGAGAUGGAUGAUAGGCUUUGACCAGGUGGUCGAGAUUGCUAAGAGCUUGGAGUUGGUUUGCUAGCUUGAGCGCAAGGAGCAGGAGGACAAGAGGCCCCGUGGAUUUGGUGGUUUUAGUGGCACCUCAUCUAGAGGUCAAUCACAUCACUACAGAGGUCAUCCUUAUACGUCAGCUCAGAUGGCUCGUCAGGUUUCUCGUGGUGCAUCCGCUAGUCACGGUUCGUACAACACCCAUCAAGUUCAGCCAUCUUUUAGUGCACUACCAGCUCAGAUCUCAUAUCGUGCUCCAUCAGUCCAGGGUUAAUCGGUAUCGGGUCCUUUCAUUGGGUAUUCUAUUUCUCGAGGGUCCGAUGCACGCCCCACAGUUAUUUUGAGCUCGAGGUUUCUACGAUUGUGGAGAGUUUAGGCAUGCGAGAAAGUAUUGCCCAGUCAUUACAGAGGUCCAGUUCAACACGGGGGCCAGGCUAUGACUUCUGCACCAGUUGCUAUACCAUCCACUUAGCCAGCUCGGGGUGGAGUUCAUGUGGGUUGAGGUUGCCCCAGANNNNNNNNNNNNNNNNNNNNNNNNNGAAAAAGAGCCACCACCUAAUAUUUAAAGGUAUACUAGGGUACCUAUCUAAUUACUAAAGUCAUAUUCUUUAUUAAUUUGCUUACCAGUGAGAUUAUAGGUAAGGUUUCUUGAUAUUCUAAGGGGAAGGUGUUAGGCACCCCUUAAAAAUUACUUGAGGUAGCUCAAUAUGACUUAGACUAGAUUUAGGAUUAAUUAUUUUUACUAUGCUUAACUAGUUCUUAAAAGGUCAUGGCUUGCUAUGCAUUAGGACAUAAUACUUACGAAAGUAUUGUGUAGCUUAAAGGGGAUGGAUAAGAGCUUAAAACGUAUAUAUAAUGUUCGUAUUUAGGAAAAUAUGUGAAAAGAAAAGCUAAGUUAAAACACUUUGUUCCUAAUACAUGGAAGUUCAUAUUACUCUAAUGAGAUGAAGAUGUUAUGAAAGUAAGCCUAAUAUAUACCUUGGCUUUUGAAUAUUUGAAGGAACCAUUUGAAAAUCAUUAUUUGGGGCGGAGCACCUUAUUUUUCAAAAUGAGUUGAUUUCCUAUUUGAAGCUCAAACUUGCGAUUCAGUUCUGGUUUUUAUUUUUUAAAGAGGAGCUGUCGUCUCUUGCUAAUCUUUUGGGCUUCAAAAUCAUUAUGAAAAGUUAGCAAAACAUAGCAGCUUAAUAAUAUAAAAAACUUAUGAUUAGCGAAUGUAAGAUUAGUUACUAACUAAUACUUCUUUUAAUCCUAGGUUAUUUAGGGAUUGCGUAAGUUGUUAUAUGACUUAACAUAUAAAGUAAAGCAUUCAAUCCAAUAUAUAAUUAUUUUAUACAUGUGAGAUAAAACAACAACAACAAGAACACAGCGAAAUGCAACAAUGCAGUAAGGCUAAGGCAAUAAGGUAGUAAAUAAUAAAGGACUCAAAAGGAAAGGAUUGGACUCUGGUGUUUGGGCAUCCAAUAGGCAGGCCCAACAAUACAGGGACGUGCAACAGUUAACUCUGGACCUUCCGAGAUAUAGCAAUGCUGCAUUUGGGAUUGAGUUCCUUAAGAACUCAGCAGGCCCAAGCAAAUGUACAUGUUCAAAAUGAAAAGAGAAGGUCAUUAUAAAGAUAAUACUAUAUACAUGUUCAUACAUGAAACUUACAAGAACAAAUAAAGAAGGUGACUAACAGUACUUAAACACUAGGAGGGUCAUACUAACGUGGCAGUUAUGUACUAGUAAGUGAUCCACAUUGGAUAACACAUUUUAAGGUUAGAUAAAGAGCACACACUUCAAAUAAGCAACAACUUAGAAAUACAGAUUCCUUUGCCUUAGCAGACUAAUCACAGAUUGGUUUAAUUCAGGUCUGGUCACUAGCACUUACAUAGGUCUACAAUACUACUUGGAACUUUUGAAAGAAUCAACAAAAGAUUCAGACAAACAUUCAUAGUUAGAAACCUCUACAGGUGUUGCCAGAAUAUAAUUAGAACUUUUAACAUGACUAUAGGUUUGCAGAUUCAAAUGGAACAUCUAAGAAUGCUUAACAUGGUCACAGCCUAUUAGUCUUACUUAACGUUGAAAUUGAUGACUGAACCACCCCUUUACAAGAGUAUUAAUCUCAUUAUGAAAUAGGCAAACUAUUAUAUCUAAGUAGUAGUAAUAAGAAGUUUCCCUUAGGGUUCAUAUAUUAGAUUCAGUUCAGAUAAACAAGGUAAGAGAACUGAGUGCAGUUCCAAAAUGGUGUACAAAAGUGUGAAAUCAUGAAAGAUAAACAAAGGUACAUGCAACACAUUCAUUUAUCUACACAUAGAUAUUUCAACUAAGGUCUUACAAAAACACAAGGAGUUUCACUCAUUAUAAGACCAAGUCAACAAUGUCAUAAAGGUUGUUAAUGUCAAGGAAGAUAUUAUACCAAACAAGUUUAACUCAACUGUAGAGACUAAGAUUAACAUCUAAACAUGAUAUAGUUAUACCCCGCUUGUAAAACAGUUAUCAUUCAACUAUAGUAAAAAUGACUAUAGCCUAUUUUAUUAACGACAACUUGAUCAUAACAGAAUACGUGCAAAAUGGUUACUGAUGUUCAUAAAAGUUCACCUUAAUGAGACUGUUUCAUAUAAAGAGACCUAGAGAUGUAACUAACAGUUAGACACAGGCAUAAGACUCUCAUAGUAAUGACUCGGAAGCUGCUGUUAGACUUAGCAAACACUUAUAUAAAGAAGGAGAGCAUUUAAACACUUAAACUUCAAAUGCUUCAGCUAAGUGAUGAAGGAUUAAUCUAUAAGCUUUCAUGUUUUUUCUAGUUAGAAUUAUCGAACAACAACCUCAAUAAGAGAACACCAAAUUGCAGAAAAUGGUGUGUUAGGGAUAAAGAUCAUAGUAAAAUCAUUAAAAAUAAAUCUGAAGUCUAGGCAAAUGUGAGAAGUCAUUGCUGCAUAUUAAGAAAACUUAAUCAUGUAAAAUAUUUGAUUCAUAAUGGAAAUCAUUAAGGUCACAUAAAUACUCAAUCAAUGCUGAUUAGAGAUACAUAAACACAUAAUAACUAGCAACAGAUCAACAACAGGUCAUCAUGAACCAGGAUAAAUAGUUAUAGACUAACAACAAGCAUCAAAAACGAAACAAUUAACAGAAAGACAGUAGUAUGUUCAUGAUAUUCGAAUGAAAUAGUCAAAAGAGAGAGUGUGGAGGUACACUGACCUUUUCUAGGGCAGCAGAUCUAACAUGAUUUUAACUUAGCCAUAUAAAAACCAAAGUUUCAAGCCCUAGAGCAGUGAAGGAACUCGGAACAAAAGGAAAUAGAGAUUAAUCAGAAAAGACACAUAGGCUUCUAAAUCUUAAUUCAUAUGAGAUUUUUUGACUCUUGUUAGGUUUGGUCGGUCUGGUUGGUGAUGUUAGGUGAGAGCAAUCAAGGCUCUAUUUAUAGUACUAUUUAAUGGCUUAGGGUUUCUGAUUCAAGCUUAGGUAGUGCAAAAUGACGGAGGAGUGGUGAUGCAAGCAAGAUUGGGGAAAAUAUAAGGAGAUACAGGGAAAAUGAUGAAAAAGUUUUUACUUGAGUGAAGAUCUACCGUUUGAAGGAAAAUAAUCAUCGGGCAAGACCUCAAUGUCUAGAGGUCAAUGCGUUUGACCUCUAGACAAAGAAGGACGGUGGUGAUGACGAAGAAAUGCUAUGCAUGCCAUGGAUUUAACUGCACAUUGAGAGAAAUUCGAAGACUUGACAUUGCAUUGUUGUAUCUAGCGUUCAGAUUUUGGGCAUUUGAAUUUUUUAUGAUGAAACGGGAGAGAAUCCGCGAGAAUCGCGGAUAGGGGAGGCAACGAGGAUGAUUCUAUAUUUGAUUUGUGACCUUGCACAAAUUUGUGCUAGGUCUGUGACUGAUUUGAUCAUGGCGAGAUGAUAGAAGAGAGGACGAAAGGGGAAAUGGGGGGCGAUCGUUUGUGGCAAAUAAAUUAAGGUUAUGGAGUGAGAGACGAGAUUUGGAUAGUUGGAUCUGAUGAUCAACAACCCUGAUAAUUUGAUCACAUAAAGAUUUUAUAAGAUUUUAAAGUGAAAAUAUAAGAGCCGUUAGAUCUUCUAUUUUCAACGGCUAAGAUUAAAUCGGAUAGGAUGUAUAAAAUUAAAGAAAAAAUGGAGAUAAAAUGAGGGUCGUUGAUCUAUAGGAUGGACAACCUAGAAUGAUUGUAUUUCUAUUGUUAGUUAUAGAGGCGGGUGAAGUGGCGUGCUCUGAUCGGUUCCCAUGGGUUGGGCGGAUUGCCAAAGAGAAAGAGGGGGGUGGACUUGGACUGGGUCAUAUGGGAUUGGGCCUGGGUAUUGGGCUGGUUUUGAUUUAAAGAAUGGCCAAUUUGUGUUUGAUUGUUCAAUUGCAAAUGUAGCCAUUUUAGUCUUUAUCUCUUUUUAAGUUAAUUUAAAUAAACUUAAUUAAUUUCCAAUAAAAUAUAGUAAUCUAAUUAAUUUUGAAUUAUUAACAUAGUAAUCUAAUUAAUCCAAAAUGUAAGGGGUAAUUAAUUAUAAAACCUCUAUGGCAUAUUAAAAAUUAUUUUAAUAAUAUUAAAAUAUUAAGUAUAUUUGUAAUUACAUAAUACUAAUGUUGGGUGAUUAAUUUAAAAACUAAUACUAUUUUUUAAAAAUGGGUAUUUAUUGAUAGAAAAUACUUUCAAAAAAUUCAUUGUAAAUUAUUAAGCACAAGUAAAUUAAUUUUAAAAGGGAGGGUUAAAUUUAGCCGUCAACAGCUGCCCUUUUUUUACCGGAGAAGAUGAAAGAAUUUUCGGGCAAAGAAAUUGAACCAAAGCCAAUUUCGUCCCGACUUUAGGCAUGCAUUGUCGGAAUAGCACGAUGAUCAUGAACUGCAGGAUUGGGAUCUAAGGAAGAUUCUGGGAGGAUUUUUUACAGAGUUGGGGCUGAAUUCUGGCCUUGAAUUGCUUACAUACCUCGAGCUUAACGAGGAUCAGGCCUCGUGUAGUUCUGGAGUGAGGACUUUGAGGAAGCGAUGUUUGCAAGAAUUGCCCCAAUAUCGUAUUAUGAUGAUACUGCAUGACGGAGGAUUUGGUACUCAUUAUUGCUUGAAUUUACGGCUUGACUUGAAGGAUUUGAAAAAUUAGAGUUCUACUGAUCGUUUUGAGUUUGAGCUUGGAUCCUUGGCCCGCUAACGAGUUUGUUGUCCCUCAUAGCAUUGUAGUUUGGUCUUCUUCUUAGAAAGAGUUCCACGUUGCGAUAUUUGUUCCUGCAAAAUGAAAUAAACACAUACCCAUAUAUUGCAAUGCAGAAUAUGUUAAGAUGUGAUGUAAAUGAUGCAGGAAGGAUAAUGCAUGGCUGCCAGCGAAACGUUAUUUGGGAUCAGGAUGAUGGGAUACUUGAACUUGACUCAAUUUGUUAGUUGGGUUGUAUACCAUUCCGCAGCUGUCGGAGCAUUGAAAAAGUAUCUGUUCUUGUUGGGAAAGCUGGACUUGUAGAGUGCGUCUUUGCUUGUUGGAAGAGCUUUGCAUUGAAAAGUGUCUCCGCUUGUUGGGAGAGCUUGAUUUGUAGAGUGCGUCUUCACUUGUUGGGAGAGCUUUGCACUAAAAUGUAAAGUAAUCUCUGCAUGGGAAUAAUUGACUAAAAACAUAAUCAUGUCUGAAGCUACAUGAGCAAAAUGUCAAAAUAUUCAAGAUAACAGCAAAGGAAAAGAAAAGCAUUCCUAAGAGAUACUCUUGACUGCAAAGCUAAGUUACGGCCAUCGAUUGGUAGAAUGUCGGUUGUGAGGUUUCCGAUUCUCUACUAGCCUCCAUUGUGAUAGAGCGGUGGCGCAGAUUGUACCAUUGACGGAGUGAUCACUUUACUAUAUACAAAGCUUCGUUUGCAAAAUCAACGUCUAAUAUUUUACAUGGCGCUCCGGUCGAUUGAGAAUAUGAUUUGCUAUAUACUGGACUCCAAUUGGUGAAGUCCAUAGAUCAUUUUGUACAAAGUGCUCUGAUUGGUUGAGCAGGCAGUUUGCUAUAUAUAAGGCUUCAAUUAGCGAAGCUGGCGGCUUAUUUUGUACAAGGUGCUCUGAUUGUUUGAGCAGACGGUUUGCUAUGUACAUUAUGCCUUUUCUGCAUCAGCGGUCUGACUCCAAGUUACCUGCAAAGAAUUGUAGAAUUCGUUUAAGUUGUACCAGAAAACAUCUUAAUAAAAGAGAAAGGGGAUAAUCCUGGGAAAUUGUCGAAUUCGUGAUUUUCCCCUGUGUAGUACCAACAUUUCCUUGCGUCCUGUUGACCCUGCACUCAAAGAAAAUUCUUAGUGGGAGUAAGGAGGGGGGUGGUUUGUGGCAGCCAUGUAACGUUUUUUCUCAGCCCUUGAUAUGGCUACGCCCCGAAGUUCGGUAGGUGGAACAAAUUACUGUAUAUUAGAAAACAUUUUUUGAAAAUUUUUGUUUUAAAGUAAGUGUCGUCAUCCCAGAUUAUGACGUGCUAUGAAAGGUUCUCCAAACAUGAGUGUCGCAUCAUGGAAACUCUAUCUUGUCAUUGCGACUACAUCCUAAUUCGAACUAAUGAAUUACAAAGGUUUUCAUAAGGUUUUGACCGAACCCUUUCAGGUUGCCUACAUAUCCAAAAUAGAAUCAAGGCUGAACGUAGUUCAUGGAUGAUAAAAAUAUUAUAAAUAUGAUCGAGCCUGACUUAGGUAGCCUACGUAUCCAAAUGGAAUCAGGUCAAGAUGUAGUUCAAUUACAACAGAUGAAAAAUGGGGACAUUAAGAAUGAAAUGGCCAAGUCUGACUCAGACUGCCUAGCUAUCCAAAUGGAAUUAGGCCAGAAUGUAGUUCAAUUACAAAAGACGACUGAAUCCAAUGAGGAUUGCCUACCUAUUCCUUCUUGAGGAAAUCAAGUCAGCAUAGUUCUAGAGCAACAUACAAAGUGAUAUUUGGAUUUUCUAUAUCAAAAUAAAGGAGGAAGAGAAACCGAACCCUAUGUAGGUUGACUACGUAUCCCUCUAUGGGACGUCAGGUUGAAGUAGUUCUGUUAUAGCAAAACCUAACUCUAUUUUCUUUCAAACUUAGUAUCUCUUGGUUGUGUCUGAGUUGAUGGGCUUCGUGUUGACUUUUGCAUCCAUUUCUUCCAAGAUUAGAGCUCCUCCCGACAACACUCGGUGAACCACGUAAGGACCUAGCCAAUUUGGUGCGAAUUUCCCUUUGGCUUCUUCCUGGUGUGGAAAGAUUUUCUUCAAGACUAAUUGCCCCACUGUGAACUGGCGAGGCUUCACCAUUUUGUUGAAUGUACUGGCCAUCCUAUUCUAAUAUAGUUGACCAUGGUUGACUGCAUCCAUUCUCUUCUCAUCGAUGAGCAUGGGUUGCUCCUGUCAGACCUGUAUUCACUCUGCAUCGUCCAACAUAGCCUCUUGGAUGACUCUUAAAUAUGGUAUCUCAACCUCCGCGGGUAUCACAGCUUCGGUGCCAUAUACUAACAUGUACGACGUUGCCCAAGUGGACGUUCUCAUGGUGGUUCGAUAACCAUGUAAGGUGAAUGAUAGUUUCUCAUGCCAUUAUCUGUGAUUGUCCACUAUCUUCCGCAGAAUUAUCUUGAUAUUCUUCUUGGCUGCCUCGACUGCCCCAUUAUUUGCCAUUUGUAGGCUGUGGAUUUAUGGUGAACGAUUCUAAACCUCUUGCAAAUUUCCCUUAUGAGGUCUCUAAUGAGGUAACGGGCAUUGUCAGUGAUGAUUGACUCAGGUAUCCCAAAUCAUCACACGAUGUUGUUUCGAACGAAAUACGCCGCAACCUUCUUUGUGAAGGACUUGUAGGUAGAUGCUUCGACCUAUUUGGUGAAGUAGUCAAUGGCUACCAAGAUGAAGUGGUUCUCAUUUGACGCACCGGUCUCUAAAGGUCCAAUCACGUCUAUGUCCCGGGCAGUGAACAGCCAAGGCGUGCCCAUCACAUUGAACUCGUUUGGUGGAACCCGGAUGAAAUACCCGUGAAUUUGGCAUUGGUGACACUUUUGUACGUAUUGGAUACUAUCACUUUCCAUAGCCAUCCAAAAGUAUCCAGAUUUGAAGAUCUUCUUGGAUAUUGUGAACCCGCUCAUGUGGGGUCCGCACGUUCCUGCAUGUAUUUCUUCUAAUAAUCUGGUCACCUCAGCGGCAUCUACACAUCUCAACAAACCAAAUUCUGGGGGUCCUCCUGUACAGGAAUUCCCUGUUAAGGAAAAUGUGUUUCGUCAGCCUCCUGAGUGCUCACUUCUGACUAUUAGUAGCAUUCUUCGGGUACUCUUUGGUUUCAAGGUCUUGAUGUUCAGAAUCCCCUAUGACCAAAUGUUCUUUAAUGUUUUCAGAUCCGAAGCAAGUUUUGUUUUCAUUGAUAAUAUUUGGAUUGAGAUAGGUGGGAACAGAGGUUACAUGAUUGUUUCUGACAUUCAAAGAACUACAUAGGCUUGAACAACUUACCUUUAGGGAAAAAUAAGAAAAUUAGGGAUAAAGAUACAAGGUGGGAAAAGAAGGGGAAAUCAACCAACUUCUAGUAACCAUCUCCGGAAUCAUUCCCAUCUCCUCUUCUUAUUCUGGUUCUUCCUCCGGAUCUUCUUCAAACUCCUCUUCAUCAUUGUUGAACUCAAAUUCUUCUCCUAGUUCUUCCUUCGACUCUGUCCCAGAUUCUUUCUAGAUGCACUCCAAUACUCGGUCAUCAUCUUCAGCAUGUGGCAGCAUGUGAUCAAUGGAUACUUGGACCACUUGAUGGUGCAUUAAGGUAGUCACAAGGUAAUGUCUCAUAAUCUCAUGGUAAAUUUGCAAAGCAUCCUUGCAUCCUCUAGCUAGGCUAUAUGCUCUUUGCUUGGUUUGGUUAGCUCGUCUUUCUCGUUGAUACCAUGAGUUUUGACCCAUCGGCAUUGUGACCAGAUCAUUCCACUCUUCUUGGAGCCUUCUUAUCCUCGGUAUUGGAAUUUGUCUAUUGUACUCAUCCUCAUAUAGCGUUUUCCUCGUCCAUAGAGACACAUCCCGGAUGAUCCCGAACUGUCUGAUAACCUGCAGGGGUGAGUAUGGUUGGAUGCCUUCAAGUCCUAUUAGCUCAAUGACGUAUUUCUGAGGAGUCUUAAGAUUGCCCUCCCGCCUAACCAUGACAGCUUCCAAUUGACCCAUUCUCCGCUAGAUUUGUCAGCAUUUCUCUCCACUCUUCACGUCCAUGUGGGGAGACCCAAUGUCUCAUUCUCUCAUUGUGGCUGCGAAAUAUGUUGCUGACGCCCACAAAGUAGUCAAUGGUGACCUCUCGCUGGAAGAAAUGUUCUAUGGCCAAGAUGUGAAGCAACAUGUUAUAGAUCUUAAAGAAAUCAUACCCUCUUGCACAUGCAGACAGAGCCCUUAGGAUCUUAGCUAACAUCAUCAGUACCAGAGUAGCUUGGAGGUUGCCACGGAAUGUUGCCAGAUCACGGGUAACAAUUAGAUGUUGACCCAACCUCUUCUGUAUGGGAAAAUAAACAAUCCCAACAGUACUUAUGAGAAAGUGAUGGGCCUGAGACUCUCCCACGUUGCUUGAUCACACUGCAAUUCUCUCGAAUAGCACUCAUAACUUUCACGAUGUCCUAAUUUCAUCUAUGUUCUCUCGGCGAAUAUUCUUCCACCACUGCUUCAGCUUGUGUGGUGCUCCCAUCACCAUAUUGAUCUCGGGGAUGUUUUGCUUGAUUUCCAUUUCUGGGAUGGGUAAAGAAAGGUUUUGGUAAGUGUUUUCUUCGGAUCUUUUGGUGUCUCAUCAGGUUUGUUCGUGUUUCCACAGAAGUCAUGUCAUUGGAUGCAUGACCCGUUGACAUUAGUGUGGCUUUCCUAAUUGUCUGUCGAUUCCAGGAGUAAGUCACCUAAGAUUUAUGCAUUAUGACCUAUGUUUACUAGAGUAGAGUGUUUCCUACUUUUGAAUUAAAUUGAAGACUACGAGAAAUUAUGUCAGUUGACCUGACAAAGCCAUUCUCUAAAACUAAAGAGUUUUGAAAAGAAGGUUCGGAAGAGUGUAAAAUACAACCCUCGCGUGCCAUCGUGCGUGAUAGUGUAUGAUCAAGAGUCGAUAAGAAGAUAUGUGAUGACAUUAAAUAUAAAGUGAUAAUGGAUAAGGGUGUAACAAUAACAUGCAUGAUAAUAAGCAAGCAUAAGGAACCAGUAAGGAAUUUAAACACGUAAUUGCAAAUUAAAUAUAGUUAAAGAAAUGUACAAACAAAUCAUAGUGCCAAAUUCAGACUAAGUCUGCUAAGGUCAGAACCUAAGUAUGAAUGCUAGCUAAGCCACCAUGUUAUUGUGACCUAUUCUGCACAAUUCAAAACAAGAUUCAACUUGUGGUUUCUCUGUUGUUGAUGAAAGAGAGUCGCCACCUAAUAUUUAAAGGUAUACUAGGGUACCUAUUGUAAGGCCCCGUAAAACUUCACCUAAAACCCAUGGUUUUGUGGCGCCGAGGUAGAGUAAUGUGAUUGAGGGGUAUGAACUUUUUGGAUUGUACAGUACGUCGGUGAGUUGAAGGGAUUAUUUUGCUGACCAUGGUAUUUUUGCGGUCCACUAUGCGACCGCAGAGCCAACUUGUGAGCCGCAGAUUAGCCGCAGAGUGAAGCAUAACUUGAGUUAAUUUUGAGGACCAUUAUGCGACCGCAUAACCAUUUCGUGGGUCGCACAAUCCAUCGUAGAUCCAGCAUGAGAAAACUUCAUAAGGAGGUUCUGCGGUCCAUUAUGCGACCGCAAAACUGAUAUGCGACCGCAAAUCCAUCCUAGACUUGUCCAGCCCUGCCCAGUUUUUGGGACCCUUUAUGCGGUCCCCUUUGCGGGCCGCAUGCCUAUUUUGCAAUCGGGUCUGCGACCGGAGACCCGACUUCGUAGAUUUUAAAUUUUGAAAAAUUUCACCUGAUCCCAUUUUUACAAAAAUAACUUGGGGUUUAUUUAGACUGGUCCUAACUAAUAUUCUAGAGUGAUAGGUGGAUUUCUAAGCUAAUUGUUCAUCAAUCGUUGCUCAAGACUUGGAGAAUUCACAAGGAAAACUCAGAAGGUCUUCAUUCAUGAGGUAGGUUCCAUAUCCUAGUUUCAAUUUCGAGUUUAGGGUAGAAAAUGGUUAAUGAGGAGUGUGAUUCUUGGGUGUGACAGUGUUAUUUAUGAAUGCAUGUACUAUUAAGUUUUGUGGGAAGGUUGUUGAGCUCAAAUGGGUAGACUUUGGGUUAUGGGAUGAAGAAAUCCACCAUAGGAGGACCUUGAGGUCAUAAUGUCCACCUAGUGUUUGUUAAAAUACUCAAAUGAGCUGAAACCAUAAAUACCUUCCUAAUUUGUGUUCAAUUUUGUUAUAUUUCCAAAUAGAUUGAAGUUGCUAAGAUUUCUAGAACAUUGCAGUAAUUUAAGAAAUCUCAAAGCGAGUAAUGUUGGCUAAACUCCUCUUGUAGAAUCAAAUCCAUGAUGUCCUCGUAAGUUGUAGUUAUGAUAGGCUCAAGAUCUUAUGUCUCAUGUUCCGAGUUAUUUCUUAUAAACUUGACUAUUCCGAAUAAACUCUGUGUCGAAAGUUAUAUGUUCAAAAUGUAUACUGAAUGCUUUUAUCAUAUUGUGUUAUCCUUCGAGAUUGUAUUCAUAUGUUACCAUGUGUCGAAAUAUUAUGAAUUCAAUUAUGUCUCAAAUGCUAGUUAUUAUGCCAUAUUGCGGAAGAAAACCCAAGGUGCCUAAGACUCUUAUUUGCCCAUACGUGUACUAAAAGUCGUGAUUAGAGAUGCUUUGUUGUUGACAAUACAUGAUGAUGUUUGCAAUUGAAAGGGGUGAUCAUGACAUAUGAAAUACGGCAACUGUGCCAAAAAUGAUAUUACAAUUGUGGCCACUAGUGCCAAUGAAAUAAAAAGAUGAGUAAAAGACUAUGAAAUGAACUGAAUGUCCUUUUUACAAUAAACAAUAGGGAUUAUCGUUAGUCACCGAGGAGGGGUAGGUUGAAAUGACCUAACCCUGAAACUAUACGUGCCGGUGUAGUUGUGUAUUAUGAUUAUUCCCCUUUUUUGGCAUGAGAUUGAUGUGAGAUUAUUUCCCUUAAAUAUGAUGAGAUGAUUGCUAGCAAAGGGUGAUGUCGAUCCACACGCAUUGUGGUGAGACAGCCUAACCAGUCGGGUCAAAAUCGGACGCCAUGCCGCACACAUAGUGGUGAUUGUUAUUGAGAUAAUGAUUGAGAUUUUUAUAGUGAUUGUGAUUGUGGUUAAUGUCAUUGGGUGAAAUUGCCUAGCAGAUCGGGUAGUGAUCGGACUCUGUGCUAAAGUCAUGAUGGUAUAUCCGUACUAAAGAUCUCCCAACUUAAAAUAUGUAAUUUACUUGAAAUCUUAUCUUGCUCCCAACUUGGUGUCUUGGUAUGUUUUGAGGCUUCCAUUGAUUCUAUGAUUGUUCUUCCUUGUUUUAUUACUCAUUCUAUUGAGAGGGUGUUUAUUCACUCAUACUAGUACUAUUCCAUAUAUACUAACGUCCCUUUUGUCGGGGGCGCAACAUCUUUAAUGGAUGUAGGUGGUUCCACAGCAGGCGGCUUUGCUCAGUGAUAGCGGUAUACCCUCUUCCCAGCUGACUUGGUGAGCCCCACUUCAUUUUAGGUCAUGUAUCUUUUGUUUCUUGCGUAUUAUGUUCUGAGGUAUAGUCGUGGCCUUGUUGAUGUCACUAUCAUAUUACUCUUUUGUAUCUAUUAGAGACUCCGUAGAUAUAGUAUGGGUUGUAUGUUGGUGUUGGAAAAGUCAAUCUAGUAAUAUUGUAUUUGUACCACUUGUUCCACUUCAAACUAUAAAAGGGUAUGUAUUUUGAGAUUUAUAAAUGAAGUAACUAAUGUCAAUGAAUUGGUGUUGAUCACAUGAUCUUCUUCUGGUCAUAAUGAAAUAGAUCUUCUCUUUAUUCAUGAGUGAGUUCGGGUAAAAGGUAUUGUAUAGGCUUGUUCGGUCGGGUUAUCUCGGUUGAGCACCGGUCACGCUCCCUGAGGUCGGGGCAUCACACCUAUCUAAUUACUAAAGUCAUAUCUUUAUUAGUCUGCUAACCGGUGAGAUUAUGGGUAAGGGUUCUUGUUCUUCUAAGGGGAGGUGUUAGGCACCCCUUAAAAUCUACAUGAGGUAGCUCCAUAGGACUUAGACUAGAUUUAGGAGUAAUUGUUUGUACUAUGCUUAACUAGUUUUUACAAGAGUACGGCUUGCUAUGCAUUAGGACAUAAUACUUACGAAUGCAGUGUGUAGCUAAAAGGGGAUGGAUUUAUGUAAGAGUCUUAGAAAAUGAUGUUAGUGUAUAUAUGCUUGAAAAAGCUUAAAAAGUAUAUAUGAUGUUCGUAUUUUUAAAAAUAUGUGAAAAGAAAAGCUAAGUUAAAACACUUUGUUCCUAAAGCAUGGAAGUUCAUAUUACUCUAAUACGAUAAAGAUGUUAUGAAAGUAAGCCUAAGAUAUACCUUGGCUUUUAAAUAUUUGAAGGAACCGUUUGAAAAUCUUUAUUUGGGGUGGCGGCAUCUGUUUUUUCGAAAUGAGUUGAUUUCCUUUUUAAAGAUCAAACAUGCGAUUCAAUUCUUGUUUUGUUUUUUAAAAGAGGAGUUGUCGUCUCUUGCUAAGCUUUUGGGCUUCAAAACCUUUAAGAAAAGUUAGCAAAACAUAGCAGCUUAAUAAUAUAAAUAACUUAUGAUCAGCGAAUAUAGGAUUAGUUACUAACUUAUACUUCUUUUAAUCCUAGGUUCUUUAGGGAUUGCCGAAGUUGUUAUAUGACUUAAGAUAUAAAGUAAAGUAUUCAAUCUAAUAUAUAAUUGGUGUAUACAUGUGAGAUAAAAUAACAACCANNNNNNNNNNNNNNNNNNNNNNNNAGAACACAACAAAAUGCAACAAGGCAGUAAGGCUAAGGCAAUGAGGUAGUAAAUAAUAAAGGAGUUAAAAGGAGAAGAUUGGACUCUGGUGUUUGGGCCUCAAAGAGGCAGGCCCAACAAUACAGGGACAGGAAACAGCUGACUCUGGACCUUCCGAGAUAUAGCAAUAUUGGAUUUGGGCCUGAGUUCCUUCAGAACUUAGCAGGCCCAAACAAAUGUACAUGUUCAAAAAGAAAAGUGAAGGUCAUUAGAAAGAUAAUACUCUAUACAUGUUCAUACAUGAAACUUGCAAGAAAAAAUAAAGAAUGUGACUAACAGUACUUAAGCACUAGGAGGGUCAUACAAACGUGGCAGUUAUGUAUUUUUUUUUUUGACAAUCCACUAGGCAAGUUCCUAGGGCUGGUUUUUUUAUAAAUACAAAUCCAAAAAAAUAACAAAGAAUAUUAGGAGGUCUUACAUGAUGAAAUAGUUAAAAUUUGACAAAUACAUAGAUCAUAUUAUCAAUUUUGGGCUUAUGAUACCCAAAAUGGAUAUUACAUUGUGAUCUAGUAUAGAAAUAGAAUAUAUAGCAUAAAACAUCUAAACAAAUACUAGAAUAUUACAAACGUAUCCAUUUUUUUUAUUCGCGCGCACUUGUUUGGCAUUAUGACCCGUCGUGAUGUAAUUAUCAGCACUUGUGCAUUCCAUAUCCACUGAUAACAGAUCCCUCAUGUGAUAGAAUCUGCAUUCCAUUAGUGUUGCAAUAUGUUGUCUCGAACUGUGGCCAUCAUCUUUUUCCAGCACUGCCCAGCAGCAGAUGCUACUAAUGACUAUCCAUUUUUUGCGUCCAAAUUUCAGACAUGAUGAUUGUUUGAAAGUGUGAGGCCUUCACUUCUUUUUUGCAUGAUCUCCUUCCGUGUGUUGCUGUAUUCUUUGCUUCACAAUCCUCCUGUCUAGCACUACACCAGCAUGUGGCUUUUGUGUCGAGUUUUGUGUGCAGUCCUUGUGUUAACAUCUGAACUCUUUGCAUUGUUUGAACUUUGGGAUAUUAAAUAAGAGUACUGCAUUGAGAUUAUGUACCUCAACGUAACCAUUUUACCCAAAAAUCAGUGCCAAAUCCAGUAGUUUGAGUAGUUUUUCUGUUAAUCUGCUGGCCAUCAGUAUCAUUCCUUCCCAUUUUUGCUGCUAUGUUUGUGCUCGUCCAUGAUUCCUCGUCAAUGAAAUGAGUACAAAGUACUAAUACCACCAGUUGAAGGUUCCUCACUGAAUAAGGCAUAGCUAUAGUAACGAUCCCUGCAAAAAAGAAAAUAAUGUUAGAUAAAAAAUUCAUCUCCAUGAUCUCCUCUUUAAGAAUUUGAUCAUGGGAGAUUACUGAGUGAUUUUCCUCAUAACUAAUGUGUUCCUUCUUGAACUUUGCCUGGUUUCCUGUAUAUUCAGUUGGUCCAUUCGAAAUAUUUAUCAUUUUGAUCAUCAAGCCAUCAAUGUCCAUACACACGCAAAGACUUCCAAAUGUGCACCAAAGUUGAGUGCAUCAUAUAUCAAUUAAUUUUGUGUGUUUUUUAAAGCAUGCUAUCAGUGUGGAUUGUUGUACAACCCCCUUUUUGUAUCAUUGAAGUGUUAACUUGAGGUUGGAUUUUACUCCAUAACACCCCAAUUCUUCUCAUAUUUGGCUCCCAAAAGAAGCUGCCUAGUAUGAAUAUUUUGUGUAGCAGAGUGUUCGGCAGUUGGUUCCUCCAAGUUUCUAUGCUUGUGCCUAUCGUCAAUUCUCUCCCAAUGGAUUAAGUACUAGGUACUAAUACCACCAGAUGGGAGUUCCUUAAAGAAUAGGGCAUAGAUAUAAUAAUUUUCCAUGCAACAGAGAAAACAAAGUCAGCGAAAAAAGGCAUCACCAUGCUCUUCUCCAUACAAAUUUGUGCAUGGCAAUAUACUGUGUUAGCACCAGAUUCACCACUUUCUCUCCUUUCCUCUUUACCUCCUAAUUCCAUGAAACUCUUAUUCUUAAGUAUGGUCAUUGCAUCUUGUCUUCAUUCACUAUCCUCCUACCAUGUGAGUCUAGAUUCCAGAAAUCAUAAUACCCAUUAUCUCCAACAUCAAGAGCAUAGUUUGCUAGGUGAUCUGCCAAGUUAUUCCCCUCUCUAAAUAUGUGUGACACUCUAAUGUUACAUUCCUCCUUCAUUCUCAAGAUUUCAUCUAUUUGAUCAACAAUACCCCAGGGUGGUUUCCAUGAUUACUCAAUAAUGUUCUUUAACAGCAUCAAAUCAGUUUGCAGCCAUAUCUGUGUGUAAUUCAUUGCUUUGCACAGUCUCAAAGCCUUCAGAAUUGCCAUAGCACCUGCUUCAUUGUUUGAUCCCUCUGUGAUUUCUCUUCCUGUUUCAUAUUUCAAAUCACCAGCCUCAUCCCUUAAGCAAAAACCUAUCGAACUUCUUCCUGGGUUGCCUCUGCAUGCUCCAUCAGUAUUGACUUUGAUCCAUCCUUCUAAAGGGAAUUCCCAUAUUACUUUCUCAAACUUCAAUUUUGGAGUAUAAUUCUGCAGCAUAUUCAAUAGAUCUUGCUACUUGUGAGGCACACAAAGACCUGGUUUUCUUACUUGCACAAAUGCUUGCAUAGUUGUUGAUACUUGGUAAAUAACUCUGCUAACUGAGACUGCCUCCCCAUAUUUCAGACUGUUCCUUCUCUUUCAUAGUUCCCACACAAUACAUGAAGGUAGAGCCUGUAUUAUUGGGAAGCAAUUGAGCAGUCCAACACUUGGUAACGGCUUGGUGUAAAGACAGACCCUCCAUUGCAAUUCCUACCCUCGUUAAGAAGUAUUUCCACACUGUUAAAAUAGCCUUUGAUGUGAAGAAUAAGUGUACUAGUGUUUCCUCCUUAGGAUCAGCACAACACCAACACCUAGAUGGCAUGAAAUAUCCCAAUCUUCUCAUAAAGUCAUCGAGGGGUAGUUUAGCUUUCCAUACUUUCCACAUAAAGAAGGAGAUCUUGAAUGGCAGCCCCUUCACCCAUAUAAUCUUGUAGGCUAGCUUAGGAUUGUCCCUCCUUCGUAAAUACUCCCAAGCUGACUUUACUGUGAAAUGACCUCUAGUUUCAAGCAUCCAGUAUGGAGUGUCUACAACAUUUUCCAUAACUGGAGGUCUAAUUUUCUCAACAAUAUGCAGUGCCAAUUCUUCAGGUAAAACUUCAAAUAGUUUAUCCACAUUCCAAGCACCAUUUUCCACCAACUCAUUCACAUUAUGUAUGUCUUCAUCAACACCAAAAUCUGGAAGGACUAGGAAAUAUAAUGCUCCUACUCCUGCAGAGCCCAUUUUUUGUUUCCAUGUGAUUUGAUGCUCAAUUAUAUCAAUGCAUUCUAACAUCUUUCUCCACAUGUGAGAUCCCUCCCUCCAUGGAACAAUUACUGCAUUUAGUUUUUUGCAGUAUUUUUGACUCAUAAAGGAACUCCAUAUGCUAGGCUUGGUUCUGAAAUUCCACCAUAAUUUACAAAAGAGUGCCUUUGAAACAUCAUGUAAUAAUCUGAAUCAAAUACCUCAUUCAUCAUAUGGCAUACAAAGGGUGUUCCAUGACGCCCAAUGCCUGGUGUUUCCUCCUACAUUACUGCUCCAGAAAAACUUGGCAAAUAUUUCGCGGAGCUUAUUGAUGACGUAGUUUGGAGGAUUGACAGUUGAUAGCAAGUGUAUAGGCAUACUCUAUAGAACAUUAGCAAUCAACACUGCCCUGUCUUCUAUUGAAAGUAACUGACCUUUCCAUGAUUGCAACUUGUCCAUAAUCUUUGUGAUCAAACCUUUGUAGUAGUCCAUUCUCCUACUUGCAUAAAAAAUGGGGCAGCCUAGAUAAGUAAAUGGAAAUUUCUGUCUCUCUAUACCAGUGAUCCUCUCGACGUUUCUAACCACCUCUAUGUCUACCAAAUGAUGCAUGUAGAUGGCUGAUUUGCCUUUGUUCACCAACUGCCCUGAUGCCAUCUCAUAUGCAUGUAGCACUUCCAUCACAAUUCUUAAUGAUGUUGCAUAAGAUGAAGAGAAUAUUAUUGUGUCGUCUGCUUAUGAUAGAUGGUUUAUUUUUGGGCUAUAUUUUGGCAAUCCAUGUCCACAAAAAUAAAGAUUCAAAUGCAGAGAAUUCAAGCCUCGUGAUAAUGCUUCAGUAGCUAAGAUAUACAGUGUAGGUGAAAGAGGAUCGCAUGUUUAACUCCCCUCGAUGAUUUGAAAAAUCCAUGUGGUUGUCCUUUCACAAGAAUAGAAUACCAGUUAUUCCCUACAAUAUCAAAUACCAACCCAAUGAAUCUUUCUUAAAAUCCCAGUUUCCUCAACAUUUUGGUUAUAAACAACCAAGAUAGCCUAUCAUAGGCUUUUGCCAUAUCGAGCUUAAUGACAACAUUUGGCCCUGCCUUUAUUCUGAGUCUAAUAUCAGUGAUGAUCUCUUGUGUUAGUAGCAAAUUCUCUACUAUGCUUCUCCCCUUUACAAAGCCUGCUUGUUCUUCUUAAAUCAACUCAGGUAAUAGCCCCACUAAUCUCUCGUGAAUCACCCUAGAGAAAAUCUUAUUGACAAAAUUACUAAGGCUGAUUGGCCUUAUGUCAACAAAGGUAUUUACUUCUUUCUUUUUUGGCAAUAGAACAAAAUUUGUGUCUGUCACACAUUUAGGCAAUUGCUGACCACAGAAGAAUGUCAUCACCAUUGCAAACUCAUCUUCUUCAAUGAUCUCCCAACAUGUGUGAUAGAAGGUGUUACAUCACGUACUUUAAUAUUAGGAUAAGUCGUAAUAAUCCAUAUAAGCUUGAAGGGGAUUAAGACUAUUCAUGAGGUUAUAAAGGAUUUGUGACUAUGUCAUUGUAAGACCCCGUAAGUUUAACAACCUUGAUACUAUUAUAUAUAUAUUGAUAUAGUAUUUUUAGUGGAAUAUUUUUGUAAAACGGUUUAAGAAAGAAAUAAUAUGAUUUAUUAUAGUUAUUAAUAUUACUACUUUCAAUUAUACACAUAAUAUGAGGAAGUUUAUGAUAUUUUCUUUAUUGUAAAUAUAGAAAUUAUUUUCUCACAAGAAAAGAAGGUUAUCUUUUUACCAUUUUAAGAAUUAAGCGUACGAAAAUUUGUACUCUUUAUAUGAGAUUAUUUUGAGACCAUAAGUAUUUAUGCUAUUUGUAACAAGUGAUAAGUAAGUGUUAUAAAAUAUUAUAAAAUACGGUCCGAGCUAUAAUACCCGAUAUUUAUGGACUAGUACCAUACAAGGUACCCUAUGACCGUAAUAGUAAGAUGUAUAAAGUGUGUUAAAAGUGAGUAGUAUUUUAAGAUAAUCCUUAAUUAUGUAAAUUAGUAGGUAAUGGAGGAACUAACUAGUUAAUUAAUAAUUAAUGGUUGAGUAAUUAAUGUCUUUUGGAUAAGGGUAAUAAGCCAAAACGUGGCAACACAAUGAAUCUUCAUCAAAGCCAAAGUAUGACUCAUUAUUUCAUGGAAUUGGGUGGCAAAAUACAAAUCAUUAGACCAAAGUCUAUCUCUCAACUCAAGAUCAUUCGUAUGAAUUAUUACCUCUACUUUUUGUAUGUUUUCGAUUUACUAUCAUACAUCUUUAUUGGAAUUGGAUAGGCUGUUGCAGAAGUCUAGCUUGAGUCGCACAUCAUUUUAGUAAAAGAGAAGCAUUAUAUGUCUAAAGAACAUGAGAAUUUCUUAAUUAACGUGAGAUUUUGCAAUAUUAAGGGAGUACGAUGUAAUCGUUCCCAAGAAUAUCAUACGGAUUUAUCCCUAUUUCAGGUAUGAUAAGGCUAAUCCUUCUUUCUUUUGACAUGAUCCAAGUAACGAUACGUAAAUAUAAUGUUAUUUCAUAAAUGAUUCUACUCUUAGUAACUAAGAAGGUCUACGUUAUACAUUCUUGUAAAAUGAUAUUCAAUCAUGUCUAAGUAUAUUCCUAAGUCUCUAUUGAGGUAUUUGAUAAAGAUGUUAAUGUUUAUAAUAUAGUGAUACAUGCAUCUUCAUACAUUUACCACCGUGCUACGGUCGGUUGGGCAGUCAUGCAUAUGCAUUUACCACUGAGCUACGACCGGUUGGGCAGUUACAUAUUUAUUACCGUGCUAUGGCCGGUUGGGCAGUCAUGCAUCUUCAUUUAUCACCGGGCUAUGGCCGGUCGGGUAGUUACCACCGGUUGGGCAGUUAUGUAUCAUUAUUUACCAUCGGUUGGGAAGUCAUACAUUUACCACCGUGCGAAGAUCGGUCCGGCAGUUACCACUGAUCAGUUGGGCAGUCAUACAUCNNNNNNNNNNNNNNNNNNNNNNNNNNNNNNNNNNNNNNNNNNNNNNNNNNNNNNNNNNNNNNNNNNNNNNNNNNNNNNNNNNNNNNNNNNNNNNNNNNNNNNNNNNNNNNNNNNNNNNNNNNNNNNNNNNNNNNNNNNNNNNNNNNNNNNNNNNNNNNNNNNNNNNNNNNNNNNNNNNNNNNNNNNNNNNNNNNNNNNNNNNNNNNNNNNNNNNNNNNNNNNNNNNNNNNNNNNNNNNNNNNNNNNNNNNNNNNNNNNNNNNNNNNNNNNNNNNNNNNNNNNNNNNNNNNNNNNNNNNNNNNNNNNNNNNNNNNNNNNNNNNNNNNNNNNNNNNNNNNNNNNNNNNNNNNNNNNNNNNNNNNNNNNNNNNNNNNNNNNNNNNNNNNNNNNNUAGAAAAAUAAAACAAGAACAUAAUUUUGUGCAUUACAUUGGUAAUAUGUGGCACCUUCACGUGUUUACCAGUUGUUUUGCUGGAAAGAUUGUUGUUUUACUUCUUGGUUGUGUUAAUGUGGUACACUAACUGGGGUGCAUCUGUGAGAGUAGAUGAAGAUAAGUUUAUUUUGCUGUCUUUUUUGCCUUACAUACUCAAUACAUUAUUCGUACUGACGUCAUUUUGUUGGAGACGCUGUAUUCAUGCCUGCAGGUAUAGAUAAUCAGUUUGACGAGCCCUCAUAGUAGACGAGAUUGGCAUUCAGCAAAGGAUCGGUAAGACUCCACCUCAUUCGGAGUGCAACCGAGUCUAUGAGUCAUCGUGUCAGAGUUUUGCUAAAGAUUUAUGGGUAGGCCGGUACCCUGUCCCAUUUGAUGUCAAAUAAUUUUAGAGGCUAUGUAGAUAUAGGUUCAUUUUGUACACUAUGUCAGAGGCCUUGACGGCUCAUAUAUAUAUUCAUGUUUUAAGAAAACUGGUUCAGGGAUAAAGUGUUGCCCACUUAUAGAUAUUUCAGUAGCAUAGGACAAUGGUCUGAUCUAAUUUUGGACAAAUGAGUCACCUCCAAACCAGGAAAAGUCUGUUAUAAUUCCAUGUUGCCUAGGAAUCUAUAGAGUCUCUUAAAUAUACAAUCAUCAUCUGAUCUUCCAUUCCACCAUGUAAAAAUACUCCCCUUGAAUCCCAAAUCUGUCAAGUUACAUGUAUUGAUGCAAUGCCUAAAGUCAUCAACUUCAUUAAGGGACACUGGCAGUCCAUCAUACUUUUCUUCUUCAUCCCAAAUCACAAUAAAAUCACCUCCCACGAGUCAUGGGACUGUCAUAUCUCUAGCCAUUGCGUACAAAGAAUCUCACAACUCAAUUCUCUCUAUUGUAAAACAUUUGGCAUAGACCAAUGUGAGUAUAAGUUCCACAUGGGUUUCAGUAUGAAAGAGUUUCAAAGUCAGUUGUUGCACCAUAUUAUAUAAUAUUGUAACUUCAAAUACUUCAUCUAUAAAUUCCCAUAUUUUGUUUUACAUAUUCACCACAGCCUGAGCCAAACUAAUUCUUCUUCUAUAUCUCUCCAUUUUGUUAGACUGCUGCAUAAGUUUAAGGAUCCCAAUAAAUUCAAAGUGUUUCUGCCUGUGCAUUGUGAUCAACCUCUCAAAGGCUUGCAUAGUUUUUACUAAUCUGACAUUCCAUAUGAUUGCAUCUAUUAAUAAUUUUGGGAUUUAGUCAGAUUUCUCCUCGGUUGUACUCCACCAAUUGGAACAGUUGAGGUCUCCUUAAUUUGCUUCUUUCUACCCUUAGCAGCAAAUUUUACCUUCUCAAUGUGCCUAGGUGAGAGAUCCCCUUGCCUAGCAACAUAAAAAAAGUUUUGUUCAGUAAACUCUUCAUUCAAGUCUUUGUUUGCAUGAUCAACUAGAACCUCUAACUUUUUUGCAUCUUCUGUAGCUACUACACCAGUGUUUUCCUGAGUAGUAGUCACAGUCUGCUCCCUAGCAUUGUUCUUAUUAUGCAGUUGUACUGGAUUCAAUGGAACAGUAAUAUCUGCUGUGGCCUGCACCUGUGGAUUAGUCAACUGCUUUUUUGAUACUUUUGCACUGCCUUUCAAUUUGGAAUUAGCAGCAACAUCAACUAUACCACCUUGUCAUGUUUCACCUGGAUCAAUAACAUUAAUAUCUACUCCUUUAUUAAUUAUUGCUUCUACCUUAUUUCCUUCAGCAUUGAUCAUAUCAACCUUGUUAGAAUUCAUUUCUUUGGAAUUUACUAAACUCUGCUCCUCAGUAGUCUUCUUUGCAUUGGCAAUCCCAUUUAUAUUUUGGUUCAUCAACUGCAUCACCUCCAAUUUUCUCUUCACUUUGUAUCUCAUCAGGAAUUUCCCCCUCCUCUGAGUCUCCUUCAGUCUGAUCAGCCCAUAAAUUGCCACCUUUUCAAUUGACCUUUUCAUUGCUUUUGAAUUUUUCAAAGUCUGCAUCAACAAUAUGAUCCUUGUCAAUAUUUUUGGCUAGUUCUCCUUCAAAUCUAGUAUCCUGAGAUGGAACAUCUUGGCAGGAUGUAUUAGUUCUAACUAAAUUUCCAUUGAAAGCUCUUUGUACCCAUUGUGCAGUUGUUUCCUUAUUUUGCUGAUCCUAUACUCUUUUCUCCUUGUUUCUUGCCUCUUCACGCUCCUUUUUAUUGUUAAUCCUUGCUGGACUAGGACUAGUAUUUGGGACCACUGAAUUAAGACUUUUUCCUGCUACAUUUGAAUUCACAUUUGCUCCAUUAUUUUGUUUGUCAAGUACUGGAGAUUUUGGAUUAAAUGAUGGUGCUGCAGGAUUUAAAGUUGUAAUUUCCUUAGGAUUAGAAAUGUCUCCUUGCCCAGAAUUCUCCUCAACCAAAACCAACUAAUUAUUCUCAUUAGCUUCAUUGUUAUCCACCUCCAAUAUUGCAAAUUGAUUAGUUGUUUGGACCUGUUGAGGCACCACAACAAAUUAUUUCUCAACUGGUACAAUUUCUUGUCCAGUUUUAGCCACACCAUCAGUCAGCUUCUCCUUGCCUUUUCCUGAUUGUCCUUGCCUCUUUCCAUUGCACACCAACAUUGCCAACUACCUUACCACUUGAUAGGAUCAUCAAAGGGAAUGUCUCUUUAACUCUUUCUUUGUUAGCUCCUACCACAACUUCAUUAAACCUUGUUGCUCCACAUGCUUAGUUUCCAUUAGUUCAGGAUGAAGCCUCCAGCAUUCCAACAUAUCAUGUCCUUGUAAUUUGUAUUUCUUACAAUAUUUAGGCAAGUAGUCGUAUUUAAUAGUUACCCACUUAGUUCUUACUACCCCAGUUAAUUCAUUCUCAAUGUCCAUGCGCACCUUCUUAGGGAGGUCAACUAAAGGAUCAACAAACACUUUCACACACACACAACUAGGACUAGUUUUCUUCACAAUAGCCAUAUCAAGGUGAAGGGGUUUUUCCACUGCUGAGGCUAAAGAGAAUAAACAUUCCUUGACGAAAAAAGUUGGCAACGAGUUAGGAAAAGAAAUCCAAGCCAUUACCUUUGGUGUUUCCUCUCCGGCUUUGAAUUUUGCAUCAUAAAUCAGUGUUCACAACUGGUAUUCAUACCCAAGCUUAUCCUUGACAUAAUUAACACUUUUCGAAGUAAAAUCAAUGAAAUCUUCCCAUAGUGUCAAGCGUAUCAACACAUGCAUGUCCCUAAGGUAUCCAAUAUUACAUUCGCCCUUAAUUCCGUAUUGAGGAGGGACAAUUCGACGUAGUUCAUUAAGCUCAGGCCAUCCAUAUGAUAAUUUACAAAUUACUGCAUAUUGCAAUCCUUCAAUCGCAUUCAUUUGAUCCACCUCUGCUUCAGUAAACUUAACAAAACGUUGUCCAUUAAGUCAACUAGCUCGACGAAGUGCAAUUGGUUGAACAGAAUUGGCUCGCGCCUGCAGGGCACUGUUCACUGUUGAAGGUUUCAGGAUUUUCGAGAAAGCUAACGACUGGGGAUUGGAUUCUGUGGUCGUAUUUGUUGGGGCGAUGGAGGGAGAGGGCUGACCAGCCAGAAUAGGUGGCUGCCCGCCGGCCAUUAUGGCCAUUGAAGCUCAAACUUCCAGCUUUUCCGCGAUGAAUAGUAGCUAAUCCCUAUUUCAUUGGAUGAACAGUGAAGUGUUAUGCUACUGUUCACAAUACUGGAGCAGUGGAUCUUGAGAGAAAAAUUCUAGAGAGAGAAUUUUUCUAGGGUGUUCAAGGGUAGCAGCAUGUUUCGGCAGUUAUGUAUUAACAUGUGAUCCAUAUUUUUUUUAAACCCCUCCCAAAUUAGGAAGAUUUAUAGUGUUUCCACAUGUGAUCCAUAUUGAAUACCUUUCGUUGUCAUUAAAUACUAAACCCACAGAGAAUAACAAGUGUCAAUGAAUUAAGGGUUAAGGAGAAUGUUUCACCCAAGGUCAAAGAAUCUCCCGAUACUUCAAAGUUCCCAAGGGUCUCAAGGCCCAGGGCAAUGCUUGUGCCGGGGAGAGUAGCCCAACCAAAAAUAAAAUAAUACUCCCAAAUAUCCUUAACCACUAAUGACUCAUUCUUCCCUUAACCAUCAAUCACCAAAAUAACACACCAUAAGAGUAUACACUUCUUAACAGAAUGACAAAAGGAGCACAAAAAUAGUUUCAUUUUUUCAUAACUAUAUUUCCAAUACUAAGUGAAUGAAGCACACAUUAAACAAGAAUGAAGGUCAAGUUCCAAACACACAUAGAGGUAGGAACACUAUAAUGUUAUUUCUAAAGAAACAAACACUUUGGUUCACACAUUUCAAGGGUAGAUAAAGAGCAUACAGUUCAAAUAUGCAACAACCUAGAAAAACAGAUGCAUCAUAGAUUGUUUUAACUCAGGUCUUGUCACUAGCACUCACAUAGGUCAACCAUACUACUUGGAACUUUUGAAAGCAUCAACAAAAGAUUCAGACAAAUAGUCCUAGUUUGAAACAUCUACAGGUGUUACCAGAAUAUAAUCAGAACUUUUAACAUGAUUAUGUUUACAGAUUCAAAUGGAACAUCUAAGAAUGCUUAACAGGGUCACAGACUAUCAGUCUUACUUAACCUUGAAAUUGAUGACAGAACCACCACUUCACAAGAGUAUUAAUCUCAUUAUUAAAAAGGCAAACUAUGAUAUCUGAGCGGUAGAAAUAAGAAGUUUCCCUUAGGAUUCAUAGAUUAGAUUCAGUUUGGAUUACCAGGGAAAGAGAGAAUUGAGUGCAGUUCCAAAAUAGUGUACAGAAGUGUGAAAUCAUGAAAGAUAAACAGAGGUACAUGUAGCACUUUCAUUCAACUACAGAUAGAUACUUCAACUAAGGUCUUACAAAAACAGGAGGAGUUUCACUCAUUAUAAGACCAAGUCAACAAUGUCAUAAAGGGGGUAAAAGACAAGGUAGAUAUUGUACCAAAUAGGUUUAACUCAGCUGUACAGACUAAGAUUAAAAUCUAAACAUGAUGUAGUUAUACCCAGCUUGUAAAAUAAUUAUCAUUCAACUAUAGUAAACAUAGCUUUAACCUAUUUUAUGAAAGAUAACUUGAUCCUAACAGAAUACGUACAGAAUGUUUACUGAUGUUCAUAAAAGUUCACCUUAAUGAGACUGUCUCAUAUAGCACCUAGAGAUGCAACUCACAGUUAGAAACAGGCAUAAGACUCUCAUAGUAAUGACUCAAAUGUUGCUUAUUGAGUUACCAAAGGCUUAUAUAAAUAAGGAGAGCAUUCAAACACUUAAACUUCACAUGCUUCAGCUAAAUGAUGAAGGAUUAAACUGUGAGAUUUUAUGUUUGGUCGAGUUAGAAUUAUCGAACAACAACCUCAAUAACAGAACAACAAAAUGCAAAUGAUAGUGUGGUAGGGAUAGAGAUCAAAGUAGAAUCAUUAAAAGAAAAUUAGGUCUAGGCAAACAUGAGAAGUCAUUGAGGCAUAUUAAGAAAUCUUAAUCAUGUGAACUAUUUGAUUCAGAAUAGAAAUCAUUAAGAUAACAUAACAACUUAAUCAAUGCGUAUUAGAGAUAUAUGAAAACAUAACAACUAACCACAUAUCAAUAACAAGUCAUCAUGAACCCGGAUAAAUAAUUAUAGACUAAUAACAAACAUCACAAACGAAACAAUUAACUAAAAGACAAUAGCAUGUUCAUGAUCAUCGAAUGAAACUGUCAAAAGAGAGAGGGUGGAGGUACACUGACCUUUUCUAGGGCAAGAGACCAAACAUGAUUUUAACUUAGAUGCAUGAAAACCAAAGUUUCAAGCUCCUAAGCAGUAAAGGGACUCGAAAACAAAAGGAAAUAGAGAUUGAGCAGAAAAGAAACCUAGGCUUCUAAAUCUUAAUUCGUAUGAGAUUUUUAGACUCUUGUUAGGUUUUGUAGGUCUAGUUGGUGAUGUUACGUGAGAGAAAUCAGGCUCUAUUUAUAGUGUCACUUAAUGGCUUAGGGUGUCAUAUUCAAGCAUAGAUAUUGGAAGAUGACAGAGGAGUAUUGAUGCAAUCAAGAUUGGGAAAAAUCUAAGGAGACAAAGGGAAAAUGAUAAAUAAGUUUUUACAUAAGUGAAGAUCGACGUUUGAAGGCAAAGAAGCAUCGGGCAAGACAUCAAUGUCUAGAGGUCACUACGUUUGACCUAAGGACAAUGAAGGACAAUGGUGAUGAUGAAAAGCCAUGCAUGCCAUGGAUUUAAUAGCACAUUGAGAGAAAUCCAAAGACUUAACAUUACAUCGUUGUAUCUAGGGUUCAGAUUUUGGGUAUUUGAAUUUUGGAUAAUGAAACAGGAAAGAAUCGGCGAGAAUCGCGGAUCGGGGAGGUAAAUAGCAUGAUUAUCUAUUUGAUUUGUGACCUUGCACAAAUUUGUGCAAGGUAUGUGACUGAUUUGAUCAUGGCGAGUUGAGAGAAGAGAAGAUGAAAGGGGAAAUGGGGGAUGGCCGUUUGUGGCAAAUGAAUUAGGGUUAAGGAGUGGGGUUUGGCCAUCUCUGAAUUAAGAGUGAGAGAGGAGAUCUGGGCCGUUGGAUAUGAUGAUCAACGACCCAAAUAAUUCAGGCACUUAAAGGUUUUAAAAGAUUAGAAAGUUAAAAUAUAAGAGCCAUUAGAUCUUUUAUUUUUAACGAUUGAGAUUAAAUCGAAUAAGAUGUUUAAAAUUAAAGGAAAACCAGAGAUAAAAUGAGGGUCGUCUGUAGAAUGGACGACCUAGAUUGAUUGUGUUUCUUUUGUGAGUAAUAGAGAUAGGUGAUGUGGUGUGCUCUGAUUGGUUCUCAUUGGUUGGGGCGGAUUGCCAAAGUAAAAGAAGGGGUGGACUUGGACUGGGUCAGAUGGGAUUGGGCUGGUUUUGAUUUAAAGAAUGGCCAAUUUGUGUUUAAUUGUUCAAUUGGAAAUGUAGCCCUUUUAGUCUUUAACCCUUUUGAAAUUAAUUUAUAUAACAUUAUUUAAUUUCUAAUAAAAUGUAGUAAAAUUACAAAUAUCAAAUAUACUAUUAAUUAUUGUAAUUACUUAUAAAAUACUUUGUUUUCUAAAUUACAACACUAAUUUUGAAUUAUCAACAUAGUAAUCUAAUUAAUUCAAAUUUUAUGGAGUAAUUAAUUAUAAAACAUCAAUGGCAUAUUAAAAUUUAUUUUAAUAAUAUUAAAAUAGUAAGUACAUUUGUAAUUACAUAAUUGUAAUGCUGGGUGAUUAAUUUCAAAACUAAUACUUAAUUAAUUUGUAAAAAUAGUUAUUUAUUGAUAGAAAAUACUUUCAAACCAUUCAUUGUAAAUUAUUAAGCACAAGUAAAUUAACUCGAUGCUAUGCUUUUCCUGCCAGGUUAGAGGUGGUUGCUUCAGACGUAGUGAUCACAAGUAUUGUUUCAGUGUGCCACAUGGAUGAUUUAGUAUUAUAUGACCCUGGUUUCACUUAUUUAUAUGUAUGAUCGUACUAAGCUGGUUAUUUGGACAUGCCCCAUGAUUCAUUAGUUAUGCAUGUUCAUAUAUCUAUGCUGGUGGGUGAUUUUGUUAUUGUGGACCAUGUAUGUUGGUCAUGUAUGGUGGCUAUUGGGGGUAAUGAGACGAGGGUUGAUCUUUUUCUACUUGACAUGGUUGAUUUUGAUGUAAUAUUGGGUAGGGAUUGGUUGUCACCAUAUCAUGUUAUCCUUAAUUAUCACACUAAGACCGUGACAUUGGCGAUGUCGGGGAUGUCGAGGUUAGAGUGGAGAGGUUCUCUAGAUUAUAUUCCUAGUACAGUGAUUUCAUACUUGAAGGCUCAACAGAUGGUUAAUAAGGUAUGUUUGGCAUAUUUGGCCUUUGUCAGGGAUGUUAGUGUGGAUACUCCUAUCGUUGAGUCAGCUUCGGUAGUGAGAGACCUCCCAGAUAUGUUUCCUCCAGACGUGUCGGGCAUGCUACCUAAAUAGGGACAUUGAUUUUGGUAUUGACUUGGUGUCGGGCACUUAACCCAUUUAUAUUCCACCAUAUCUUAUGCACCAGCGGAGUUAAAGGAAUUAAAAGAACAACUUCAGCAGCUCCUUGAUAAGGGUUUUAUCAGACCGGAUGUGUCGCAUUAGGGUGCUCCAGUUCUAUUUGUGAAGAAGAAGUAUAGUAUUAUACGGAUGUGUAUUGAUUACUGGCAAUUGAACAAAGUUACAGUCAAGAAUAAGUACCCUUUGCCGUGCAUUGUUGACUUACUUGAUCAGCUUCAGUGUGCUAUAGUGUUCUUUAGGAUUGAUUUGAGGCCUGGGUAUCACCAGUUUAAGAUUCGGGAUUCAGACAUUCUGAAGACGGCAUUCAGGACCCGUUAUGGUGACUACGAAUUUUUUGUGAUGUCUUUUGGGCUGACCAAUGCCCAACAGCCUUCAUGCAUUCGUUCGUCAUAGUGUUCAUUGACUGCAUGUUGGUGUACUCUCGCGGUCGGGAGGAUCAUGAACAGUAUCUGAGUGUUGUACUCGUGACUUUUAGGGAGAAGAAGUUGUAUGCUAAAUUCUCUAGGUGUGAGUUCUGGCUUGAUUCUAUGGCGAUCGUAGGGCACGCGAUGUCCAGUAAGGGGUUCAAGGUAUAUCCGAAGAAGAUUGAGGCAGUUCAAAGUUGGCCUAGACCGUCAUCAAAUAAAGAGAUUCAGAGCUUCUUGGGUUUGGCCAGAUACUAUUGUCAUUUUGUGGAAGGUUUCUCAUCCAUUUUUACACCUUUGGCUAGAUUAACCUAGAAGCAGAGAGGCCACUAGCCAUGGAUUUUCAAGCCUUGACCAAUCAGUUGCGAGAUUGGAUUUUUUGGAGUCUAGUCGAGUUCUUGCUUGCAUUGUGGCCCAGUCGUCAUUUUUGGAGCGUAUCAAGGCCCAUUAAUUUGAUGAUCCUCACAUGAUGGCAUUGAGGGACACGGUUCAGCAGGGUGGUGCCAAGGAGGUUGUGAUUGGUGAUGAUGGUAUUAUUUGGCUUCAAGGCUGGGUUUGUGCUCUAAAUGUUGAUGAGUUGAGAGAUUUGAUCCCAGACGAGGCUCACAGCUCAUGCUAUUCCAUUCACCCAGGUGUCACGAAGAUUUACCGUGACUUGAAACAACACUAUUGGUGUUGGAGAAUGAAGAAAUAUACCUUUGCUUGUGUCUCUCGGUGUUUGAAUUGUCAAUAAGUGAAGUGUAAACAUUAGAAAUUAGGAGGAUUGAUUCAGAAAUUGGAGAUACCGAAGUGAAAGUGUGAGCGUAUUACCAUGGAUUUCAAUAUCGGUCUCCCAUAGACUUUGAAGAAGUAUGACACACUUUGGGUUAUUGUGGACCGGCUGUCUAAAUAUGCACACUUCAUUCCGGUAGUGACUUCCUAUUCUACAGAGUAGUUGGCUGAGAUCUACAUUUGGGAAAUUAUCUGCUUACAUGGCGUGCCCAUUUCCAUCAGUUUAGACUGGGUCACGCAGUUCACAUUGUAGUUUUUGAGAGCAGUGCAGCGAGAGUUGGGCGCAUGGGUUGAGUUGAGUACAAAAUUCCAUCCUCAUAUGGACGGGUAGUCCGAGCACACCAUUCAGAUCAUGGAGGAUAUGUUACGUGCAUGUGUUAUGGAUUUCAGAGGUUCAUAGGAUCAGUUUCUUCUAUUAGAAGAGUUCGCCAACAACAACAGCUUUCAGGCCGUAUAUGGGAGGAGAUGUCGUUCUCCAGUUGGUUGGUUUGAUCCAGGGGAGGCUAGGUUGUUGGGCACCGAUUUGGUCUGGAAUGCUAUGGAAAGGUUUAAGGUGAUUCAGGAGCAUCUUUGUACAACACAGUCUAGACAGAAAUGUUAUGCUGAUAUGAAGGUUCGUGAUGUUGCAUAUAUGGUAGGUGAGAAUGUUCACUUUAGAGUUUCACCCAUGAAGGGAGUGAUGAGUUUCGGAAAAAAGGCAACUUGAGUCGUCGGUAUAUUGGCCCUUUUUAGGUGCUUGAGAGGAUUGGAGAGGCGACCUACAAACUUGCAUUGCCACCUACUCUAUCUGGUGUUCAUCCAUUGUUUCAUGUUUCAUAUUUCUAUGCUCCAAAUGUAUUAUGGUUAUCCGUCACAUGUUUUGGAGUUCAGCACGGUGAAUGUAGAUGGGGAUUUGACUUAUGAUGUGGACCCGUUGGCCAUUUUGGAUUGGUAGGUCGAAAGUUGAGAUCAAAGAAUAUAACAUUAGUGAAGCUGGAAGGGAUAGGUCAGCUGGGCUAGGGGGCUACUGGGAGACUGAGCAGGAGAUGCAGAGCAUACAUCCAAACCUAUUUUGAGACUCCAAGUAGGAUUCUAGGCUUGUUUGAGGACGAACAUUUGUUUAAGAGGGGGAGAAUGUAACGACCCUGCCGGUCAUUUUGUGUAUUGUAACCCUAUUCCCCUAUUUAUUGCUUCUUAUGUGUUCAUUUGUGGUUAUCUGACUGCCGGGGUGGUUUCUUUGGUUCCAGAAAAGUUUCGGAGAGAAUUAGGUCACUUAGUUCCAAGGUUGGAAGCUUAAGUUGAAAGAGUUGGUGAGAGUUUGACCUUUGUGUAGAUGGCUCCGAAAUGGAGUUUUCAUGGUUCCAAUAGCUUCAUAUGGUGAUUUUGGACUUAGGUCUAUGUCCGAAUAUUGAUUUGGAGGUUCGUAGGUCGUUUUGGCUUGAAUUGGCGAAAGAUGGAAAGUUGAUGGUUUGGAAGGUUGAGAGGUUUGACCGGGAAUUGACUUUGUUGAUAUCGGGUUCGGAUUUUCGUCCCGGAAGUUGAAAUAGGUCCAUUGUGUCAUUUGGGACUUGCAUGCAAAACUUGAGGUCAUUCAGAGUUGCUGUGAUAUGGUUCGACAUUAGUUUUAGAAGUUGUAAGUUCAUAAGUUGUUGUUAGGCUUGAAUUGAUGUGCGAUUCCUGAUUUUGGUGUUGUUUUAUGUGCAUUGAAUACUCGAGUAAGUUUGUAUCGUGUAUUAGGACUUGUUGGUAUGUUUGGAUAGUGUCUCAGAGGCCUCGCGUGUAAUUCGGAUAAUGUGUGGACCAUGUUUGGACUUAGUAGUAUUGCUGAAGAAUUUCAAGUUCUGGUGCAAUCGCACCUGUGAGGAUUUGGUCGCAUGUGCGGAAUAUGCUGGCGCUAGGGAAAUGCACAGGUGCGAAUGUUUGUCCGCAUCUACGUGCUCGUAGAUGCCAGAAGUGGAGCGUAGAAGCGAAUUGGAGUAUGGUCAUGGAUUUCCGCAGAUGCGGACAUUGAGGCAUAGGUGCGCAUGCACAAAAGCACGAUGUAACUGCAGAAGCAGAGGUUGGCUGGAAGGUCCGGGACCGCAGAUGCGGCCACUUUUCCACAGAAACGGGACCGUAGAUGCAGUUAAGUGACCACAUGUGCGGUUUCACUAGCAGAGUUAUAUUUGAAGGGUUUCUUUGUUUUUCUCAUUUUGGUAAAUUUGGAACUAAGCUAAGGGCAAUUUUUAUGAGGGUUUUUUUCUACAACUGAAGAGAUAAGUGAAGUUUAAUCACUUUUGUUGAUAAAUAUUGAUUACGCAUUGACUAUUACACCUAUUUACAUGAAUUUGAAGUGAAAUUUGGAGAUUAUAGAUCAUGGUAUUGGAGAGUGAGAUUUGGUGAUUUAGGGGUCAAUUUAUGGAUGGAAUUUAAUGAAAUUAGUAUGGUUGGACUCGUAAUUGAAUGGGUAUUCGGAAUUUUUGAAUUUUAUCAAAUUUUGAUAAAUAUCUAAACUUUAUUGUUUGAAGUUGUUUCCUACAGCACUAUUUGUUGAUAUUAAGUUGUUUGUGACUAAAUUUGAGUCAUUCGGAGGCCGAUUCGCGGAGGAAGGGCUUUUUCGAGUAUUGAUUUGCGCGUUUUGAGGUAAGUAACACAUCGAAACUUGGAUUUGAGGGUAUUUAACCCUGGAAAUCAUAUUAUAUGAAAGGUAUUGGGGUGACGUACGAGCUAGGUGAUGGGCGUGUGUACGUGCACCGGUAUGUUCAUGAUUUGAGAAAGCUUUUAGAAUAUUACCGGGCUUAUUUGGCUAUCAUACCUUGUUGUACCCAUGUUGUUCCUACUUGUUUGAAUAUUUAAACUCUGAUUCAUGUUAGACAUCAUGUCUAGGCUAUAUGUUAUUUGUUUUUAUACUUGAUAGGGCUAUAUUGCAAUUUGUGAGCUAUUUGCCUUAUUUGUACACAUGUUCUCAGUCAUGAUACCAUAUUCGUGUAUAAUAUUUGUGUCUCAGUGCUCUAUUUGAUUCCUCACAUGUUGUAAAUGCAUCUUAUGUAUAAUACUAUUAAUCUGAAUAGUGUGAAGAUGUGAUUAUUUGAGACUUGAACGGUAAAUUACUGAUUUUGGGACAUAGAGCUGGUUUGGUAUUGAUUUUGAGGUGACACGUAAGUCAGGCCCAUAUUGGGCUAAGUGCUAUUAUUUUGGGGAGACGCGUGCACGAGGCCUCACUAUUGGGCUAUUGAUUUUGAUUAGCACUUGGGCAGGAUUCGCCCCUCUGGAGUCUGACAUGCCAGCAGUGGGCAGAUGCAUAGUGUUUUAUAUACGUGCUUGAUGAUGGGCUUUAUGCCAGACACCCGUACAGUGCCAAGUGUGAUUUUUCUUGAUGGAUCCACCGUGGUAUUAUUGUUUUGACAUGUAAGCAUAGAGAUGCACUUUUCUCGUGCUAGCUUAUAAAUAAAAUAUUUUAUACGUGAUGGACCUUAACUGUUAUACUCGAAAGCAUAUCUAAAUUCUGGUAUUUUGAAUAAACUAAACAUAACAUCAUUAAGUUAAUUACUUAUAUUGUUCCUAUUAUAUCCUAAGUUAUUAUCAGUUUUUGAAUGUUGAUCUCUCAUUGUUUCUUCUGAGCUCAUCAUUGCUUUCAACCCAAGGUUAGUGUUGUUACUUAUUGAGUACAUGGGGUCGGUUGUACUCAUACUACACUCUGCACUUCGUGUGCAGAUCCAGGUGUUUUCGGACGAGGUGAUCUCUAGUAUUUCAUUGCUACAAGCUUAGGAUACUACGAGGUACCUGCCAUACCGCCCGCAGACCAUAAAGUUCUCUUUUAUUAUCUAUUAUUUCUGUUCUUCUAUUCAAACAGUUGUAUUCAAAAUAUGGUCGUGUAUUUUGAUAUUCGGUAGUGCUCAUGUACUCGUUGACACCAGAUUUUGGGAAUGGUUGUAGUAGAUUAACGGUUACGUUCUCAGUUAUUUUAUGUUUUUACACUGUUCAGUUUAUUAAACCUUGUUUAAUCAUACUCCUUGUUCUGAUGUGACUAUUGGCUUGCCUAGCAAGUAGUAUUAGGUGUCGUCGCGGCUCCGGUGGGAGUUGAGUCGUGUCACAAUAAAACACAACAUUUGUAUCAAGAAUAGUUGUUAUUGUGGUCAAACCAACAUAGAGGUUCAUGUGUGUUUCAAAAAUUAGUAUCGACAACCAAACAACAUUUUAGCAUGACACGUAGGUGCCAAGAGAGUCACAACAGUAGUAACCAAACAUGGAAACAAACCAAAAGUGCAAUAGAAGGAUACUUAAUAGUAUAACAAGUUUAAAACCCCAACAAAAGAAAAUGCCAUAGUAGUAGUAACAUAAACGUUGAGUCACCAGAAAGGGUAAAAACUAACAUAAGAAUCAGCCAUGAACAGAGAUAAGAAUAACUAAAAGUCCUAAAUGAGUGCAAUAGCAGAAAUAAACCGGAACAAUGGCCAAACAAAAGCUCGCCGGGGUUUAAUUUUUUCCGCGCCAGAUCUAAAUAAUCCGGCGAGCAAAAAACCGAAACAUGUCAACAACAGUACGGCUAGAUCUGAUUCAUUCCGGCCAUGAAUUAGGUUGUAGAGGUGUAGCAACGUGUCACAACCCGCACUUUGGGGUUGUGAUUUCGGCCAAGAACUGGUGAGAAAAGGCUCUUCUGAUUGUCUGACGUAGAUCUGUCUACCCGAGCAACUUGGGCUUUUUAGUUUUACGCAUAUAUAAGGGGGUAUAGGUGAUGAAAGCUCCGACCUACCUCCCCCACACAUGCUUCCACCGAGCCGUAUUGAAAGAGCUACAUUGAGGGGGAACCUAAAGGGCCUGCCUGGAUGACUCAAAGGAGUAUCCUAGGUAUCCAUACGUGUUAGGGAACUCUAUGGAUUGCGCAACGCCUUCGGGAUAGCGUUGGGCAUCAAGUAGGUGCUGGAGGCUCGAUGUGUGGGACGGCCUGCCCCGCGGGCUGCCGAAAUGUUGGAAGGAGACCUCCGUGCUGAUUGGAUACUUGAUGCACCUAUCUUAGGGUCAUCAUGUGUCGACUUGCGAGCAUGGCUUGGGUUCAACCAUACAAGGAAGGGUCUGUUGGCCUAAACCUUCAGUUGUGGGGCGACACUGCACUAUUCGGGAUGGAAGCGUGUCACAAGGGCUAUGUAUGGGCAUGGCAUGAAAGACGCGCAUGACAAUGGCCAAGGACUAAAGGUUUCCUUACUCGAGAGAGGCAAGAGCUGGAUGCGGAUGCACUAGGCGAGUGUCAAGCUUGAGGAUUGGGCUGUGCACGCGAGAGUGUUGCUCAAUCUUGGCAAAGGACAAGACAUGUCCUAAGCCAACCCCCAGGGCGCGCAUGGAUUAUGAUCAUAAUGUGAGAAGCGCCAUGACAUGUCUAGGGCCAAGUGCCUAGACAUCUUACGGGCAUCACAAGUUGGGGCGAGCCUCAUGGGAGAGUCCCAUCAACAGGCACAGGAUCGUGCUUAAAAAAUCUGGGAAAGGAUGCAGGCUGGCCUACAGCAAAGGGAACUACAGGCACCGUACGGGCAAAUAGGUGCCGCUGGCGAGNNNNNNNNNNNNNNNNNNNNNNNNNNNNNNNNNNNNNNNNNNNNNNNNNNNNNNNNNNNNNNNNNNNNNNNNNNNNNNNNNNNNNNNNNNNNNNNNNNNNNNNNNNNNNNNNNNNNNNNNNNNNNNNNNNNNNNNNNNNNNNNNNNNNNNNNNNNNNNNNNNNNNNNNNNNNNNNNNNNNNNNNNNNNNNNNNNNNNNNNNNNNNNNNNNNNNNNNNNNNNNNNNNNNNNNNNNNNNNNNNNNNNNNNNNNNNNNNNNNNNNNNNNNNNNNNNNNNNNNNNNNNNNNNNNNNNNNNNNNNNNNNNNNNNNNNNNNNNNNNNNNNNNNNNNNNNNNNNNNNNNNNNNNNNNNNNNNNNNNNNNNNNNNNNNNNNNNNNNNNNNNNNNNNNNNNNNNNNNNNNNNNNNNNNNNNNNNNNNNNNNNNNNNNNNNNNNNNNNNNNNNNNNNNNNNNNNNNNNNNNNNNNNNNNNNNNNNNNNNNNNNNNNNNNNNNNNNNNNNNNNNNNNNNNNNNNNNNNNNNNNNNNNNNNNNNNNNNNNNNNNNNNNNNNNNNNNNNNNNNNNNNNNNNNNNNNNNNNNNNNNNNNNAUAUGGCGAGUGCAUUUUGGAUGUCAGUGCAGAGAUCAUGUCAAAGCAGAGAUUGAUGUUCAUAUUCCACCAGAGAUCAAGAACCCGAUACUGCUGGUCUAAGAAAGAAAUGGGUGAUGCCAUUGUCUUUCAAAAGUCUAGGUCGCUACUGAAUGAGGUGAUAUACCGACGAGUCGAAUGGUUAAGAGAAGUCCGUGUUUUCCAGGUCGUGCAACCAUAUUGCAAAGAGUGGGAGCCAUGGACUAUAAACAUACGACAUGAUCAUAGCAGAGAUCUUGCCAAGGAUGAGUGGGACACAUCAGUUGAGUGUCUUUCCUACGGGAUAGACUUUUGGACUGCCUGCAGGCAUUGCCAAGGUAAGGAGACGAAUUCGAGGGUAUAGUGAAGCUUCGGAAUUGGGCGAAUUUCCAAGUUGGAAGAUGUCAUCAUUCUGGAAAGGGGUACGCCGAAUGAUCGGGGACCGUUGAGUGUCCAAGUGCGAGGCACUACUGAACCGAGAAGUCGUGCUAGCAGGGCCAAGGGAGCACCUGUCUAUAGGGCGAGUAUUGACGUACUAUAGGGAGCAUUGGGUACUUGGUGAGGAAGUGACAGUUAGAAAACAAAGAGCUAUGCUCGGGAAUGCGGCGAUGCUACGACUUUGAAAAGUAGUACACACCAAGAGUCAUCCCAAGAGCUGGCCGAAUGACAAGUGGGACGACAGUGCUAAGAAGUAUCCUCCACAUUGAGUGUGGGAGGAUCCCGCCUAUGCAAGAGGCAUAUGGGCAAAGUUGUGAGUCUGGAAGCCAACACAUCUUCAAGGUAAUGAGGGCAAGGAAACGUUAUGGGAGCGGAAGGCUACGGGAGCUAUGCCAAAGGGCGUUGUAAGGCUAAGUGAGAGACGGAGCUACGAGAGCCGCGCCAAAGAGCAUGUUGAGGUGCUUACCUGUGAAGGGAAAGCUGCAGACAGACACUAAGGCCGUGAGGGUCAUGGUGUGAUUGACUAGUGUGGGUCAAUCACAAAGUUAGACACCAGAGGGUGCAAGUUCCAAGUGAACACUGAAUGGAGGUGAAGUGCCGAGGCACGCUUGGAAGAUACUUGGGGGGAGAAGUGCAUGAAGCACGACUUCUUUUGAGACAAGACUUCGAGGAAGUCCAACCCAAAGGACAUCGGGGACGAUGACAUAAUGAGUGUGGGAAGAUGUCACAACCCAUACUUUGCGGUUGUGAUUUCGGCCAUGAACUAGUGAGAAAAGGCUCUUCUGAUUAUCUGACGUAGAUCUGUCUACUCGGGAAACUUGAAUUUUUUAAUUUUAAGCAUAUAUAAGGGGGGGGGGGGGGUAUAUAUGAUGAAAACUCCGACCUGCCUCCCCCAAACGUGCUACCACCGAGUCAUAUUGAAAGAGCUACCUUGAGGGGGAACCUCAAGGGCCCACCUGGAUAACUCAAAGGAGUGUCCUAGGUAUCCAUAUGAGUUAGGGAACUCUAUGGAUGGAACAACGCCUUCGGGCUCAUGUUGGGCAUCAAGUAGGUGCUGGAGGCUCGAUGUAUGGGAUGGCCUGCCCCGCGGGCUGCCAAAAUGUUGGAAGGAGACCUCCAUGGUGAUUGGAUACUUGAUGCACCUAUCUUAGGGGCAUCAUGUGUCGACUUACGAUCAUGGCUUGGGUUCAACCAUGCAAGCAAGGGUCCGUUGGCCUAAACGUGCAGUUAUGGGGCGACACUGCACUAUUCAGGAUGGAAGCGUGUCGCGAGGGCUAUGUAUGGGCAUGGCACGAAAGACGUGCAUGACAAUGGCCAAGGACUAAAGGUUGCCUUACUCGAGCGAGGCACGAGCUGGUUGCGGAUGUACUAGACGAGUGUCAAGCUUGAGGAUUGAGUUGUGCACGCGAGAGCGAUGCUCAGUCUUAGUGAAGGACAAGACAUAUCCUAAGCCAACCCCCAGGGCGCACAUGGAUUAUGAUCCUAAUGUGAGAAGUGCCACGACAUGUCUAGGUCCAAGUGCCUAGACAUCUUACGGGAGGCACAACUUGGGGCGAACCUCAUGGGCGAGUCCUACCAACAGGCAUAUGAUCGUGCUUAAAAACCUGGGAAAGGAUGAAGGCUGCCCUGUAGCGAGGGGAACUGCAGGUGCCGCACAGGCAAAUCGGUGCCACUGGCGAGCGUAAGGGAGUCAGCCUGUGACAAACGGCUCUUAUUAAGGUCGCCGUCCAGCUGGUGGUCAAACCCAGUGGUGGCGAACCUAACAGUUAGCGUUGAAUAGAGAGAGGGAAUGGGGUAGGGAGAUAUGAUAGUGAUGAGGAGUGGCCAUCGUUGGCAGUUGGACGCCGACGAGCUUUUCCGAUAAGGCAGCGGUAAAAGACUUGAGGGGUGGCGGCCAAUUGUUCUCAAAAGAGAGAGAGAGAUGAUAUGCUUUUAGAAUAGAGGACGACGCCCUUAUAAUAAUGGGAUAGUGUUAGGGUUUUAGACUGCCUUUAAAACAAAAACACUGAUGGUGGGGUGUGGGGUUGUGUAGUGUGUAAAUAUUUUAUAUAAUGGGUGUGUGCGUAAAACCAUGUGGUCCUUAUCAAUUUGAAAAUAAAAGGCAAUGUAAAAUAGAAAUAUGUGGCCACAGGUAAAACUACUAACUCGAAACUAUGGGAAAAUCACGGUCGAAUAUAGUGUACUGUUAUUUUCAUUAUCUUCUUUUAUACAGUGUACUCUUUUCCUUAUUUGCUUUUACAAAGUAUACCCUUUUAUUUAAUAUGUGUAUCUAUGUAUCAGUGUGAUUUAAUUAGCUUACGCGAUAUUAAACAAACGGGUUUUACCUAUUGGGUAGAAAGUUUACCUAUUGGGUAGAAGAGAUGUCAUGUCACAUCACAUGUGUUGUUAACUCAAAUGUCAUUCAAGUCAUGUCAAAUCAAGUGUCUCGUCACAUCAGGCGUUAAAGCAACAUUAGAUUUGACUGGAUUCGAUCCGUAUGUAUUUUAAAAAUAAUUCUACCAGCUUCCAUGCAACUAAUAGACUGUGCUACGAAUUAAAUGAUGAUUAUUUAAAAUUACAAAUAUGGCUUGUAAUAUUUAUUAAAAUAUCAACUACUACAACAAUAUUGUAGUAAUUCUUUAUUAUUAUUAUUAUUAUUAUUAUUAUUAUUAUUAUUAUUAUUAUUAUCAUCAUCAUUAAGACAAUAGAUUGAUAGAAAAUCCUAAUAUUUGGAAAAUAUGACAAUUAUCAAUAAAAUAUUUUGACUUUUGGAAAAAUGCACAAAAAUGAUAGUAUUUAAUUAAUCGCAAUAAAAUGAUUAAAACUCCUGUAUGUUUUUUCAAAAAUAGGAAUAAUUAUCAACAAAUUUCAUUAAAGUUAAAAAUGUGCAAAAAUAUAAUAUUUUACUAUUAAAUGACUAGGAAUCCUGUAGAAGUUAAUUUUAAAUUUGGAGGGUCAAAAUUGAGUAACAACAGAAUCAUUACAAAUUAAGAUGCACAUGGACAUAAAGUAAUAAAAUGCGGAUGAAUAUUUAUAUGGAUAAGAUAGUUCAUAAUAUAGUUUCAUAAUAUAUGCGGAUGAAUAUUUAUAAAUUUCGCAACAUAAAGUAAUAAAAUGCGGAUGAAUAUUUAUAAAUUUGGAGGGUCAAAAUUGAGUAACAAUAGGAUCGUUUCAUAAUAUAGUUCAACAUGCUUAUUAAAUAAUCUUAACUCUGAUCAUGAUACCAAACAUGAACAGAGUAAGCCAAUAGCCACUAAAUCAUAAGUUGUGACGACCCAGAAUCGCACCCUCGGGAUCGUGAUGGAGCAUGUUGUUUCACUUGCUAAGCAAUCUAACGUUACCUAAAUUUAUUAAUCAGUUUUAACAAUUAAAAUCAAAAUGUUAACAACAACCAAAUAGUCUGAAAUAAGGUGAUAAACUACUAAAUAGCGUAAUCCAAAUACAAUCCCAGAAAGGAGAUCUGUGAAGCUCUCAAAACUGCCCAUCAGGGAACUACUCAGGUUAAGUAGUCCAACAUAGAUAUUCUUACUAUUGGGUAUGAGCUUUUCAAAAUGAAGGAGGAUAAGUCCAUUCAAGAUAUGCAUACACGUUUUACCUCCAUUAUCAAUGAGCUUCAUUCUCUUCGAGAAAUUAUUCCACAAACAAGCUGGUCCGGAAGAUACGUAGCAUUCUACUAGGUUCCUGGAAAAAUAAGGUGAAUGUUAUCACUGCGGCCAAGGACCUGCAGAAUCUGACCAUUAAUGAGCUAAUUGGAAAUCUCAAAACCUAUGAGAUGAAGAGAAAAAACGGAUCUUAAAAGAAGAGAAUCCAAGAAGGAGAAGAGCCUGAUUCUCAAGGCUACCAACAACAACUCAAUAAGUGAUGAAUCUACCAUGGCGUAUCCCACUCGAAGAUUCCAAAAGAUGGUUCAAAAAAAUGGUGGAAUUCCAAAAAGAGGAAGUUCAAGCAGGAACUCUAAAGGAAAUGAUAUCUUUCAUAAGUGUGGAAAUCUCGGUCAUGUCCCCCUUCAUAAGCAAGAUCACUACAAAAACAAGGCUAAUAAGGCGGCCAAGAGGAAUCCGGUCCUUGAUAGAAAGUUCAAAAGAAGAGAUGAUGCUGACAAUAUGGUGAAUAAAGCACUGGAUGCUUGGGGAGAUUCCUCCAGUGAAUCUGAAGAUGAAGAUGACCGGGGAGAUACAUCCAUGAUGGCUGUUGAAAAUGAAUCCUCAUAAUAUGAUUCUAUCUUUGCACUCAUGGCUCAAUUUGAUGAUGAUGAUUAUUAGGACAAGGUGGAAGAUAUGGUAAAUUUUGUUUAUGCUCAAAGAAACUUGAAAACUUACUCUCAAAAGAAAUUGAUGUCAUUAGAAAAUGUGUUGAUUGAUGCCUAUCAUAGCCUUGUUAAUGAGAAAAAUUCUUUAACUGAAGAAAUUGGUGAUGUAAAACAAGAGAUGGAUAAUAUGAUAUUUUUCAUUGUAGAUUUGAAGGAAUAAGUGGAAGAAGUUACUAGAGAAAAUACCCUGUUGAAAAACCAAAUGAAAAAAUGGAUGGACACCCAUAAAGGAAAAGAAGUGGCUAGUGAGGCUCAACUUGAACUUGAGAGCGAGCUUAUGAAAAUAAAAAAAAGUCUUGCUGGUAAGCUAGAAAAGAAUAGACAACUUUACGAGCAUCUGAAACGGGUGAAAAAUGAUCUUUAUAAGUUACUUUACUAGACAUGGUCCUCUGAUGUAAUAACGUCUAUGUACAAGAGAAAUGAUGAAGGCACAUAAGGAAGUUCCAAAAGUCCAAAACCCACUUAUAAUCCCCAUAGCAAAUAUGUAACCAUGGCUGAUAAUUGGCUAUGUACUCAUUAUGGUCAAACUGGCCAUUACAAGGAUUCUUGUAAAGCUAAAAUUCGGUCAUUGCUGAAAAACAAUAUUUUUGUUGAAAAAGAAGCCUACUAUUGAGGAACCUGGUUCUCUGAGAAGAAAAUAUGUGUUGCCUGCAUGGGAAAAAUGAAAUUUGUGUAAUGAUCCAGCCGGUCAUUUUUAGAAUAUUAGUCCUGAUCCCCUAUUUAUUUCUCCCUCUAUUUUAUUUUGUGGUUAUGUGACUUGUCGGGACACUUGGUGUCGGGUUCGGGAGAGUUUUAGAGUGGAAUGGGACACAUAGUCCUUGAAUUGGAUAUUUAAGUCUGACUGGUAUGAAGAUAACUCCAGAAUGAACUUUUGGCAGUUCCAAUAGCUCUGUAGCGUGAUUUGAGUCUUAUUAGCGUAUCCUAAUAUUGAUUCGGCGCUAAUUGGCAAAAGUUGAAAAGUUGGAAUAUUUUUGGAAAGUUUGACUGGGAGUGGACUUCUUGAUACCGAGCUCGGAUUGGGGUUUCGGGAGUUGGAGUAGGUCCGUAGUGUCAUUUUUCACUUGUGUGCAAAAUUUGAGGUCAAUCGGACGUGAUUUGAUAGGUUUCGGCAAUGAAUGCAGAAGUUAGAAGUUCAAAAGUUCAUUAGGCUUGAAUCGAUACGUCAUUCAUGGUCUUAGCAUUGUUUUAAUAUGAUUUGGAGGCUCGUUUAAGAUUGUAUGAUAUUUUGGGACUUGUUGGUAUGUUUGGUUGAGUUCCCGGGGGUCUCGGGUAAGUUUCUGAUGGUUAACGGAUCAAUUUUGGACUUAGAGGUUGGCUGAACUUUUCUGGUGUCUGUGUAUCUGGUUUCCUCUUUAGUGAUCGCAAAGAAAGGGACGCGGUCGCGAAGAGUUCUUGCUGGUAGGUGGUGAUUUAUUCUUCGCGUUCACGAUAUUUGGCCCGCAUUCGCGUAGUGUUAAGAGUCUUAGGUCAUCGCGGACUCGAGAAAUUUCACGCGUCCGCGUAGAGGAAUGGUCAGUUGGGGCAUCAGGCUUUAAGCCUACACGUCCGCGCAGUUGUGCACGCGUUAGCGAAGAGUCAGGUCGGGUAAGCAUUGGGUUCGCAGUAGUGUCUUCGCAUUCGCGUAGACUAUUUUGGAGGAUGUGAUUAUUUGUUCUUCGCGAUCCCGACAUAGGUUCCGCGAUCACGAUGCAUAACGUCUGGGCAUAAACUUAAAUAUUUAAAAAUGAGGGUUUGAGUUCAUUUUAACAAUUUGAUUAUUUUUUUGGCUCGAUUCGAGCAGUUCGGAGUUGGAAAAUCGAGGAAAAGGCCUUAUAAUUGAUUGAUUGAGCAUAGUUUUGAGGUAAGUGACUAGUCUAACCUUGUGUGGGAGAAAUUCCCCUUAGGAUUUGGUAUUUGUAUGAUAAUUUGUGAUAUGUGAAGGCCGUGUACGCAAGGUGACGAGUGCGUACACGGGCUAAAUGUUGAAAUUCCGGUUUUUGCUAUGUAAUUUCAUUUUCAUGCUUUAAUUGAGUUACUUUAGCACGUUAUAGUCAUCGUGUUUAGCCUAAUUUAACAUGUCUACCUGUCUUAUCUCCUAUUUGCAACUUGUAUCACAUGUUUAGUUGAAUUACACGCUUUUCUUGAUUUUCAUAUUCUUUACUUAACUGUGGGAAUUCUUUACUUGAAAUUGCUAUCCUUGGAAUAUUAUUUAUGCAGUUGUUGUGUUUUGGUUUUCAUGUUAUUGUUGAGGUGAUUGUUUGGUUGUUUGCAUGAGGUUUCUGUCGUGCUAUUGUGAUUAUUGAUACACAUACGGUGGUAUAAGAUCUGGGUGUUGAAACACAUGCAGUGAGAUAAGGUGGGCUUGAUACGCGUGGCUAGUAAGGGAACUACUAGAAGCCAUGUUGUGUGAUAAAGUGGGCUAAAACGAGGGAUGCUAUUUCAGGAAAAUGAUUUUCAAAUAUCAGAUAUAAAGGCUCCCACGGUGAUAUAAGGAAAGAUAGUGAUUUGUUUUUACAAUUUGGGACUACGAGGCGGUACCUCGGAAAUGCCCCUGCUGGUAUUCUUUAUUUGUUAUAUUGUUUGGUUCUUGUUUUCCUUAACAUGUAAAAUUCUUUUUUUCCUUUCGUGUUGUAUUAGCUUUCCUUGAUUCUGUGUUGUUAUUUCCCGUAAAUUCCUUAUUGUUCACUUCCCUAUUAUUUUUAUUAUAUCAUAUUAUCUCUGUCUUGUUUCUUAUUAUCUCCAGUAGGGCCUUGACUUGACCUCGUGACUACUCUACCGAGGUUAGGCUUGGCACUUACUGGGUACCGUUGUGGUGUACUCAUACUAUGCUUAUGCACAUGUUGUGUAGAUCCAAGUACAUUCUAUCAGCUUCGGUGUUAGAGUGUUGUGUGGCUUGCUUAUUGGAGAUUCAAGGUACACAUGCCCGCGCCCGCAGGCCUCGGAAUCCCCUUCUAUCCCGUAAUUUUCUUAUUUCUUUACAUUUUGAUAGACAGUGAUAUAUAGGAUUGUUCGGUACUGUAUCUCGAGCUUGUGACAUAUAUCCCACCGGGAUUUGGGAUUGUACGUAUCGAUUUUUUGUAGUUUCUAUUUUUGAAAAUAUUGGGAUGUUCAAGUUUUAAUCUCUUAUUUAAUGUCUUCACAUAUUGUGGUCGUGACAAGUUAUUAUCAGAGCUCUAGGUUCAUAGGUGUUAUGAGUCACAAGCAAGUUUAGUAACGUCUCGCAGAUCGGUACAAAGAUGUCUUUACUUAUCUUCGGGUGACUACGGAACUGUUAGGAAAAGAUUCACUUCUUUCACCCCUUAUCGUGCGAAAGCUUUGACUUCAGAGGCCGAGGACUUCCAUGUGGUGCAGCCAGAGCACCCGCACGAGCUGCUAUAGAGGAGCCACCAGUAGCUUUAGUUGGAUGGUAGGCACCCGAGAUGCCUGUUGCUGCACCAGCUCUCCGGGAGACUCUCACCCAGUUUCUCAGCAUGUUCGGUACAUUAGGUCAGGCAAGGUUGAUCCCACUUGCUCCUGCUACAUCUCAGGCCGGGGGAGGAGCAAACACUCCUGUCGCCCAUACCCUAUAGCAGUGGGUCCAGGUUGACCGGGUCCCAAGGGUCAUACCAGUGCAGCCGAUAGCCCCAGUUCAUCUCGAGUUUAGGGCAGCAACUUCUGAGGAGGAGCAGGUUAGGCUCGAGAGGUACAAGAAGUACCACCCUCCUACUUUCAGUGACUUAGCGUCAGAGGAUGCCUAGGGUUUUAUUGGGGAGUGCCACCGUAUCCUCUGUACUAUGGGUAUUGCAGAGCCUUGUUGGGUUUCUUUCACUACGUUCCAGCAUAGGGGAGCGACUUAUCAGUGGUGGCAAGCAUAUGAAUUGGGUAGUGUGGCCGAGGCAGCUUCACUUACUUAGACUCAGUUCUCGUAUAUGUUCAUAAGGGAGUAUGUUCCCCAAAGUCUCAGAGAUGCAUGUUGCACAGAGUUUGAGCAGUUGCGCCAGAGUUCUAUGACCGUGUCAGAGUAUGCGGUCUAUUUUAGGGAUUUGUCUAGGCAUGCACCGGCCUUGGUUGCUACUUUUAAAGAGCGGGUCCAUCGAUUUAUCGAGGGGCUCAAUCCCAGUAUCAGAUGUAGCAUGGCCUGAGAGUUGGAGAUGGACAUUGCAUACAAGCAAGUAGUAGAGACAGCUAGGAGAUUGAAGGGUAUGUUGACUCAGGAGAGAGAGGAGUAGGAGGCCAAGAGGUCUCGAGAGUCUGGCACAUAUAGUGGUACCCAUGGCCCAGCUGCAUCUUGUCAUGGUAGGGGCUAUGUGAGUCAUCCUAUUCAUUCUGCACUUCUAGCUUCCAACGGUAUUCCGACUACUCCUAGGCCUCAGGCUCCCUAUUAUGCACCACCAUUAUCUAGUGCACCUCAUGCACAAGGUGCUUUAUGCGGUCAGUCUUGCCUAUCAGGCUCGAUCCAGCCUCAGCAACCACCUCAUCUGAGAGCUUGUUUUGAGUGUGGUGACACUCAUCAUAUGGUGAGGGAUUGGCCCAGACUGAGGAGGGGUGCACCUUCACAGACUACUCAGGCUCUGUGUAUUCCACUGGGACCUCAAGCUUCUCACUCCAUGGUCGACGCACCAUCUGACACCCCAGUUGCACAGCCAGCUAGAGGUGUAGGUCAGGCAGGUAAAGGUCACCCUAGAAGGGGAGUCCAAGCCAGAUAUUAUGCUCUUCCUGCUAGGACGGAGGCAGUUGCAUCCGACUCCAUCAUCACAGGUAUUGUUCUUGUCUGUCAUAGAGUGCAUCAGUCUUAUUUGAUCCAGGCUCCACUUAUUCAUAUGUGUCAUCUUGUUUUGAUCCGUAAUUGGUCAUAUCCCGUGAUUCUUUGAGUUUUCCUGUCUAUGUGUCUACACCUGUGGGAGAUUCUAUUGUUGUUGACCAUGUGUAUCUAUUGUGUUUGGUUAUUCUUAGUGGUUUUGAGACCAUAACCGAUUUAUUAUUGCUCGGUAUGGUAGACUUUGAUAUUAUUUUGGGCAUGGACUGGUUGUCACCCUAUCAUACUAUCCUUGAUUGUCACACCAAGAUGGUGACGUUGGCUAUGCCAGGUGUACCGCGGUUAAAGUAGAGAGGUACUUUAGAUUAUGUUCCUAGAAGGUUUAUUUCAUUUCUAAAGGCUCAGCGGAUGGUUAAGAAGGGGUGUGAUGCGUAUCUGGCAUAUGUGAGAGAUAUUAGUGUUGAUACUCCUACCGUCGAGUCAGUUGCGGUAGUGAGGGAUUAUCUAGAUGUAUUCCUGACGGAUCUUCCGGGCAUGCCGCCCGAUAGCCAGGCACUCAUCCCAUUUCUAUUCCACCCUAUCGUAUGGCCCCAGUAGAGUUGAAAGAGUUAAAGGAACAGUUGUAGCAAUUGCUUGAUAAGGGCUUCAUUCAGCCUAGUGUGUCGCCUUGGGGUGCUCUAAUCCUAUUUGUAAAGAAUAAUGAUGGUUCUAUGCGAAUGUUUAUUGAUUAUUGCCAGUUGAAAGAGGUUACAUUAAAGAACAUGUAUCCAUUUCCACGUAUUGAUGACCUAUUUGAUUAGCUAUAGGGUGCUAGAGUGUUCUCUAAGAUCGACUUGCGCUCAAGCUAUCAUUAGUUGAAGAUUCGGGAGGAAGAUAUCCCGAAGACUACCUUCAGGACUCGGUAUGGACAUUACGAGUUCCUUGUGAUGUGUUUUGGGUUGACUAAUGCCCCAGCAACAUUCAUGCACUUGAUGAACAGUGUAUUUCAGCCCUAUCUCAAAUCGUUCGUCAUUGUGUUUAUUGACGACAUUCUGGUGUACUCCCAGAGUCAAAAGGAUCAUGAGCAGCACCUGAGGACUGUGCUUAAAACCUUAAGAGAAAAGAAGUUAUAUGCCAAAUUUCCGAAGUGUGAAUUAUGGCAAGAUUCAGUGGCAUUUUUGGGUCAUGUACUGUCGAGUGAGGGGAUCAAGGUGGAUCCGAAGAAGAUUGAAGCAGUGCAGAGUUGGCCAACACCGUCCUCAACAACGAAGAUUUAGAGUUUUCUUGGUUUGGCGGGGUAUUACCGUCGAUUCAUGGAGGGUUUCUCCUCUAUUGCAGCACAUAUGACUAGAUUGACCCAGAAGGGUUCUCCGUUCAGGUAGAACGAGGAGUCUGAGGAGAGCUUUCAAAAGCUCAAUACUGCUUUGACUAAAGCCCCAGUGUUAGUAUUGACCAUAGGUUCGGGGUCUUAUAUUGUGUAUUUGAUGCGUCGCGCAUUGGUCUCGGCACGGUUGAUUCAGGAUGGUAGGGUGAUUGCCUACACAUCUAGAUAGCUAAAGGUGACCGAGAAGAACUAUCAUGUCCAUGACCUCAAGCUACCAGCUAUUGUUCAUGCCUUGAAGAUUUGGCGACACUAUUUGUGUGGUGUCCCUUGUGAAGUCUACACCGAUCACCGGAGUCUACAUUAUCUAUUCAAACAGAAGGAUCUUAACUUGCGGCAGAAAAGGUGGUUAGAGCUACUUAGGGACUAUGAUAUCACUAUUCUAUAUCAUCCUGGGAAGGCCAACGUGGUGGCCGAUGCCUGGAGUCGCAAGGAGGAGAGUUUGGGCAGCUUAGCAUAUCUACCAGUAGCAGAGAGGCCAUUAGCCUUGGAUGAUCAGGCCUUGGCCAACCAGUUUGUUAGAUUUGACAUUUUUGAGCCGAGCCGAGCUUUGGCUUGUGUGGUUUCUGGGUCUUCUCUUUAUGAUCGUAUCAGAGAGCAUCAGUAUGACGACCCCCAUCUUCUUGUCCUCAAGGAUAUGGCUCAGCAUGGCGAUGCUAAGGAGGUCAUUACUGGAGAUGACGGUGUAUUACGGAUGCAGGGCAGGCUAUGUGUGCCCAAUGUUGAUGGCUUGCGUGAGUUGAUUCUCCAGGAGGCUCACGAUUCGCGGUACUCUAUUCAUCCAGGUGCCACGAAGAUGUAUCAAGACCUAAGAAAGCAUUAUUGGAAGAGGAGAAUGAAGAAGAACAUAGUGAAGUAUGUAUCUCGAUACCUAAAUUACCAGUAGGUGAAGUAUGAGCAUCAACAGCAUGUGGAUUGCUUCAGAAGCUAGAGAUUCCGGAGUGGAAAUGCGAGCGGAUUACCAUGGAUUUUAUUGUUGGCCUCCCACGGACUCAGAGGAAGUUCGAUGUGGUUUGGGUAAUUAUGGAUAGAUUGACCAAGUCAACUCGUUGCAUUCCAGUGGUGACUACUUACUCUUCGAAGCAGCUAGCUCAGAUUUACAUUCGUGAGAUUGUCAGGCUUCAUGGCGUGCGGGUAUCUAUCAUCUCGGAACAGGGUACACAAUUUACAUUGCGGUUCUGGAGAGCCAUACAACAUGAUUUAGGUACUUGGGUGGAGUUGAGUACAACAUUUCACUCGCAGACGAACGGACAAUCCGAGCGCACUAUUCAGAUAUUAGAAGAUAUGCUUCAUGCGUGUGUGAUGGAGUUUAGGAGUUCUUGGGAUCAGUUCUUUCCGCUUGCGGAGUUUUUCCAACAACAACAGUUAUCAAUCGAGCAUUUAGAUGGCCCCGUAUGAGGCUUUGUGUAGUAGGCGGUGCCGGUCUCUGCUGGGUUGGUUUGAGCCGAGUGAGGCUAGGCUAUUGGUUACAGACUUGGUUCAGGAUGCUUUGGAAAAGGUUAAAUUGAUUCAGGAUCGACUUCGUACAGCCCAAUCCAGAGAGAAGAGUUAUGCGGAUCAGAAGGUUCACGACGUUGUAUUCAUGGUGGCGGAGUGGGUCUUGCUCCGAGUUUCACCCAUGAAUGGUGUUAUGAGGUUUGGAAAGAAGGGCAAGCUGAGCCCUAGGUAUAUCGGACCUUUUGUGAUUCUUGAGAGGGUUGGAGAGGUGGCCUACAAACUUGCACUACCACCUAGUCUAGCUGUAGUUCAUCUAGUGUUCCACGUUUCUAUGCUCCGAAAGUAUCACGACAAUCCGUCUCAUGUGUUAGACUUCAGCUCAGUCCAUAUGGACAAGGAUCUAUCUUAUGUUGAGAAUCCGGUGACAAUUUUGGACAGGCAGGUUCAAAAGUUGAGGACGAAGAAUAUUGCUUUAGUUAAGGUCCAGUAGAGGGGUCAACCAGCCGAGGAAGGGACUUGGGAGACCGAGCAUGAUAUGCGUAGCCGUUAUCCUCAUAUUUUCACCACUUCAGGUAUGUCUCUAUACUCGUUCGAGGAAUAACAUUUGUUUUAAGAAGGGGAGGAUGUAACGACCCCACCAGUCAUUUUGAGAAUAUUAGCCUCAAUCGCCUAUUUAUUGCUCCCUCUAUUUCAUUUUGUAGUUAUGUUACUUGCCGGGGUGCUUGGUGUCGGGUUUGGGAGAGUUUCGAAGUGGAAUGGGAUACAUAGUCCAUGAAUAGGAAGUUUAAGUCGUAGGAGUUUUCCGUAGUUUAACUUAUGUGAAGACGACUUCGUAAAGGGGGUUUUUAGGUUCCAAUAGCUCUGUAUAUGAUUUGAGUCUUAGGAGCGUGUCCAGAUAUUGAUUCGGAGGUCCGUAGGUCAUUUCGGCAUAAAUAAAUGAAAGUUGGAAGGUUUUUGGAAAGUUUGACCGGGAGUGGACUUUGUUAUACUGGUCUCGGAUUGGGGAUCCGGGAGUUGGACUAGGUCUGUGGUGUCAUUUGUGACUUGUGUGCAAAAUUUGAGGUCAAUCGAAUUUGAUUUGAUAGGUUUUAGCAUCGAAUGUAGAAGUUAAAAGUUCUAAAGUUCAUUAAGCUUGAAUCAAUGCGUGAUUUAUGGUUUUAGCAUUGUUUCAUGCGACUUGAAGGCUCGACUAAGUUUGUAAGAUAUUUUGGGAGUUUCGGAUGGUUAACGGAUCGAUUUUGGACUUAGAGGUUGGCUGAUGUUUUCUGGUAUCUGUUUAUCUGGUUUCCUCUUUCGCGAUCGCAAAGAAAGGGACGCGAUCGCGAAGAGUUGUUGCUGGCAGGUGGUGAUUUAUUCUUCGCGUUCGCGAUAUAAGGCCUGCAUUCGCAUAGCUUUGAGAGCAUUCACAUAGCUUUGAGAGUCUCAUGUCAUCGCAGACGCGAGAAGGUUCACGCAUUCGCGUAGAGGAAUGAUCAGUUGGGGCAUCAGGCUUUAAGCAUACGUGAUCGCGUAGUUGUGCACGCAUUCGCGAAGAGUGAGGUCGGGUAAGCAUCGCGUUCGGAGUAGUGCCUUCGCUUGGUGUAGACUAUUUGGAGGCUGUGAUUAUUUGUUCUUCGCGAUCGCAAUGUAGGUUCCGCGAUCGCGAUGCAUAAUGUUUGGGCAGAAACUUAAAUAUUUCAAAACGAGGGUUUGAGUUCAUUUUCACAAUUUGAUUUUGGGAGCUCGGUCGGAGGCGAUUCUUGGAGAGAUUUUCAAGGGAGUGAUUGGGGUUAGUGAUUCUUACUUAGUUUUGGUUAAAUUCAAUGUUUAUAUCUUUGAUUUAGUCAUUUAAUUAGUGAUUUGGGUUGAAAAUUGGAAAAACAAAUGGAGGAAAGUCCUUAAGCCGAAUUUUGGGGAUUUCAACGAGAUUUAGAUAUCGUAUUUGUGUAAUUCUUGCAUGUUUGGACUCAAUAUCAAAGGAUUUUAUAAUUUUGGUCGGGUUCUGAGACGUGGGCCCGGGUCGACAUUUUGGAGCAAUUUUUUCAAUUCUUGCAAAAAUCGUUAUUUCAUUACUUAAACUAGCUUCCUAUAGUUAUAUUUAUAGUAUGAAACUGUUUUGGCUCUAUUCGAGCCGUUCGGAAUUGGAAAAUCGAUGGAAUGCCUUCUAAUUGAAUGAUUGAGCGUGGUUUGAGGUUAAUGACUAGUCUAACCUUGUGUGGGGGAAAUUUUCCUCAGGAUUUGGUAUUUUAGUGAUAAUUUGUGAUAUGUGAAGGCCGCGUACGCAAGGUGACGAGUGCGUACACGGGCUAAAUAUUGACAUUCCGGUUUAUGCUAGGUAGUUUUCUUUUUCAUGCCUUAAUUGAGUUACUUUAGCAUGUUAUAGUCAUCAUAUUUAGCCUAAUUUCACAUGUCUACUUGUCUUAUCUCCUAUUUGCAACUUUUAUCACAUAUUUAGUUGAAUUACUUGCUUUUCUUAAUUUCCUUAUUCAUUACUUAGCUGUGGGAAUUCUUUACUUGAAAUUGCUAUCCUUGGAAUAUCACUUAUUCAGUUGUUGUGUUUUGGCUUUCGUGUUAUUGUUAAGGUGAUUGUUUGGUUGUUUGCACGAGGUUUUUGUCAUGCUGUUGUUAUUGUUGCACGAGGUUUCUGCCAUGCGGUUGUUAUUUUUUGCAUGAGGUUUCUGCCAUACGGUUGUUAUUGUUGCACGAGGUUUCUACCGUGCUGUUGUGAUAUUGAUACGCAUGCGGUGGUAAAAGGUCUGGGUGUUGAAAGGCAUGCGGUGAGAUAAGAUGGGCUUGAUACGCGUGGCUAGUAAGGGCACUACUAGAAGCCAUGCAGUGUGAUAAGUUGGGCUAAAAUGCGGCAUGCUAUUUCGGGAAAAUGAUUUUCAAAAACCAAAUACAAAGGCUCCCGCGGUGAUAUACGGAAAGACUAUGAUUUGUUUUUACGAUUUGGGACUACGAGGAGGUACCUCAGGAGUGUUUCUGCUGAUAUUCUUUAUUUGAUGUAUUGUUUGGUUCUUGUUUUCCUUAACAUAUAAAAUUCAUGUUUUCCUUUCGUGUUGUAUUAGCUUUCCUUGAUCCCGUGUUGUUAUUUCCAGUAAAUUCCUUAUUGUUCACUUCCCUAUCAUUUUCAUUAUAUAAUAUUAUCUCUGUCUUGUUUCUUAUUAUCUCCAGUAGGGCCUUGACCCGACCUCGUCACUAUUCUACCGAGGUUAGGCUUGGCCCUUACUAGGUACCGUUGUGGUGUACUCAUCUAUACUUCUGCAUAUAUUUUGUGCAGAUCCAGGUACAUCCUAUCAGCCUCAGUGUUAGAGCGAUGUGUGGCUUACUUAUUGGAGAUUUUAAGGUACACAUGCCCGCGCUCGCAGGCCUCGAGUCCCCUUCUGUCCCGUUCUUUUCUUAUUUCUUUACAUUUUGAUAGACAUUGAUGUAUAGGAUUGUUCGGUACUGUAUCUAGAGCUUGUGACUUAUAUCUCACCAGGUUUUGGGAUUGUACGUAUCGAGUUUUGGUAGAUUCUAUUUAUGAAAAUAUUAGGAUGUUCAAGUUUUAAUCUCUUAUUUAAUGUUUUAGCAUAUUGUUAGGCUUACCUAGUCUUAGAAACUAGGUGCCAUCACGAUAUCUUAUGGAGGGAAUUUGGGGUCGUGACAAUUUGAUUCACCUGUUUUAUCAUUAUAAGAGAUCGAACCUGGCUUGGAUUCUUAAGUCUAAUUAGUGAUCUUUUAUGCAGGCUGGAGUGACAGGAAGUAGUCAAAAAUAGUACAUGGAUAGUGGCUAGUUGAAGCAUAUGGCUGGAAGAAUGGAUAAUUUCCUCUUACUCAAGGUCUUCCAAGGUGGGAGUGUUGCCUUUGGAAAUGGCAGGAAGGGCUAUAUUCUUGGUGUUGGCAAAAUUGGCAAAACACUGUCCCGUGCAAUUGAAAAUAUGUACUAUAUGAUUGGAUUGAAAUAUAGUCUAUUGAGUGCGUCUCAAAGCUGUGACAAGGGAAAUGAAGUGAAGUUAUUUUCCAAAUCUUGCAUUGUCACCAAUCUCGAAUCUGGUGAAGUGGCGUUGAUAGCCAAAAGGUUCAAGAACAUCUAUGUUGUAGACUUUGACUCACUAAAUGGUGGUUAUUUAACAUGCCUAAGUGCCAUUGAUGAUGAUGCUAAGUUAUGACACACAGUACUGGCAUGCAAGCGUUUCCUUGCUGAACAAGUUGAUUAAGAAGGACCUGAUUUGUGGGCUGCCCAAGUCGAAGUUCAAGGAUCACAAGGUGUGUGAUGCAUGUGCAAAAGAAAAGUAGGACAUGUCCUCUUUUAAACCAAAGAAAGAAGUGAGCACCUCAAGGCCACAUGAUCUUCUUCAUAUGAAUCUUUGAAGACCUAGAAGGAUUCUAUGUGGAGGAGGAAAGAAGUACAUCAUUGUGAUUGUGGACGACUAUUUGAGAUUGAUCACCUAGACACUGUUUCUGAGGACCAAGGAUAAAAUAUUUCUAGUUUUUGUUGCACCUGUGAAGCAGAUUCAAGUGAAAUCGGGAAAUCGCAUUGUGAGUAUUAGAUCCAAUCAUGGUACUGAAUUUGACAAUGCCAAGUUUGAUGAAUUUUGUGCUGAAAAUGGUAUAAGUCAUAAUUUUUCUACUCCUCCGCCUUAACAAAAUGGUGUUGUGGAGAGGAAAACAGGUUUCCUGAAGAUAUGGCUAGAACAAUCUUGAUCGACAGUGGUAUGCCUAAAGGUUUUUGGGUCGAAGUAGUCAACACUACCUGCUACUUGAUUAACAGGUGCAUGAUCAGGUCCCUGCUUGAGAAGGCUCCUUAUGAACUGCUCAGUGUGAGGAAACCCAAGCUGAUUACCUGAGAUCCUUUGGAUGCAAAUGUUUAGUUCUCAACAAUGGUAAGGAGGCUUUGGGAAAAUUUGAUGCAAAAAGUGAUGAAAGAAUUAUUCUUGGUUACUUCUCUCAAAGCAAGUCAUACAAAGUCUAUAACAAAAGAAACUAAUGUAGAAGAAAGUAUGCAUGUAAUCUUUGAUGAAUCCCAUGAAUCAAGUGGGAAAGGGUCACAUAACAAAGAAGAUGAAGAUGGAGAACUUUCAAAAGUUCCUGGUGAAGCAGUAGAUAUUUCCAAUGGAAAGACUGAUUUGAUGAGUCAAUUCAACCAAAACUAUGAAAAAGAUGCAGCAGAAUCUCAAGAAGGCAGAGAAGAACCUGGUCCCUCUAUUACCUCACUGAAGCCGAGUAUAGGGUUGCUGAUGUUGUAUCUGGUACUCCUGAUGCAGGAUAAAGGAGUGGAAAUCAUACAUAUAUUUGAUGUCAAUAAUGGUUCAAGUAUAGAGGAACUUGGUCCUUCGAAUCUUUAAGUUCAAGUAUCCAACUGGAAGCACAAGAGUCCACAUCCCCUUCAAAAUAUGAUCACACCUUUAGAUUCUGGUAUUCAAACUAAAUCUAAGGCAAGAAACAUGUUUGCCUUCUCAGUCAUCUUGUCUCAAAUCGAUCCUAAGAACAUCAAGAAAGCAUUGAAAGAUGCUGACUGGAUAACUACUAUGCAAAAAAGAACUCCAUCAGUUCGAGAGAAACGAAGUGUGGAACCUGGUUCCUCAACCAUCAGGCAGAAUUAGGAUUGAAUCCAGGUGGGUGUUCAGGAACAAGCUUGAUGAAUUGGAAACACAACAAGAAAUAACACAAGGCUGGUGGUCCGGGAAUAUAACCAAGAAGAAUGGUUAUAGCUUUUCAUCUCAUAUGGAAUUAAAAUUAUUCCAAAUGGAUGUUAAAAGCGUCUUUCUAAAUGUACCUUUGAAAGAGGAAGUAUUUGUCAAGUAUCCUCAUGGCUUGGAAAGUCAUGAGCAACCUGAGCAUGUUUUCAUGAUUGACAAAGAUCAAUAUUGUUUGAAGCAAGCCCCUUGAGCAUGGUAUGAAAGAUUGUCAAAAUUCCUUCUUGAGAAUGGUUUUACUAGAGGAAAAAUUGACAAUACUUUAUUUCUGAUGAAAAGAGGGAGAAAUAUGUUGAUUGUACAAGUCUAUAUUGAUGAUGUUGUUUUUGGUGCAAUAAAUAAUUCUCUUUGUGGGGAGUUUGCAAAGCUCAUGGGAAGUAAAUUCAAGAUAAGUAUGGUGGGUGAGAUAAAUUUCUUCCUUUGGUUGCAAGUGAAGCAAUCCUCAAAAGGCACCAUGAUUAGUCAACAAAAGUACAUCAAGAAGUUGCUGAAACGAUUUGAGAUGGAAAAUUCAAAAACCAAUGAUACUCCCAUUGUCACUUCUACUCGAUUAGACAUGGACGGACUUGAUUCUCCUGUCAAUGAAACUAUGUAUAGGGGUAUCAUUGGAUCUCUUUUGUACUCUACUUCUACUAGACAUGAUAUUGUCUUUAGUGUUGGAUUGUGUGCUACGUUUUAAUCAAGCCCAAAAGAAUCUCAUUUAAAGGUUCUAUGUAAAAGAAUUCUGAGAUAUCUUAAGGGAACGCAUUACCUGGUCCUCUUCUGUCCCUAAGGAGAUAAUUUUGACAUGAUUCAAUAUGUUGACAUUUAUUAUGCUACAUACUUGGUAGAUAAGAAGAGUACAUCUGGAAUGACACACUUUCUGGGGUCAUGUUUGAUCUAAUGGGGUCCAAAAAAAUAAAACUUUGUGGCACUACUAAAGCUGAGUAUGUGGCUGAUGUCUCUUGUUGUGCACGACUGCAUUGGAUCAAGCAACAACUUGAGAAUUUUGGUGUAUUUACGGAUUGUGUGCCUUUAUUGUGUGAUAACACAAGAACUCUCAACAUGGCAAGGAACCCGGUGCAGCACAAAAGGACAAAGCACGUUGAUGUAAGUCAUCACUUCUUGAAGGACAAUGUUGAAAAUGGUCUAAUUUGUAUGACAGUCUGCAAAACAGAGGACUAGGUAGCAGAUAUCUUCACCAAGGUGCUAAUCAGGGAACACUUUGAAAGAAUUCGUCUAGAGUUGGGCUUGAUCAAGCUUAACUAAGGACCAGGUCCCUCAAUGAAUGGCUAUGUCAAGAAGGGAAGGUACAAUAUUAAAAAGUAUUUUUUUGGAGAUAUCUAACUCAAAUCUAUACUGCUACACGUAUACACACAUGGCAGACUCAAGACAAAACAUGUGAGAAUGACAGUGCACAUCUAGAAGAUUUUGCUCACAUUUUCAUAAACUUUCAAGGAACCCUGUUCUUGUGACAUAGGUUAGUAAUUACCUCAAUACUUAUAUGAUUUUUAAACUGAUGAAGUGCCAAGUCAUUAAUUUAUUCCUACCUCUCUUCUAAUUUAUUUUAAGUCCAAACGUUUCAUCUUUUUUGAAUCGACCUGUUUCCCCAUUUUCCUCUCACACCCAUUAGUAACUGGUCCUUUUUCCUCUUUUAUAAACCUAACCCAUUAUCUCAUUCCUCUCUUACAAUCAGAAACCUUCUCUCUCUCUCUCUCUCUCUCUCUCUCUCUCUCUCUCUCUCUCUCUCUCUCUCGUCAAACUCUCUUCCCUUCGUAUCUUCUAGCAAAAUUCGACCAUGACCCAAUAAGAAUCCAAAUCUCAUAAGAUGUCGGAAGAAAUGAUAACUUUGUCGCCUUUUAAAGUACAAUACCAUUCAGAAUCUAUGGCAAUCGAUUCACCCAUUAAAGCCCCAAUUUCUACCAAAACCAACUCUACUAUGACUCCCUCUAAAUCCUCUAUUUUUGGUCCCCCAACAAAGCCGAAAAAGCCAAACUCCUAAAAGGUUUAUCUCAUCCCCUUCUCCUUCUGUUCCAACUGACAAGCCCGACUCCUAGAAAAUAGUGUUUGUAUAUCCAUUUCUUCAAAAUACAGAGGAAAUUGGAGAAGAUGAUGAUUGUGUUGAGGUGACUCGUCAGACUGCCGCGACUAAGGAAGUGAGGUUUCUGGAGCAGCUGUGGAACUACAUGCGCCUGAGAGAGAUAGAAUCAAGCUAUUGAGGGAGAUUUUCAAGACAACCCUACAAAAUUAAGUAAUCGUCCCUCUCUUCUACUGAUAAAGGGAUAGAAGUCACGUCUCUGGAGUUUGAGAAAGAUAUAAGUAUAAAUAAAAGGGCAGAUCGAAUAUUCUUGAAAGUGAAACUAAAAUUGUGGUUGGUUUCGUUGAGGCCUUAAGGGCUAGUGGUAGUGGUAAAAGGACUCAAGGGGAACUACAGAGUCAGUGGAAACUGGUGAACCACGGGGAACGAGUUACUGAGUGUAAAACAUGGGAACCAACAGAGGGACCUAACCCCCUACAUAGGGAGAGUCUGAGUCGUAUGUGCUUAGAACUGCUCCCACUAGGGAUGAGACACCAGGUUCCACGAUGACUAACCUAGAUAGUACUGAAACACCCCAGUUCAUUCGCCCAUUCCUGUCCCUCUGGAAGUUGUGCUUACAGAGAUGGGACCUGGUUCUACCAGUCAUUCACAUGAAACUGAUUAUAUGGAUUCUAAUGAUAAUUUUGUGUUGAGAUUUAUAGUCGCAAGGGCUGAUGCAAAGAAAAAUAAGAAUGUUGUGUACAAAUCCCCACUAUAAGACAAUAAUAAAAAGCUGAACUUGAUGGUGUGCUAAAGGCAAGUAAAGAGAAGAAGAAAUGAAGAAGGCUAGUCAAGAGUAAGUUGGUUGAUGAAGAGGAAGUUCAACCUGCCGAUGGGGUUACCAUUGAGGAUGAAGAGGCUGGAAUGGAAGAACCAUCUUUGGUGAGAAAACAUUCCAAGAAAAGUGAUGCUAGUAAGGGCAAAGGAAAGAUGUCUGAGAAAGCAAUUCCAAGUGAAGAUGAUGAGGAAGUGGAGAAAGCAAAAGAGGAGAAAAGGCCUCUUUAAACGAGGAAAUGUUCAAGCGAGGAACCUGGUUCCUCCAAAAAGGCAAAGGUUGAGUUGUCUGAGUUGGAAAGAAAGGCCAAUCUCAAAACUCAAAAGGUGCUGCUGGGUCGAGUCUUUGACCCUCUGAUUGCUAAAAAUACAUGGAUGAAAGAACUUGUGGACAUUGUGGAGUUUCAAAAGUUGAGCCAUCUUUUUACACCCCCAAGUCAAAAGGUGUAUGAGGAUAAGGUGAGAAGUUUUUAUGCUAAUUUGUUUGUUGUGGAUGAGGCCACGUUGUGCUUGAAGGUCAAUGGGAAGGGUUUUUUCCUGGAUAAAGACACUUGGGGAAAUCAUUGAAGUGCCCACAGAUGGGCUGGGAACAUUUGAGGGAAAUGCAUCCUCUGCUUUCAAGAAGCUGAUUGUGAAAAGAGAGGAUAAUUUAUUAGGAGAGAGAGCGUAUAAGAAGGAACCUAAGCCAGAAUAUCAGCUUAUGUUCGAGAUGGUGAAAAAAGUAUUGUUGCCUCGGUUUGAGAGGAGAUCUAUUUCUUCCAUCGUGGACCCGGUUCUUAAUGAGACACUGGCAUCCUACACAUCUAUCAACCUUCCUGGACUCACGAUUGAGCAUAUGAUAAAAGUGGCAAACAUUAAGGUUGGAAAGCAUGGUCUUCCAUAUAGGUUUCUCCUCACAAGAGUGUUUGAGCAUUUUGAUGUCCCGUUGGGAAAAUCUACUGUGGGGACCAAGAAGUAAAUAUUCUCCAUAAGCACACAAGAAUCUAUCAACCUUCGUGGACCCAUGAUUGAGCAUAUGAUGAAAGUGGCAAGCAUUAAGGUUGGAAAUCAUGGUCUUCCAUAUAGGUUUCUCCUCACAAGAAUAUUUGAGCAUUUUGAUGUCCCGUUGGGAAAAGCUACUGUGGGGACCAAGAAGUAAAUGUUCUCUAGAAGCACACUAGAAGAAUGUGAGUGCGUGCUGAAGAAAUGAGGAGUUGACAGCAAUUCAAGCAUCUUCAAUCUGAUUGAGGCUCAAAAGAUAACAAAAUAGAGAUCAAGCGGGUACAAGCUGAGAAUGCUGUCUUGACGUCCAAGCUCACUUAGAAAAUUAUGGAACCUAGUUACAGUGGUCCCCUAGAAGAAAAGAAUUCUCGGUUGAAGGCUGCGGUUGAAAGGUUGAGGAAAUAGGUCAAGGACCUGAAUGAGCAUAUGAUCGUUGAUCAAAGGAAGUGAAAUGAAAGAAUGGACAAGAUCUUCAAGGCAUUUUCUCAUUAAUCCUUUUCUCCUACCCAGUGCUCCCUUUCUUAACCCCUUUUCAAUCCCAUCCAACUCUCGUCCUCUUUUGCUGUUGAUGUUUAAUGACUUAGACAUUUUAGUUGUUUAAAUUUGCAAUAUUGGUAUUGUUGGCACCACUGUACCUCUGUUUUAUAUUUAUCUUCAAUGGGAAAUUACUAUCUAUUUUGUUCAAUAUUACUCUCUUGUAUUAUUGUUUUUAUCAUGUUGUGUGCGCACAUGUGGUAUGAGUUAAUGUGUAAUAACUCGACCAGUCAUUUUGAGUAUUUGCCUCUAUUCUCAGACCUCUCAUAGCUUCAUUUGAUAUUUAUUGAUUUGCGUGCAGGAUCCAUGUCAUUUUUCCAAAAGCUUUUACGUAAACUUUUGAAGAAAACAUGUUUUUUUACCUAAAAUGAGGGUUGAGUUGAUCAUAGUCAACAUUUUUGUUAAACGACAUCGGAUCGAUAUUUUGACGAUUCCGGUAGAUUUGUAUGAUAUUUUCGGAUUUGUAUGCAUAUUUGGGUUGGGUUCCGGGUGACGUGAAUGUGUUUCGGCACAUUAUGUGAAAGAUUGUGAAAAGUUGAAUUUUAAGUUGAAAACUUGAGUUUUGAUGAUUGAUUCUUGAUGUUUGAUGUUAUGUUCAUGAUGCGAGAUAGCGAGCGAGUUUGUAGGAUGUUAUUACACUUGUGUGCAUGUUCAGAUUGGAGCCCGAGGGGUUCGGAUGUGUUCGGAGUGUUAUUAGACUUCUACUGCUUUGUUUAUGGUGUUUCAGGUCUGUAGGUCUUGCAAUUGCGAGGACCUGUGUGCAAUUGCGAGUCCCUCUUUUGCAAAGUUGGACUCGCAAAUGUGAUAUCCGGGGAGGGCAUGUUGACUUCACAAAUGCAAAGAUAGCAUCGCAAAUGCGAUCCCGUUGACUCCACUUUUAUGGUUAUUGUGUCGCAAUUGCGACUAGGGUUUAGUUGUGUAACCUUCGCAAAUGCAAAGGUGAGCCGCAAAUGCGAAUGGGGUAGGUUCACAAAUGUGGAAUUUGUAUCGCUUUUGUGACCACUGUUGGUUGGAUAGAUGUUUUCUUUCGCGAACAGUGAUUCGCUUUUGCGAACAUCGCAAUUGUGAACAAGGGUUCUUGCGACGUCUGCAACUAGGUAAAAGGGUGAAAAAUCAGGACGUAGCUCAUUUUUACACCGUUUCUCAACCCUAAACACUCUAGAGGCGAAUUUUGAAGAAUUAUUUCUCCCCAAAUUUAUUGGUAAGCAACUCUAAUUUAUUUUUCGUCAAUUCCCUAUUACUUUUUAUGAAUUUUUAACAUCAAAUCUUUGAAUUUCAUAGUAGAAAUAGAAUUUAAGAAUUUUGUAAAAUUGACAUUUAGACUUCAAAUUGAGGCUGGAUGUUGAAAUAAAUCACAUAACAAGGCUAGGGUGAAUGAUAAUCGGGUUUUGGUCCAAAUAUCGUAUUUCGACCAAGCAAGCAUGGGGUUGACUUUUGUUGACUUUUUCAAAAAUGAUCAAAAUCGAACCUUUUUCAUUCGUGGGUAGUUUUUAAAUUUUAUUUUGGAUUGUUUGAUUGAUAAUUGUAUAGAUUCGAUUGGUUUGGAGGCUUGUUCGAAAGGCAAAGUUGUGAUUGACUAUUGAUUGGUUGUAGAAAGAGGUAAGUGCCUUGCCUAGUUUUGUUGGAGGAAUUUUUCCUAAUAAAAUGAUAUGAUUUGUUACAUGUGGGGGUGAUGAACAUUCAAGGUGAAGAGAGUAUAUCAUGUGCCAUGAUUAUCUAUGCUCGGGGUAAAUUAUACGAUUUUUGGUGUCUUGUUGGACUAUGUGAAUUUCUUGCCCCAUGUUUUACUUGACUUCUAUAAUAAUAUGAAUAUGAAUUUCAAUGCUAGAAACCAUAAUUCAACUUAUUAUAACUUGAUUAAAUUUGACAAAAUUUUUGUGAAACUGUUGAUGUGCUAAAUUCUGCUAUCACUAUACCUAAUCAUGAAUACAUGUCUAUGAUCAUAAUUAUGAGGUACUUGGGUUCCAUAAUUAUGUCGAAAAGCAUGUUUGAGUUUUGUCGAGAUACUUGAACAAUAGGGUUCUUGAGGUUUGUUGAAUUGCUUAUUAGUUCAAGAGUUGUGAUUGAUGUUCACGUGGUGUAUUUGUUUUACCACUCUUCUUGAUAUUAUCCAUGCUUUCUACCUUGCUUGUCAUUGAUAUACAUGUGCUUGGUGAGGAAGAGUGUAAAGCACGAAGGGUGAUAUCGUUCCAUUGCACAUACAUUAUCAUGUGAGGAAGAGUGUAAAGCAUGGCGGGUGAUGCUGUGCAAUUACAUAUACAUUAUCAUGUGAGGAAGAGUGUAAAGCAUGAAGGGUGAUGCCGUGCCGUUUCAUAUACAUUAUUAUGUGAGGAAGAGUAAAAAGCACGGAGGGUGAUUCUGUGCCAUUUCAUAUACAUCAUUACGCAUGAAGGAUAAUGUUGUGCCAUUGUUUUACACUAUCAUGUGAAGAAGAGAGUAAAAGCAUGAAGGGUGAUGUCGUGCAAUUACUUUUAUAUUAUAAUGUGAGGAUGAGAUUCAUAGCACAAAGGAUGUUUUCGUGUAGGCUAGGACGAGAGACAUGCAUUAUAUUGUGAUAUAUUUCCCUUGCGUAUACAUUUAUGCCUUUAUUCUGAGUUGUCAUAGCUGCACAUAUGCUUUUUAUGUAGCUUGUUGUUGUUGUCACGUCUUUGCUUUCUACCUUAAUUUAUAUUUUUCUAUCCCCCCCCCCAAUCUAUUUAUCUUGUCAAGAUCAUGCUUUUCUUCUUGUUUGUUAUAUUUACAUCUAUGCUUUUUCUCGUUUGUUGUGCUUUCAUCUAAGCCUUCUACCGUGCUAGUUAGUGAAAUCUAUGUUCUCCUACCUUAAUUCCUGUCAUUACUUCUGCGCCUCCCACCUUGUCUGUUACUGUUGUCCAUAUGCUCCGCCUUGUUUAUUAUUCCUAUCUGUGUACUUUCUACUUUGUUGUUAUUAUUAUUGGUAUUUCUUUUACUUGGUUGGUACUGUUUUACAUAUGCUUGAUGAGGAUGAGAUAAAUGUACGAAUGGUAUUACAGUGCCAAUUAAUUUGGCAUACAUUCAAAUAUUUGGUAAGGAUCAGAUAAAUGUAUGAAGGGUGUUUUCGUGCCAUUUGAUUCGAUAUAUUGAACAAAUUCCUCAUAUUAUGAAGUUUCAUGAGUUUACUAUGUUGUUUGGUGAGGGUUGGUUGUGAUACUCGGGAAACUGACCGUGAUUUCUUUUAAUAAUCAUCUUUUGCUUCGCAUAUUUAUUUUUGUAUUUUUCUAUGUUAUUUCUAGUAUUAUUUUUAUUGCAAAUCUAACUAAAAAAGUUAUAUUAGUGAGUAUCUUUGAAUUAAGAACCUCGCCACUACUUCACAGUGGUUAGUCAACAUACUUAUUGAGUACAUGGGGUCAGUUGUACACAUACUACACUUCUGCACCUUGCGUGUAGAUAUUCGGAGAGGGCCAGCUAUGGAGUUCAUGGGCCUAGCAUUAAAGACACAUCAGCACUCCAGAUACAAGUUACCAAUUGUUCGCGAUAGUUUAGGAUUCAUAUUUCUGUUUAUGUAAAUUUCAAACAGAUGAUGUAUCCUUACUCAAACUGAAGUUGUAAUCUUAUUUAUAGUCGCUCAUGACUUAUAGUACCGGUCCUUGGGAUAGUUGUAUUAGACUCUUUUGGCCAUUUUAUUUAUUAUCUAUGUUGGUUUCUUAUCUUAGUAGUGGCUUAUACCGUAGGCUUACCUAGCGGGUUGGGCUAUGUGCCAAUACAGCCUAGUGGAAUUUUGGGUCGUGACAUAAUUUUGCUGAACUUCUUUUUGUGUGUCAAAAGGGGGAAGAUUGAGGUGGGGGAGUCUAUUUUAUUCGCAGGGGAAAAAAUCGGCUAAGUUUGGUUUUAGGCCUGAUCCAUAGGAGGAAUAUGUGCGAAUCUAGCUCUCAAGGGGAAUAUCAAUUUUGGGUUUGUCAUCAUCAAAAAGGGGGAAAUUGAUAAGUUAUGAUACUGUAGAUUUUGCUGAUUUGUCAAACUUUAUUAAGGAACCUGAUGCGAUAUGUUCCUUUGAUCCCGUUGUGCUAUGUUUUGAUGUCUGGCUAAGCGUUCUGAAGGAAACAGAUAAGGAAAAAUAUAUGAACAGUUUCCCAGCCGUCAUACAGUCAACCCUACAGUUAUAAAAGUCGCCUUAUUAUACCAACUGGCAGUAUGCAGCGGCACAGCCGUUGCUGCUAGGUCAUCGAAAGAGCUUCUUGAAUUGUUAAUCGAACUAAAAAAUAGGGGAAUAUUUGUGAGAAGUUACCCUUUAGAUCAUAACCAUCAUUUUAUUAUUGCAAUUGUUUAUCGCGCUUCAAUUGGGUUAAUUACUGAAAUUAACGUUUAAUCAAAAGAGGAACAUUAACUUCAAGUGUAAUCUGAUUAUCGGCUGAAUUCAUGAGAAUCAACUGUAUUAUAGAGUGAAUUAACUCAAGAAUUGGAUCCCCAGUCAAUUAUCUUGCACCUAUCUAGUCAAAUACUCUUAUUCCUAUCAUUGAUAUUUCUUCGUUGCUCAUUUGUUGUCUUUUGUGAUUAAUUGUUAGUUGCUUAAUUUUUAGUAGCUAAUCGUAGUGAUAGUCAUCAAAUCAAGUGUUAAUUUUCCUGGAUAGUAAUCAACUGGAGAUUAUUCGAACACUGUUUAAAUCCAAUCCAUGUGAAAAUAAUAAUUAAUCUAUACUAUCUUUGACUAGCGAGCAAUAAUUUUGUGUUAUGUUUUGCGCUCAUCAAAUUUUGGCGCUGUUGUCGGGGAUUGACAAUCAAUAGUGUUUAAAAUAGUUUUUUGUACUAAUUCAGGAACCAAUUUUUACUUUAGUGUAUUCACGUUUCUCACUUGUGUGCAGGAUACAGGUUUGAUUUCUCUGGUGUAUGACUCAAUCCUCUUCAAAGGAAGUGAUACCAUACGAACCAGAGUUGGAAAAACACCUGCGGCAACUGAGAAAAGAAAGAGAAUUAACAUAAAAUUUAUUGGGUCAAACUUCUACUCAAGAUACCAUGGAAAAAAAAGAGAAUGAUGGAGUAGACUUAGCUACAAGAGGGGCAGCAGAACAAGAAGAUGCAUGGAUAGCAGCUGAAGCAGCCCAAAGAAUUGCUGAUGAGACCGUCAACGAUGAUGGGGGUGGAAGAUUCAAUCUAAACUGACCCUUGGUGGAAGACUAAUUCGAGAAUGUAGCACCCGGGCCUGUAAGAUCAUUGGGUGACUAUGCUAGCCAAACAACUUCGAAUUGAAGUAAGGCUUGCUUCAAACUAUCCAAAACAACUACAUUUUUAGAGGAAAGGUGAACGAAGAUCCUAAUACUCACUUGAUGGACUUUGAUGAAAUCAUGAACACCUUCCAAUACAAUGGAGUAUCAAAGGAUGCAGUCUAUUUAAGGCCAUUCCCCUUUUUAUUGAAAGAUAACAUGAAGGAAUGUCUUCGUAGCUUACCUACAGGUUCGAGCAGGACAUGGGAAGAUAUGAACACGAAUUUUCUUGACAAGUACUUCUUAGCUGCAAAAACAGAGAUGUUCAGAAGGGAAAUCCAAAUUUCUACUAGACGGAGACAGAAACUAUUUUCAAAGCUUGGGAGAGAUUCAAGGAGAUAGUCAGAAAGUGUCAGCACAAUGGAAUUGAUUUGUGGAUGCAACUCGGGGAUUUUUGGGAUGGACUAACACCGUCCUCACGAUGAACUCUGAAUACUACAUGUGGAGGUCCACUAAUGAAGAAAACACCGGAGGAGGUUGUCUUAAUCCUUGAUGAAUUAUCUGAGGAUGCUAAUCAGUAUCCGGUUGAGAGUAAUGAUAGAAUAAAAUCAUUUAGGGUUCACCAAAUAGAAUCUAACACAUCCAUGCAAGCCCAGCUAGACACCAUGGCCAAUGAGAUAAGAAAGCUGAUAUUGGCCAAGAUACAGAGUGAGCCGCAAGCAACAUGUGACUUUUGUGGAUUGGGGCACCCUACACAUGAGUGUCAAGCAUCAACUAAGGAAGUCAACAUAGUGGGAAACUUUAAUAGAGGAAACUACCAAUGUGGGAACAACUAUAAUGCUAUGGUUCAAAGACGUCCAGGUUUUUCAUGGAGUUCACCUACUGGGAGCUAGAAUUCAUGGCAGCAAAAUAAUCCCAGACCCCAUGGUCAAGGACCACCAGUUUUCAGAACCAGCAGAGGCAGCAAUACCAGCCACAACAGUCAAAUCAGUCUAGUAUGGAAGAUCUCAUGAAGGCAUUCAUCAAUAAAUCAGAUGAAAAAAUUGAAACUCAGGGCACAACCAUCUGAGAGCAAGGCAUGGCCAUCUGGAAUUUAGAAAGAAAAUUGGGACAGAUUGCAAAUUUGUUAUCUGAGAGGGCUCCUGGGACUUUACCCUCUAACACUAAAAAGAAUGCAAAGGAAACAAUCAAAGUUGUAUCUCUGAGAAGUGGCAAAACAUUGGCUGACCCACUGGCGAAAGCAAGACCCGAGGUAGUGAACAAACACGUCGAGACAGUGGAAGAGAAAAAAAGUGAAGAGCAGAAAGGCCAGAGUAGUGUAGUACAAAAGGAUAUUGAAGAAAGUAGACAUAUGCCAGCUCUACCAGUCCCUCAAAAGAUGAAGCGGGAAAAACAUGGCAAAUAUUUUGGGCGAUUCUUGGAGAUGCUCAAGAAACUUUAUGUGAAAAUUCCCUUCAUAGAGGUACUCACUCAGAUGUCUGCUUAUGCAAAGUUGUUGAAGGAAAUCUUGUCUAGCAAGAGAAUAUUAGAGGAGAAAAUAGUGGUAAAGCUGAAUGCCCACUGCAGUGCCAUAUUCCAAAACAAAAUUCACCAAAACUGUGGGGACUCAAGAAGCUUCACUAUACUAUGCUUGUUAGGGAGCGAGAAAUUCGACAAGGCCUUCUGUGAUUAUGGUGCGUCUAUAAAUCUAAUGCCUCGUUUUGUAUUUAGCAAAUUGGAAGGUGAGCUUGGAGUGAUCAAAUCAAUACCAGUGUCCCUACAACUGGAUGACCAUUAAUCCCCACAAGAAUACUCACUGGGUGGAGAAUGUGCAUUGAUUAUAGAAGGCUGAAUGAUACAACAAGGAAGGACCACUUCCCACUCCCCUUUGUUGAUCAAAUACUCAAGAAAGUGGCUGCACAUGGAUUCUAUUGCUUCUUGGAUGGGUACUCUGGCUACAAUCAGAUACCCAUUUCCCUAGACGAUCUUGAGAAGACCACAUUCACUUGCUCGUGGGGUAUUUUUGCUUACAGGAGAAUGUCGUUGGUAUUGUGUAAUGCACCUGCCAUGUUUUAGAGGUGCAUGAUGUCUAUAUUCUCCGAUUUCAACGGGAAGUGUCUAGAAGUAUUCAUGGAUGAUUUCACCCUGUUUAGUGAUGACUUUGAGUAAUACUUGAAGAAUUUGGAGCUCGUGCUUGAACGUUGUGAAGCCACUCACUUGGUUCUUAAUUGUGAGAAGUGUCACUUAAUAGUGAAAGAGGAAAUUUUCCUUGGCCACAAAGUAACUGCACAUGGAAUUGAAGUUGAUAGAGCUAAGGUCGAUGUAAUUGCUAGGCUCCCUCCACCGAUUUCUAUGAAGAGCAUAAGGAGUUUCUUAGGAUACGAUGGGUUCUAUAGAAGGUUCAUCAAAAACUUUUCCAGCAUUACUAAGUCGUUGACUGCAUUGCUAGCGAAAGAUGUCAAGUUUGUUUUCAAUUUGGAGUGCUUAAGAGCAUUCGAAUUCAUAAAGUAAAAGCUUGUAAGUGCUCCUUUUAUGGUUACACUUGAUUGGAGCCAGCCAUUUAAGAUAAUGUGUGAUGCUAGUGAUAUAGCUGUGGGAACGGUUCUGGGGCAAAGAAAAGAUAAGAUGUUUAGGCCCAUUUACUAUGCAAGCAGGACGUUGAAUGAUGCUCAAGUCAAAUAUGCCACUACUAAGAAAUAGUUUUUUGUUGUGGUCUUUCCUUUUGACAAGUUUAGAUCAUAUCUAGUGGGGAGUAAAGUAAUUGUGCACACUGGUCACUCAGCGUUCCAAAUACCUGCUGAGUAAAAUGGAGUCCAAGCCGCGUCUGAUGUGGUGGGUGUUGUUGCUCCAAGAGUUUGACUUGGAGAUCAAAGAUAGGAAGGGCACAAAAUAUCAUGUCCCAGAUCAUCUAUCUCAACUUGAGAGACCUCCGGUUGAAAUAGUUGAAAUAAGGGAAGAGUCCCCUGAUGAGCAAAAUUUCUCCAUUAUUGCGGUCUUCGAAAGGACACCUUGGUACACUAACGUAUCCAACAUUUUGGCUAGUGUAUGGUUGCCUCGCGACCUCUCUCAUGAUCAAAGAAAGAAGCUUCAAGGUAAGGUAAGAAGUUAUUUUUGGAAUGACCCUUUCUUGUUUAAACUGUGUUCAUAUGGUGUGAUUCGAAGGUGUGUGCCUGGAGGAGAGAUAGAAAGCAUUCUUUCUCAUUGCCAUGAUGGAGCAGUUGGAUGACACUAUGGUGGAAAUCGCACUGUAACAAAGUUCAUGGAAGCCGAUUUCUAUUGGCCUACUUUGUACAAAGACGCACAGGCGUAUGUUGCUGCAUGUGACAAGUGUCAAAGGGCAGGUAACAUUAGCAAGAGGGAUGAGAUGCCACUAAACUCCAUUAUGGUGUGUGAAAUUAUUUACGUUUAGGGCAUUAACUUCAUGGGCAUGUACCCAUCAUCUCAUUCUUAUGAGUAUAUUCUAGUAACCAUUGACUACGUCUCUAAAUGGGUUGAAGCAAUCCCUACUAGUACCAAUGAUGCUCGAGUGCUGUGUGAGUUCUUACGAAAAAACAUCUUUACCCGCUUUGGGACACCUGAAGUGAUUAUCGGUGAUAAUGGGUCGCACUUUGUGAAUAAGUAGUUUGCUACAUUAUUGUCUAAGUAUGGGGUCACACACAAAACAGGUACCCCGUACCAUGCCCAAACUAGUGGGUAAGUUGAAGUGGCUAACCGUGAACUUAAAUAAAUUCAUGAAAAGAUGAUUAGUGCUUCUCGUAAGGAUUGGUCUAUAAAGUUGUAUUAAGCUCUAUGGGCAUAUAAAAUUGUCAAAAUAACCAUAGGGACUUCACCAUUAAAAUUAGUGUAUGAAAAAUUGUGUCACCUACCUGUUGAAAUAGAACAUAAAGCUUAUUGGAAAAUUAAGAUGCUUAAUCUUGAUCUCAGUCUUGCAGGCGAACAUAGGUUUUUGUAGAUGAAUGAACUGGAGGAAUUUAGAUUGGAUGCUUAUGAAAAUGCACGAAUCUUUAAGGAGAAGACAAAGAGGUGGCAUGAUCGCCUGAUUAAGCCAAAAGAGUUUCAUGAAAAUUCUUACUAUACAAUAGUAGACUUAGGUUGUUCCUCGAAAAAUUCAAGUCAAGAUGGACAGGUUUGUACGUGGUAAAACAUAUGUCACUGCAUGGCGUCAUUGAGAUCCAAGAUGAGGAAGGGAAUGAGAGCUUUAAAGUGAAUGGGCACAUGUUGAAGCUAUUCCUUGUUGGAGGAUUUGAAAAGUAAUCUUCUAGCAUCGUGAUCAAAUGAGCCUAAGUGACGGAGUCAAGCUGACGACUAUAACUCAGAACUACUUCUAACAUAUUUUUUUUUCUUGUUUUUAGAAUAGUUUAAUUGAUUAUAGAUUAGGACUAAUUGUAUUUUAGGUUCUAUCAGAAUGACUUUGAUGCAGAAUAAAGCACGAGCGUGAGGGAGUAGUCGAGAAGCAGGAAAAUUAAAACUAUGCAAAGUAAUUGCAUAUUGUGCGUCGCUCAGUGCUACAUACGAGGCGUCGCAUCAGUGCAAUUAAUUUUUAGAGUUUAGGAAUAAAUCAGAGAAUUGGAAAACCCCGAAAUGAACUAGUGCAUCACACUAUGCGAUGCGCCAUGCAUCGCAGAAACACAUGUUUUCAUUAGAGGAUUUCCAACAUUAGAGAAUUGGCAGACGGCAAAAUAUACUAGAGCGUCGUACUGAGCGUCGCACUAUGCGAUGCAUCAGGUGUGUUUUUUUUUAAAAAAAAAAGAGAAAUAAAAAAACAAUUCCACCCCAUCUCCUAAAACACUCACACCUGCCCGACCCCAAACACACCAAGAUCCCUCCCUCUCUCUCUCCAAACCUCCCAAAAGAAAGGAAAACAAAACCCUUCCUCCCUCCCCCCCCUCCAAAUCUCCCUCUCUCUCGCUUUCCACAUGUCUCCCUCAACUCCCUCCUCUGUCUCUCUUCUUGCAACCAGGUAAGUUCUUCUCUUUCUUGUGGGUUAUUUUUGUGUAGUCCUUGUUAGAAGAUUUUAAUUUGAAAACAAAAUAAACAAAAUAAAACAAAGCAAAAAGAAGAGGAAGAAGAUGAACUUCGCAAUUUGUAGUUGGUUACCCACUCUCUUGUUGGGUAAUGAUUUGCCCUAGUGCAUUAUUGGUAUGGAUGUUGUUUGGGGUGUGAUUGCUCUUGGAUUGGUUGAUUUUGGGCAAGAUUGUUCUUUGAUAAUGUGUGUAGUUGUGCCUCUCUUCUGUUGCAUGCUAGGUGUUCGAUUAAUUGCUUGAAUGGGAACGAUGGGGAUUUUGGUCAUGUUGGGUUGUGUUGGCUAGAAUGUGAUGUAAAUUAUGAAAUUCUGGGCAAAGGGUGAUUGGUCAUAGUCUAUAAAUGCAAUGUGUGUCGAACUGAUCGCUAGUGCUAAUCGAUCGCUGGCCUGAGCAUGUAAUGCCUAGAUGAUAUUUUAUUGUACUUAGAAAAUAAGUGGCGUGAGUGCGUUUUGUUCUCUACUCUUUCAUCAAGAAAUUGAGUAUGAUAGGUGUUUAACUAAUUGCUUGAACGGAAGAAUGAUGCACUAUUGAUGCUGCUUGAGGUGAUGCAUAUUUUGUUCAUAGAGUGUUUAGGGAUUUCAAGUGUAGGGUGGGAGGUCACAGACUAAACACGUUGCUAUAAUUAUAGUGGUUGUUGGGCCUCUAUAUGGCUAUUGGUGAGUUGUGAAUGUUUUGUUUUGCUGAAUAUGGGGUAGUCUGAUCACCCUGGUUCUUGCCUGUGAGCAUGCUAGUGACAUAAAUGUGGAGUGGCUCUCCCCCUAUUUUGACCUUGCUUCUGCUUUUAUUGUGUCACAACUGAGUUGUUUGUCUUGUGCAGGAACAAUGCCUCGCCGAGCUAGCAAACGUAUGAAUAUUGGUCCUCAUGUAGGCACUUCUAGUAGCCGCCAGCCUGCUAUGAUGGCACCCACAGCUAUGGACUCCUCAGACGGCUCAGACCCUGAUGUGCCAUACUCAGGUAAUGAUAUGUUAUAGCCCACAUAUGGAGUUUUAUCAAUGCUUCCCUAAUCACGCGAGUGAUUUCAUGAUUUUGUCCCAUCUGGAGAGCCUACUACUGAUGUUGGGAUUGAUUGACGGAAGUUUAAUAAGA
rnacentral:lncRNA from 1 species